rnacentral:lncRNA from 1 species
UUGAUGAAAGAACAUCAGGCCAGCACAAGUAAGGCACAAAGAUUUGUUCCUACUUGCUGCACUAGUUUGCAUCCAAGUUCAAUCAUGUUUAACUAUAAGAUGAUGUCCAAGAUCAAAGAGAUUACAGGAAGAUUGCAAGAUUUAGCAACAAAAAAGAUUAACCUGCAACUAGAGAAUUAUGUUGGAAGGCCCAUGAUAAUACCAAAAAGCAAGCCAAGCACUUCUCUGGUGAAUGAAGCUACUGUACGAGGCAGAGACAAAGACAAGAAGGCAAUAAUUGAUCUGCUUUUGAGGAAGGAUGGCAAUGAUGCUGGAGUUUCUGUGAUUCCCAUCACCGGCAUGGGAGGGAUAGGCAAGACAACCCUUGCUCAGCUUGUCUACAAUGACAGUAGCAUAAGAGAUUAUUUUAAUCUCAAAGCAUGGGUAUGUGUUUCUGAUGAAUUUGAUGUUAUUAAGAUAACCAAAACAAUUCUAGAAUCGGUCACUUUCCAGUCUUGUGAUAUACAUGACUUGAAUUUACUUCAAGUCAAACUAAAAGAGAAGCUAUCAGGCAAGAAAUUCUUGCUUGUUUUGGAUGAUGUUUGGAAUGAGAACUACGAUGAUUGGACGAAGCUUCGAUCUCCUUUUGAUGCCGGGAUUACUGGAAGCAAAAUAAUCGUAACAACACGUAGUUCUAAUGUUUCAUCAAUUAUGAGAAGUGUUGCAGAUUACUUGUUACAAAGCUUAUCAGAAGAUGAUUCCCUAAGCUUGCUUUCUCAUCAUGCAUUAGCAAGAGGAGAUUUUACUGGACAUCCAGACCUGAAAGAAAUUGGCUUGGAGAUUGUGAAGAAGUGUGGUGGCUUGCCUUUGGCAAUUAAAACUAUUGGAGGACUAUUGCGUACUAGGGAGAAUCAUGAUGCAUGGAAAUACAUAUUGAUGAGUGAUAUUUGGAGUAUACCUGAAGAGAAAAGUGACAUAAUUCCAGCCUUAUGGUUGAGUUACUAUUAUCUUCCUCCGCAAUUGAAGCAGUGUUUUGCCUAUUGCUCUUUCGUCCCUAAAGAUUAUGAAUUUAAAGAGGAGGAAAUAGUCUUGUUAUGGAUGGCAGAAGGUUUUCUAAAUGGAGCAAACACAAAAGGGGCAACUAAAGAUUUGGGUAGCAAGUAUUUUGAAGAACUGGUAUCAAGGUCAUUUUUUCAAGCAUCUAGGAAGAAUCAAUCUCAAUUUGUAAUGCAUGACUUGAUUAAUGAUCUAGCUCAAUUAGUUGCAGGAGAAAUCUAUUUUAAAAGGGAGAGAUAUGAUGACAUGAAAGGUCCAAUUAGUCGCACUCGCCACUCCUCUUAUAUCAUUGGCAAGUAUGACAGAAUUGAAAAGUUUGAGGCCUUUUUUGAAGCAAAGUUUCUACGAACCUACCUACCUUUUGAUAUGAUGAUGAUGAGGCGGUAUGGUAGAUGCUACUUAAGCAGUAACGUUCUUGAUGAUUUGCUGCCAAGAUUGAAAUGCUUAAGGGUGCUCUCUUUAAAAAGGUACUACAUCAAAAAAAUUCCUUCUUCUAUUGGAAAUUUAAAACAUUUACGUUAUUUAGAUUUCUCUUAUACUGAAAUAAAAAGUCUCCCUGAUUCAAUAUGUACCCUUUAUAAUUUAGAGACUCUUUUAUUAAGGUUUUGUGAUGGAAUUGAGAAGUUACCUAUGAAAAUAGGAAUUUUGGAUAACCUAUGUCAUCUAGAUAUUACUGGAGCAAAUUCAAUUAAAGAAAUGCCAAGUGGAAUUGGCAAAUUAACAAAUCUUCAAGUGUUGUCUACUUUUAUCGUGGGUCAAGGUGAUGGAUUGAAUAUAAGAGAGAUGCAGAAUUUGUCAAAUCUCAAAGGUCAGCUUUGUAUUUCUAAACUGCAUAAUGUGGAUGAAGCUCAAUAUGCAUGGGAAGCUAAGCUAUCUGGUAAGUCUAGCCUGAAUAAUUUAGAGUUGAGUUGGAGUAGAAAUUUCAAUGAAAAUUUAAGAAAUAAAGAAGUUGAGGGAGAAGUGUUGACCUUGCUUCAGCCUCAUGAAGAGCUAAAGGCGCUUGCCAUCAAGUAUUAUGCUGGACUAACAUUCCCAAUUUGGCUGGAAGAUGGUUCAUUAAAAAAUUUGCAAUUUUUAAAUCUUGAAGAUUGCCAAAAUUGCAAAUCAUUACCGGCCAUUGGAAAGUUACCACUUUUAAAGCAUCUCUGUAUCAAGGGGAUGAGAAGUGUGAUUAGUGUUGGCAUUGAGUUCCAUGGAGUGAAUUGGCCAAAUCUAUUUCCAUCAUUAGAGACCUUGCAUUUUGAAGAUAUGUUGGAAUGGAAAGAGUGGAAAGUUUGUGAAAUUAACAAACAAGGUAAGAAAUUUUGUUGCCUCCGAGAACUCCUUUUAAAAAAUUGUCCAAAAUUGGUUAGAACUUUGCCCAAUGAUCUUCAUUCUUUGGAGAAACUUGUAAUCCGUAAUUGUCAAGAGUUGACAGUUUCAGUUUCAAAUCUUCCAAUGCUAUGUGAAUUUGAAAUUGAUGGAUGCAAAGAAGUGGUGCUCGAGAGUUUUGAUGAUCUUUGGUCUGUUAAAAAAAUCAUUCUUUCAAAUAUUUCAAAGUUCACUUGUGUAACAAAAGAAACGAAGAAGUUGGAGUCGGCGAAAGUAGUAAAUCUCCAAAUUAAUGGUUGUGAGGAGUUAACCUCUUUGUGGCAAACAAAGUGGGGGUGGUUGGCACCUUUGAGAUCACUGCAUAGUUUAAAGUUUCAAAAUUGUCCCCAAGUUGUGUGUAUAGGGGCAACGGAUGAGGAAGAAGAAGAGCUUUUGCAAUUAGAAUUACCAUGCAACAUUGAGUAUGUGAUAUUAGUUGGUUGUCAAGGGUUAGAGAGAUUAUCUAAAUCAUUGCAGAACCUUACAUGUCUUACAAAGUUGAAUAUCGUAAGGUGCUCGAAAUUGGUUUCACUUUCGGUGGACAGCUUGCCUCUAACUCUUAGAACUUUGGACAUUAGUGAUUGUGAGAAUUUGCAAUGCCUACUUGAUGACGAAGAGAAUAUCAAUUUCAGUAGCACAUCUCUUCUUGAAUCUCUUGACAUUGGAUGUUGUGAAGCUCUUAAAUCAUUAUCAUCAAGUGGUAAGUUACCCGUGAGGUGUAAAAAGUUGUUUAUUUAUGAAUGCCCGGUGCUUCGUUUUUUAGCACAGAAUAUUGGGGAUAAUGCUUGUCUUGAAUCUAUUUCACUCCAUAAUUGUAUAAAUAUUAAAUAUUUACCCCAAGGACUGGACAAGCUCAAUCAUCUUCAAGAGAUUGAUUUUGAUUGUUGUCCAAGUUUGGUUGGUUUCCCAGAAAGUGGGUUGCCUAUUGCCAACCUCAAAACUUUAAGGCUCGUUGAGUGUGCAAAACUAGAAGCUCUACCCACCCUCCACACUCUUCAACAGUUGACCAUAUUGGGAUGUCCAAGGGUGCGAUACUCCAUUGAAGAAAAUGGUUUCCAUACCAACCUAACAGAAUUGGACAUCGAUGAACCCAAUAUUAGUAAGGCACUAAUGAUUUGGGGAUUGCAUAGACUCACAUCUCUUACAAAACUCGACAUUGAUGGUAGCAAUUGCAUCGAGGUGGUGUCGUUUCCCCAGGAAGAGAUAGGAAUGAAGUUGCCCCCUUCUCUCACUCAUCUUUCUAUUGGAAAUUUCAAAAAUAUGAAAAAGGUAUCCUCCAAUGGCUUUCAGAACCUCACCUCUCUUCAAUCUUUGAAGAUCUACCAUUGCCCAAAGCUCAAAUCCCUUCCCCGAAAGGAAAUGCUUCGCUCGCUUUCACAACUACUUAUUUACUGGUGUCCGGUGCUAAAGGAAAGGUGCAAAAGGGGGAAAGGAAAACAAUGGUCCAACAUUGCCCACAUACCUUACAUAGAGAUUGAUUAAAGAUUCAUCUUCCAAUGACCAAGAGAAAGAAUCAGAGUAUGUCGACUCAGGUAUUUCAUCCUAGAAUUUAUUACUAUUUUAACCUUUUUUUUUAUUUUGCUUAUUUCCUUUAUCAUGAAAAAUUAUACUCCUAGCUAGUAAUUACGGCCCACGUCUAUAUUAUACUUUGUAAAUUAAUUUUUUGUGAGUUAGGUCUAAAUUCCUCAAAAAGAUGCAAAUUUUACUAAAUCUUUCUAUUAAUACCAUUUAGGCUCUAAUUAGCAAUUUUUAUACAACUUGAAUGAAAAUUUGUGAGUGCUUAAUUGUCGAGCCUGUUCAUCUCCAUUUUAAAAGGACUGUUUUGUUCAGUUUGUAGCUAAAUAUGGAACAGCCUAAUUGGGUGCCUUAUGCCUACUGAUUCAUUAACCAUGUAUAACAAGAAGCAUGACAGCUCUUAGGUAAUACCUCCUGCUUUGCUCUUAUUCACUGCACUAUGUCUACUUAAAAUUAACUCUAUCAUUGUUAUUAUAAUUGUUUUCUCUUUCAAACAAUUAAUUGAAAUUUUAAAAUUACUAAGUACAUGCAGGAGUUUGAGCUUGGAUUAAUUUAGAAAGAAUGAAAUUCAAACCUUUGGAUGCAAUUCCUUGACAACAAUUAUUGCAAAUGGUAAGUUUUAAAGGUCAAUAUUUGAAUGCUUUCCUUAAUAGAGUCUCUGUUAAGAAGAUAGUCAUGCUAUGGUGUUAAAGAAGCUUUAAACUUCAACCAUUAUAUUACAAAUGGUACCUACACUGAUUCAUUAGGAGAGAAAAAGGAAAAACUAUUAUAUUACAACGAAUAUAAAUGAGCUUUGUUUGAACUUAUUUUUGAUAAUUGAGUUACGGUUUUUGGGAGGAUUAAUUUUGUUUACAUCUAUUAUUUUAAAAUAUUUAUUAUUAAAAUAUGAAAAAAUAUUUAUAUUAAUAUUAAAAAAUAGUAAUAUUUAUUAUUAAAAUAUAAAAAAUCCAUAUAUUUUAAAAUAUUAAUAUUUAUUAUUUACUAUUAAAAAAAUUUUAUGGCAAAACAAACGGAGUCUUAAUUGAAGCUCAAUUAGAUUUAAACCCAACACUUUAAUGGCAGCCCUAGUAGAUGUUAAGAAUAAGCUUCUUAGCAUUAGAGCAUGAGCAAGCUUGAAAUCCAUCUCUUUUCUUCUUGGUACAAAGGAUAAUGACAGUAGUAUAAUGACAUCUUCCUUAUGCCAUGUAAGCAUUACACCUAUUUGAUAGAACCACUUUAUUAACUUUUUUGCUACUCAACACUAAUAACAGAAUGCUUUGGCCUUGUAUGACAGGAAUGAACAAAACUCAUGAUUUUGUAUCUCAUUACCCUCAGAAUCAAUGAUGGAAAGGUUUCCAAGCGGGAUUUGAGUGUAUGUUUGAGCACUAGUGGAUUUCUUGAUCUGUUCUUCUCAAAAAAAAAAAAUCAUAUUAUCAACAUCACUGCCCAUGAAAUCAUGAGCAGUGAUGUUGACUGUAGAAUGUCUAAUUCCUAAGGCUUGAUGCUUAGGGAGCCAAAACCAACCGUCAAAAGUGAUUUGAUAGACAAUUGAGUGGCUAAGGGAAAAAUGGAUGAGAAAGAGACCAUCUUAAUUUAAAUGGCCAUCUUAAAAGCGUAUGGUCUUCAUAUUAGGUAAAAUUGUUUUUUUUUAGCACUUAUUAUAAGGUGAUGACUUUUAUUUUAGAAAUUUAGCUUUUUAUUGAUAGUUUGUUGUAAUUUCCUCUAGAGAAAAUUUUUGUAAUCUUAUUAUUUUAAGUAGUGGAAGAUUGAAUGGAUUAUGGUCUCGUGGUUUUUCCCCUUACUAUGGGGUUUUCCACGUAAAAUCUGGUUUCUUACUCUUAUGACUUGGUUAUUUAUUUAUUUAUUUUACAUUGAUAACUAAGUAUGAAUUAGUACUUUAAUGUAUCAUACAGUUUAUUCAACAUUUUCAAGGAGGGAUAGGGAAUUGGAGUUUUGGUUGGCCGGUUGUAAUGGUAGACUAUAUGAUGCUUAGUGCUGUCUUCAUUCCUUGGUUCUACCAGUCACAGAACACGCACAGAAUGUAAAUUUUUGAUUUACAUAAAUAUCAAAUUAAGUCUAUAAUCGUACUCUAACGGUAUUACAACUCCUAAACACUCUGGAAAAACAGUAUGAGUGCAUAUGGUCUGUGCCCCGUUCAAAACAGGGUCAAUCCCACCAAUUGGGCUUCCAUGCUUGAGACUUAUCCUGGGAAUCAAAGUAUCAGCAGCUGCUGGUCCUCCGGCCAUCUACCGAUCUUUUCUCACCAGGUGGGCAUCAAAUAGCUCCAUCUUACCUUAUUUUUCGGCCUGUUACAUAUAAUCGCUGUCUCGACAGGGAGAAAGAAAAAAAAAUGCUCUGUUAUUGGACAGGUAGGCAUUUAAAUGAGUUAUUAUUACACGGAGUAUCUACGGGUACUCUAACAUUGGACAUGACAAAGUCAAAUGUGAUGUCGGGUUUCAUUUUCCCAUGAAGUCUUGGCCGGUGUUCCCUUCAUUCAUCUUGCGUUUGGUUUCACAAGCUUCACUUUCAUCAGAAGUGAGAAAGAUACAAGCAAAAGAAACGAGUUUCCUUUUGCUUGUCUCUGAAGUUGCUAAAAUUUAACGUGGCAGAUGAUUUGAAGUCAUAAAUUUGCGAUUUAAGGUCCUCCGCAGAGCCAAGCCCAGGUAAUUAUUUUCAGUCUUUUCUCUUCCAUAUUUCUUUAUUCUGAUCAGUUCUCCAUGUUUUAUGUUCGUAUUCCUUGCUUUACUUCCAAUUUUGUGAGAAUUCUCAAACUGUCUUUAGAAUGGAUGAUCGCUUGAUUAAGGCCUCUCAAGUGGGUGAUAUAGAUGCCCUGUAUGAACUAAUUUGGGAAGAUGAUAAUGUUUUGAAGCGGAUUGACGAGAAAAUGUUUGUAGAUUCUCCUCUACAUAUAGCAGCUUCGUUUGGACAAACUCGUUUUGCAAUGGAGAUGAUGAACUUGAUACCUUCCUUUAGCAAAAAUUUGAACAAGUCUGGGUUUAGCCCCAUGCACCUUGCCCUCAUAAAUGGGCAUUUCGAGUUGGUGUCUUUAUUUCUACAUGCUGAUGCUGGUCUAGUUCGUGUCAAAGGAAGAGGGGGCUUGACCCCUUUACAUUAUGCUAUCAAGAAUGGGAACCUCAAUUUCGUGGCUAAAUUCCUAUUAGCUUGCCCAGAGUCUAUUGAAGAUGUGACGGUUCGAGGUGAGACUGUUUUGUACAUUGCCAUUAAAUCAGACAUGUUAGAAGCUCUUGAAGUUCUGGUAAGAUGGUUUCAGAGAAUUUGCCACAAAGAUGCCUUAGAUUGGUUGGAAUUCAUUCCAAAUUGGAAGGACGAGGAAGGAAACACUGCAUUGGAUAUUGCAGUAUCCAAUAGUCAAAUUCAGGCAUGUCUUAUACUUCUGCAAUUUUUUGUUUAAUUUCGUGAAAUUGGGAAUUAUAGGGAAUUGAUUACCCAAUUAUACACCUCGAAAAUCAAAACUUACAUAAAUGUCUCUCCGAUAAAAAACAGAUUAUAUUUAUUACCUGAUUGACAUCAAUACAAUUGUCAAAUACAUAACUAAACAAAUAGUUAUCAUGUAUCAAAAUUUUAUUUUUUAAAUAUUGAUGAUCAAUAUUAUAAGAUACAGUAUAAAAUUUUUUAAAAAAAUUAAUUAUAAAUAAUAUGUAUAUAUUUACAAAAAAAUUUAAAAAUCUUAUAUUUAUUAACAGGAUUGAGAAAUAUAGUGCAUGACUUGAAAAGAUAUUGUGUUUUAAUUUGAAUUCUCGUACUUAAUAGUAUAUAUUUUCCAUAAUAAUUUACUAAUUAAAAGUAAAAAUAGUAUUUAACAUUUAUAUAUAUAUAGGUCAGAAUCAUAGAGACACAGGUUACCACCGCCUGUCGAUCAAUCCCUACUUUCUCCAAUGAGUUCCCAUAACAAGGAUACCCAAUAGGCACGAAACAUGACAUUUACUGGCCUGACUCCUUAGGACCACUAGAUCUUGAUGUACCCUCGUGUAAAUAUCAUAGUGAAGAUUAGAGUUUAGAUGAUAGCCUUGGAGGCUUCAAUCUUCUGACUAGCCAGUAGUCUGGAUGCACUUCAAAAUUGCUGAAUUACCCAUCUCUAUUUCAUUUCUCAUGACUACUUGAUCGCUGAGUUUAAGCCAUGUCUUUUGUUGGAGAGGCUUGCUUAUCUACUUUCUUUAAGGCAUUGUUUGCCAAAUUGGGCUCUUCUGAAUCCCUUCACUUUGCUACUAAAAAGCAAGUCUGUAAGGAGCUUAGGAAGUGGGAAAAGAUAUUGAAGAAUAUCCAGGCAGUGCUUGAUGAUGCAGAGGAGAAGCAAAUGAAGGAUCGGCAUGUGAAGAUAUGGCUAGUGGAGCUCCAAGACUUGGCUUACGAUGUGGAUGACAUCUUGGAUGAGUUCGCGACUGAAGCCUUGGGAACCAAGUUAAUGCAAGAACGUCAAGCAAACAGAAGUAAGGUAUGGAAGAUCAUUCAUACCUUAAUUACUAUUUUCAAUCCAUAUGCUUUCCUGUUUAAUUAUAAGAUGAUGUCAAAGAUAAAAGCGAUUACUGUUAGAUUGCAAGAUUUCGUCACCCAAAAAAGUGACUUGCACUUACGAAAGAAUGAUGUUGGUAGGCCUAAGAGAAUGAUAGAAAGGCCACUGACUACUUCAUUGGUGAAUGAAGCUCUUGUCUAUGGUAGGGAAGAAGACAAAAAGGCAAUAAUUGAUUUGCUUUUAAUGAAUGAUAGUAGUGAUGGUAAAGUCACUAUGAUCCCUAUUGUUGGCAUUGGAGGGAUUGGUAAGACUACCCUUGUUCAACUAGUUCACAAUGAUAAUAGUAUAAAAGAUCAUUUCAACAUCAAAGCAUGGGUGUGUGUUUCUGAAGAUUUUGAUGUGAUCAAAAUAACAAAAACAAUUUUGCAGUCAAUUACUACUGAGCCAUGCAAUGAAUUAAAUCAUCUAAAUUUGCUACAAGUCAAAUUGAAGGAGGAGUUAUGUGAAAAGAAUUUUCUGCUUGUUUUGGACGAUAUUUAGAAUGGAAGCUAUAAUGAUUGGGCCAUUCUUCGAACUCCUCUUGAAGUAGGGGCUGCAAAAAUCAAAAUAAUUGUGACAACACCAAUCAAAAUGUUUCAUCAGUAAUGAAAACUGUUCCGGAUUACUCAUUAUAAGAAUUGUCAAAUAAUGAUUGUCUCUUCAUUUUAACUCAACAUUCCUUAGGGGAAAAAGGUUUCGAUUGGCAUUUGGAUUUAAAAGAAACUAGAGAACUGAUUACGAGAAGGUGUAAUGGCUUGCCCUUAGCUGCUAAAACCAUUGGUGGCUUAUUAUGCUCAAGGGUGUAUCCUGAUGCAUGGAAAGAUGUAUUGGAGAAUGAGAUAUGGAAUUCCUCAGAAGAGAAAUGUGGCGUAAUUCCAACUUUGCGGUUGAGCUACUAUCAUCUUCCACCUCAUUUGAAGCAAUGUUUUUCAUAUUGCUCAAUCCUUCCUAAAGCCUAUGAAUUUGGGGAGGAAGAAAUAGUGUUGUUAUGGAUGGCAGAAGGCUUGUUACAGCAAGCAAACAAUUAAAGGCAAAUUGAAAAAUUAGGUAGCAUGUACUUUCAAGAUCUUGUGUCAAGAUCAUUCUUUCAAAUAUCUAGCAGAAAUAAAUCUUGAUUUGUAAUGCAUGACCUCAUCAAUGAUCUAGCUCAAUUAGUUAUAGAAGACAUGCUUCAGAGUGUCGUGACGUGCGGGUCCGGGAACCCGUCCGCCAGACGCGGGCAGAAAUUAAAUAUCGUGUGGGUGUGGGAGUCGCCACCAAUCAUGUUUAUCUAAGGUGUGAUUGGUCACCUAUUAACCCGAUUCUUAAUCGACAAAGUCCUAAAUUAAUUUUAGGUCCGUCGAAAGAAUGAGAACUGAUCCACGUCUUUUUAGAGAUGAGUUCGGGAGUGCGGUUACGCACGGAGAAGGGUUAGCACCUCCGUGGCUCCCGUUUCACGAACGGUACCAUUUAAUCUUAAGUUACCUUAAUAUAGCCUUUUCUUAGUUCAAUCCCUAUUUUAUUAAUUAAAAAUUUUUAUUGAAUUGUCAGACUAAGUUUUUCACUUGGUUUUACGUAUGCAUAUGAUGCAAGCGUAGAAUGAUGUCGUGACUUGUUUAUUUUAAAUGAUGGAGUCGGUAAUCUUUUNNNNNNNNNNNNNNNNNNNNNNNNNNNNNNNNNNNNNNNNNNNNNNNNNNNNNNNNNNNNNNNNNNNNNNNNNNNNNNNNNNNNNNNNNNNNNNNNNNNNNNNNNNNNNNNNNNNNNNNNNNNNNNNNNNNNNNNNNNNNNNNNNNNNNNNNNNNNNNNNNNNNNNNNNNNNNNNNNNNNNNNNNNNNNNNNNNNNNNNNNNNNNNNNNNNNNNNNNNNNNNNNNNNNNNNNNNNNNNNNNNNNNNNNNNNNNNNNNNNNNNNNNNNNNNNNNNNNNNNNNNNNNNNNNNNNNNNNNNNNNNNNNNNNNNNNNNNNNNNNNNNNNNNNNNNNNNNNNNNNNNNNNNNNNNNNNNNNNNNNNNNNNNNNNNNNNNNNNNNNNNNNNNNNNNNNNNNNNNNNNNNNNNNNNNNNNNNNNNNNNNNNNNNNNNNNNNNNNNNNNNNNNNNNNNNNNNNNNNNNNNNNNNNNNNNNNNNNNNNNNNNNNNNNNNNNNNNNNNNNNNNNNNNNNNNNNNNNNNNNNNNNNNNNNNNNNNNNNNNNNNNNNNNNNNNNNNNNNNNNNNNNNNNNNNNNNNNNNNNNNNNNNNNNNNNNNNNNNNNNNNNNNNNNNNNNNNNNNNNNNNNNNNNNNNNNNNNNNNUUUGUCAUUGUUAUUAUUUACAUAUAUAUUUUAAUUUUAAUUUUAUGAAUUUUUUUAUUUAUUUACUCAUUUGAUACAUAUGUUCUUUUAGAUUAUGCAUUUUUACCAUUAUUUUUAUUACUAUCAUUAUUUUUUAUUUUUAUUUUUGAUUUUUAAUAUUAAGUGUAAAUAUUUUUUCCUAAAAAAAAUGUAUUUUAAUUAAAAUGGGCUAGACCCAACACUAAGACCCAAGCAAAACAAAACAAAAAAAAGGUUAUAUCUUGUUGGGCUGCGGUUGACCCAAUUUGGUGGCCCGCAGGAGCCCAAAUCCACUAUGCCAGGCCUGCUUCUGGAAGCCCGCAAGGUGAGAUUCAAAACGCACCGUUUUGAUGCCUGCGAAGCCGCUCAAAACGACGCCGUUUUGCCUGGUCCUUCCAGCUUCUACUUGCCUCUCUGAAACGACGCCGUUUUGCCCACGAAACCUAGGUAUUUAACCCCCUUUUCUCUCUUUCUCUCUUCACUUUCAUUCCUCACUUUCUCUCUCUAGCGGCGGCACCCUCCGCCUUCUCUCUAAAAAUCUUCUUCUUCUCUCUUCGCCGGCGCCGGCGUCCUCCCCUCUCUUCUCGGAUUUCUCUCUUACCCGGCGAAUCACUUCGCCUUCCGUUGCCGGCGUCAAGCUCUCUCCUUUCUUCUCUCCGCCGAUCGUUCCUUCCUUUUCUCUCUCUACCGCUUCCUCUUCUCAGAUCUCACCCCUUUUUCUUUUUUUGUUGUUGCUUUUUGUUUUUUGGUUCCUUGUGGCUAACUGCUGUCCCUUUGUUUUUGCGUUUUGCAGGGUUUUAAAGAGCCGGGUUGUCCAAAAAAUUGGACAACCCGGCGAGGGGGUUCUGGCACCCCUGGAGUUGGUGGCCAGAACCCCCAUCCCGCGUAGUGGGUGGGGGAUGGGAUGGUACGCCCAGCCAUCCCGAUUUUUUUUUUUUAUUAUUUUAUUUAUUUUAUUUUAUUUAAUUUAAUUUAUAUUUAUUUAUUUAUUUUAAUUUAUGUGUCUACACAGAGUAGGGGGUGAUAAGCAAUUGCAAAUUUCAAGGCAUGCUUGUUACUCAUCCUACAUUGGCAAUAGGUAUGAUGGACUCAAAAAGUUCAAAACCUUCUAUGAAGCAGAGCAGUUAUGAACAUUUCUAUCAUUUAUGCUACCAAAAGAUGGGGAUGUUUUCUAUCUAACAAUGUCCUUAUUGAUUUGUUGCCAAAGCUAAAAUGCUUAAGAGUGCUCUCUUUGGAAAGGUACUAUAUUACUGAGAUACCAAAUUCAAUUGGAGAUUUGAGACAUAUACGUUACCUUAAUUUUUCUUAUACCAAAAUCAAAAGCUUGCCAGACUCCAUAUGUACUUUCUUCAACUUAUAGACCUUGCUAUUGAGAGGUUGUGAUUGCCUUAUACAACUACCUUCGAAUUUGAGGCUUCUAAGCAACCUACGACAUCUUGAUAUUACUAGCACAAAUUUAAUUAAGUGGAUGCCAUUCGGGAUCAAUGAAGUAAUUGAUCUCCAAGCACUAUCCAAUUUUGUUGUAGGCCAAGGUGUUGGAUAUCAAAUAAGAGAGCUGAAUAAUUUAUCUGAACUGAAAGGUCAACUUUUUAUUUCAGGAUUGCAAAAUCUUGUCAAUUCUCAAGAUGCAUUGGAUGCUAGGUCAUUUGAUAAGUCUGGCCUUGAUGAUUUAGAAAUGAAGUAGAGUGCAAACUUGAAAGAUGAUUUAAGGAAGAAAGAAGCAGAGAAAAAGGUGUUGAGCUUACUUCAACCUCAUAAGAAACUUAAGAAACUCACCAUCAAGUAUUAUGGUGGUUUAGCAUUCCCAACCUGGGUGGGAAAUUCUUCAUUCAAAAAUUUAAUUUUCUUAAAUUUUGAAGGUUGUCAGUGUACAUUAUUACCAUCAAUCGAACAACUACAAUUUCUAAAGGCUGUUUAUAUCUAAGGAAUGAGUUAUAUUAAUAAGGUGGAUGCUGAGUUUUAUGGAGAGAAUUGCUUAAAUGCACUUCCAUCAUUAGAGGUUCUUCAUUUUGAAGAUAUGCCAAAAUUGAAAGAGUGGAAUUCUUACCAAGUUGAUAAGCAAAUAAGAAUCUUCCAAUGCCUCCACAAUCUAUCUGUCAAGAAAUGCCCCAAACUAUUGAGAAGUCUACCAUGUUGUCUUCCUUGCCUAGAAAAACUUGUGAUUCAUGAAAGCCAACAACUGGUAGUUUCGAUUCCAAACCCUUCAAGGCUGUGAGAGUUAGAGAUUGUUGGAUGCAAAGAAGUGUUACAUGAGAGUUGUCGUGAUCUUUGCUCAUUAAAAAACGUCUCUCUCUUAAACAUCACAAAUUUUACUUGUUUAACAAAGGGGUUGAUGUUAGGCUUAACAAAUGUUGAGUUUUUUCAAAUUCGUGGUUGUAGAGAGCUUUCUUUUUUAUGGCAUAACAGAGGGGGAAUGCUUAGCACAAUGGAGGUGCCUUCAUAACUUGGAAAUUCUAAGUUAUCCUCAACUUGUUUCAUUAGCAACAGGAGAGAAAACCCAAGAGUUGGCACAAAUGGAAACCAUUUGCAAUCUUGAAUGUUUAAGAAUUAAGUAUUGUGAAAGAUUAGAGAAGUUCUCCACAACUCUAUAGAAUAUCAGAUCCCUUAAGGAGCUAGAGAUUGUAACAUGUCCAAAAUUGGUGUCUUUUUCACAUAACAAUUUUCCUCCUACUCUGAAAGGUUUGGUGAUAAAAUAUUGUGAGAAUUUUACAAUGUUUAUUAGAGGAAGAUAGUAUUAAGAUUAGCACCAUAUCUCUACUUAGCCACCUGACAAUUGAACGAUGUCCGUGUCUAAUAUCUUUGUCAUCAAUAGAUAAGUUACCUAUUAUGCUUCAACAUCUCAAGAUAUGGAGUUGCUCAAAAUUGGCGUAUUUAUCAUCAAGUGGCACUUUAUCUGUGGGGCUUAAAUACUUACGGAUUGACCUUUUCCAAAUGUUAGAGUCCAUUGCACAUUCUGUUCACAAUAACACUUGUCUAGAAUUCAUUGUCAUUGGUAGGUGUGAAAAGAUUCAGUAUUUAUCCAAUGGAUUGGACCAGCUCAAUGGUCUUCAACAGAUUCAAAUAGAAUGUUCGCGGAAUCUAGUUUCCAUUUCCAAGUUACCUUUCACCAACCUACGUGUGUUACGCCUUAGUUGGUGUAGGAAAUUCCAAGCUCUACCAGAUGGCAUGCACAUCCUUACUUCUCUUCGGGAAUUGGAGAUAUCAAAUUGUCCAUGUUUGUUAUCCUUUCCAGAAGAAGGUCUUCCCAUCAACUUAACUUUUCUUACAAUCUCAAAGCUUGAAAUUCUUGAAGGACUAAUUAGCUGGGGAUUUCAUAAAUUCACAUAUUUUAAAAGACUCACCAUUAAAAAAUGAUACAAUGGGGUGUCAUUUUCGCAUGAAGAGAAAGGAAUGAUGUUGCCUUCUUCUCUAAGCAAACUUGCCAUCAGUGAUUUCCCAAAUGUGGAAAUCCUAUCCUCAAAGGGCUUUCAAAACCUUCCCUCUCUUGAAUGUUUGUGCAUUGUUAACUUUCCAAAGCUCAAAUCAUUGCCUAGAAAGGACAUGCUUCCCUCACUUUUGGAGUUAUAUAUUCAUGAUUGCCCCUUGCUAAAAGAAAGAUGCAAAAAGGAUGAAAGGCAAGAGUGGUCCAACAUUUCUCAUAUACCUUUUGUUCAGAUUGAUGAUAGAUUCAUCCAUGAUUUAGAGGAAGACAAAGAUGAAUCUGAUUCGGAGGAGUAAAAGUGAAAAGAGAAAAUUAGAGGAUGCAACUCCCAAGUACAACCAAUUUUAGAAAGUCAUUAUAAUAAAGAAUUUUUGAUUUCAUUUAUAUUUCUUAUGUUAAUAUUUAUUUUCUUAUACAUUAAGUGACAAAGUUAACUCUUCAACCUUUAGCAGCAGCACCAAUUCAAACAAUGUCACCGACAGCAGCAGUGGUAAAAACAUCAUUGAUAACCCUAUUGUUGCUUGAAGAAUCACAAUCAUUUGCAAUCAUGCAGAUUGGAAAGAUACAUACCUUAAGGUAUUUUAUGGCUUUUUUUGCUUGUACUUGUAUCAUAGAUGAUUUUGAGUAUUGCAUUUAAAAUGAAAAUAUAGUGAUAUUUUGUGUUUUUGAAAUUUGAGAUAUUAGCAAAGCCAAGCAUACUCUGCUAGAACACUGGUGUGAAGGUGAUAAAGAAUGAUAAUGUUCAGCAUAGCCUACGUACCUUUUGUUAAGGUUGAUCACAAAUUUGCUUAUGAUCUAGAGGAGGAAAGCUGAAGUUGAUUGACCUAUUGGUAAAGCAAGAAAGGCCAAAUCAGAAAAUUUGCAUUCCACUUGUACUUAAAUCAGGUAGGUCAAUUUAUAGUUUUUAUAAUUGGAUUAGUAUUUUCUAGAGAAAUCAACAGAAAGUCUAACUAUUAACUGUUUCUUCAUAAAAAAAUUAUGUUGAAAUAUGGCCUCAUCUUGCUGCCAAGCUAAUUCAAAGGUUGAAGGUUACAGGAAAUUCAUAGCUGUAGAAAGAAGAGUGGUUUAUGUCGGUUUAUCCUUAUCUGUUUUAUCUGUUAUCUUUUUUUUUUUUACUUUACUUUGUUUAUCAGUAAUAUUUUUCUUCCAAAUACUAUGUCAUUUUACUUGUGUAGCCGUUAAGCUUGUGUGGCUAUCUUGGGAAUUUGAACACAGCUCCCUAUGCAUUAUUCUUUCAGUUGUUUCUAGAGAACUAGGUGUCCUUAGCUGGCUGUCUAUUUCUCUCUCAUGUAACCAUCUAUAAGUACCAUUUUAUCUUGUUUAAUGAAAAGGUAUGCAGCACACCAUUUUGUGUUCAUAAAAAAUUCUCUCUAUCUUCUUUCUCGAUAUUCUUUUCUACUCCUCUGUUCUUUAGUUCAUUCAUUUUUUCCAGAAUACUCAACUCCUCAACAUGGCAUCAGAGCUCUGCAACGGAUCUUAAGGGGCUGUUUUCUUUUUCCUCAUUAUCAUUCUUCACUUUGACCAUCCUUUUGUGUGGUUUAAUGUUCAUGGCUACUACUGGAGUCAACACCUUUGCUCCACCAGUCUUUACUAGUUAAAAUUAUGUUAUUUGGUCAGUAAAGAUGAGGUUGUAUUUGAAGGCUUAUAGUCUUUGGGAGGUUGUGGAGACUAGUGCGGAUCCUGUUCAACGUCAUGCUAACCCCACUCUUGCUCAAAUUCGACAGUUUGAUGAGAACAAAGCUAAAAGGUACAAAGCCCUGUCCAGUUUGCAUUCAGCUAUUUCUGAUGAGAUUUUCUCUAGGAUUAUGCAUCUAGAUAGUCUUAAGGAGGUAUGGGAUCACUUGAAGGAUGAGUUUUUUGGUAGUGAUAGGACUAGGCAUAUUCAGUCUUUGAAUCUGUCUAGACAAUUUAAAAUGUUAAGGAUGGAAGAUGAUGAGAAUAUUAGGGAGUUUUCUAGAAGAAUGAUGAGUGUUGUGAAUCAGUUAAGAUUGUUGGAAAGGCUGUUAUAGAGGAGAAGUUGGUGCACAAGGUACUGGUGAGUCUCCCAGAAAAAUAUAAGUCAAAGAUUUCUUCCUUAAAAGAUUCUAGGGAUAUUACUCAGAUGACUUUGAAAGAAUUAGUGAAUGCUUUGGAGGGUCUUGAGCAAAGAAGAGCAUUUAGGCAGAGAAGUGUAGCAGACAGUGCCUUGGUAGCUUAGAUGAGAAAUGUUAAAGUGAGCAAUAGCAACACAAAGAAGAAUGAAGGUAAUAGGAAGGAUAAGGAUAAGAAAGCAACUGAUGAAAAAUCUAGAAAACAAAAGCAAAAGUAUCAACCUUGUCCACAUUGCAAGAAAACCACUCAUUCUGCAAAAUUUUGUUGGUACAGACCAAAUGUGAAAUGUAGGUCUUGUAACCAACUUGGACAUGUUGAAAGAAUAUGUAAAAACAAAGGAGUUAAGUCUAAAGAGAAGGCUAUAGUAGCUGAGCAAGUUAAAGAAUCUGAAGAGGUGCUAUUCAUGACUAGAGAAGUGAGAGAUUCAUUCAAAAAGAACUUAUGGUUAAUAGAUAGUGCUUGUUCAAAUCACUUAACUGGGGAUGAGAGUCAGUUUUUUAUCCUGGAUAGUAGCUACAGGUCCAGAGUUGAAAUUGGAAAUGGAACUUUCUUAAGGAUUCUUGGUUUAGGGACUGUUAUGGUGAAACUCAAUCAGGCAUCAAGCAUAUUUCAAAUGUCUUUUUUGUUCCUAAAGCUAAUCAAAAUCUACUUAGUGUUGGACAACUUAUUGAGAGUCACUAUGUUCUCUUUUUUAUGGAUAAAUGCUGCACAUUGUUUGAUCCUAAAGGUGAUGAACUAUUCACAGUGGAGAUGAAGAAUAGAUGCUAUCCAAUUAAUUGGAAGCAUACUGAACAGAAGGCCUAUAUCAGUUCUGUUGAUGAUUCAGAACUGUGGCAUAAAACGUUAGGGCAUGUGCACUACAAAUCUUUGCAAGAUAUGGCUACUCAGGAGAUGGUUGAAGGAUUGCCUAAGAUCAUUAAGCCUGAGCAUGUGUGUGGUACUUGUCAAUUUGGAAAGCAAAGCAGAACUUCAUUUCCAAAGAAUAGGGGGUUGAAGGCUACUAAGAAGCUACAGUUGGUACACACUGACUUAACAAGACCUAUGUAGACUAUCUCCCUUGGUGGCAACAGGUAUUUCCUAGUGUUUAUUGAUGAUAUGUCUAGAUACUACUAGAUAUAUUUUCUUAAAGUUAAGUCAGAUGCAUUAAUGAACUUUAUUAAGUUCAGAAGUUUAGUUGAGAAUCAGACAAAUACUACCAUUAAAACAUUUAGAAGUGACAAUGGAAGGAAUUCACAGCUGCUGAAUUUGAGAAAUUGUUAACUCAGCUUGGCAUCACUCAUCAACUUAUUGCAACCUAUAGUCCUCAGCAAAAUGGAGUUACUGAAAGGAAGAAUAUGACACUUAUGGAGAUGGCAAGGUGUUUGCUGUUUCAAAAGUAUAUUCCUAAACUGUUAUGGGCAGAAGCUGUUAAUACAGCUAAUUACUUACUGAAUAGAACCAAGACCAGUUUAAUAAUAGGUAAGACUCCUUUUGAGUAUUGGUUUGGUUUCAAACCUUCAGUAACUCAUUUGAAGAUCUUUGGUAGCAUUUGCUAUGUGAAGAUUCUAAAUAAGAAGAGGUCAAAGCUUGAUGAGGAGAGUGUUGUAACAAUCUUCAUUGGAUACAGUGAAGUUACAAAAGGAUACAAAUUGUAUGAUGUUAAAACUAAGAAGAUAUUGGUCAGUAGAGAUCAAGUUUGAUGAGUUUUCAAAAUGGAAUUGGGAAAAGUUACUGAUUGAAAGUGCUGAACAGUUAAAAUCAGUUUAUGGAGAUGAGCAGGAUGAGACAAAUAUUGAGGAUGAGAGCCUUGCAGUCAAAGGAAUUAGAUCCUUGCAAGAUAUAUAUGCAAGGUGUAAUGUUGCUAUCACAUAACCUAACUGCUAUAGUGAAGCUACAAAAGAUGUCAUGGGACUAAAAAGGAGAUUGCAUAUGAUUUUGGUUAUUAUAUUUUUUAAAUUUUAUUUAAAAGUUAUUUAAUCAAUAUUAAUAAGAUUUAUAUAAUUUAUAAAUCUAUAAGAAUUCCAAUGCAUCGGAUGACUUAUAAAAAUACCCAUAUUUAUUUAGUACAUUUGAAUAAAUUGUAAUUUUUAAAUUUUUUAUUAUGAAUAUUAAUAAGAUUUAUCUCUUUAGUAAAUAUAUAAGAAUACUAAUUUGUACCAAAUUACUUCAUUAGAAUUUUUUUUUAUUAUAGAUAUCAACAAGAUUUGUCCAAUUUUUAAACAAAAAUUUUAAUUACAUUGAAUGGCAUUCAUUAAAAUUAUUUUUCUUAAUGCUAAUAAUAUUGAAUAAUUUAUGGAUUAAUAUUUUAAAAUUUCAAUUAUAUAUGAUUGAAAAAUUAAUUGAUGUUUGUAUAAAAAUGUUAUUUUAGUUUGAUUGUCUUUAUUUAUAGACGAUUAACUUCAAAUUUUAGAAAUAUUUUUAUCUUAUAUAUAAUCCUUAUUAAAAAAAUUAAAACAUAAGUAUCCAAGUGCAAUGCAUGUGAUAAUAAAUAUUAGUAAGUAUAAGUUGCUCCCAGCUCAUCUAAUUGGGUGCCAUGCUUGGCUGGUGUGGAGGUUUUUUGGUGAGUCUGCUUUUGCUGUGGCUUCAACUUGCUGUUUCCUUGUGAAAGAGCCGUGUCUUUUCUGGUUUUGGCUCUUCUGCGGUCUUCCAUCAUGGUUGGAUUUCUUAACAUAAGUAUCCAAGCCUUGUGAAAGAUGUUGGUUUUGUUUUGUUGUUCUGGAAGGAUGAUUAUGAAUAGGGGAUGUUUCUUUGAUUUUGUCAUCGAAUCCUCAGGGGUUAUGGAUAGAUGUUUCACUGGCAAACCCUGUUUUUGUCUAAAGGGCGCUGCAUUGCUUGUGUUUAGGUGAUUGCCGAAUUGAGAUUCUUUUAUUUUUGGUGGCAGUAAUCCUUUGUGUAAUUAUACAGAUUCUCAAAGGCCUUAUCAUUCUUUUAUGUCAUUAAAAGUCUUCGGUAGAUCAGGCAAGAGACUUGAUGAUGACAUAAUGAUAAUGAUGAUUAAUAAAAACAACGUUUAAAAAAAGUAUACAAAAAAGGGUUAUAUUAUUAUUAUGAUUAUUAUUACUAAAAAGAGUUGAGUAGUUGGAUUGCGUCUCCAUUCUUUAGAUUUGGAAUGAAUUAAGAAUCUAAAAUGAUAUAUAACAUACAAUAUAAUCAAUUCAUUAAUCAUAACGCUUUUUAAUUUCUAAUGCUUUUUUUUAUUUCCUAAUUCUUGUUUAUAUCCCACAAAAUUGUUGCACAUCCAGAUUUAAACGAGAACCCGAUGUUAUUGCAAAAGAACAAGGAGACAAUUCAAAAAAUACAUCCGGCUCUGAGGAAUGAUGACAUUGAUGACAUUAACAUUGUUGUAUGAUAAGUUCGAGAUUAAUACUGGUAUGAUCAUUGGAUCAACAAAAUCACAAGGAAACAAAACUUAACGAUCAUUGAUGGAGUUUAUGUGAUUCCCAUAGUUGGUAUGAGAGGAAUUGGUAAGAUAACCAUUACUAAGCUUGUCUGUGAUGAUAAUAACGUAAAGAUAAUUUUGAUCUAAUUUAUUACAUACAUUUGAUUAUUAAAUCGCAUGUAUGUCAAAAUUAUUUUUUAUAUAUUUAUUUGUUUAUAAAAACAUUUAAAAUUAUAUAACAAAAAAUAAUUAUUUUUUAUUUUACAAGUCAUGGUGAAUAUCUAACUAAUAAAUUAACUAAUAUAUAUAUAUAUAUAUACUAAUAAAUUAACUAAUAAAGAUUUGAUGGUUAGGGAGCUGCAUAGUGUUGAUGGAAAAUAGGUGGCUGAAGGGAAAAUGGAUGAGAAGGAGACCAUCUUAAUUUAAAUGAACGAUCAGUCAUAGCCUCCACGGACAGUUCUUAUUUGGCGAGAUUGGUUCUUCUUUGAACGUUUUAUAAGGUGAUGGUUGAAUGUUUGAAAUUUAGCUUUCUAGUGAUGACUUCUUGUAAUAUCCUCUAAUUUUACUAGAAAAAGCUUUUGUAAUCUUAUUAUUUUAAGUAGGGGAGUACUUGAAGAGACGAUAGUCCCAUGGUUUUUCCCUUUACCAAGUGGUGAGGGAUUGUUUGAAGUAAAAUCUGAUGUCUUACUUUCAUGGAUUGUUGAUUAUUUAUUUUCUUACAUGGAUAAAUAAUAAUGAAUUACUAUUUUAAUAUAUUCUAUAGGGUAUUCAACUUUUACGAGGAGAAACAAGAAAUCAGAGUUUUAUUUGUCUGGCUGCAAUGGUUGACUGUAAAGACAUGAUGUGCUUUCUUCAUUUUUUGGUUUUACUAUUUCACAUAGACACCAUAAUAUAACAGCUUAACAACUAAUCGCAACAAACAAACUCCUGUCAAUUGUAAUAAAUAAAACCAUUAAUUUAUGACAACAGAACCAAUCAAGGACAAAAUAAGUCUUGGAACCAAUCAAUCAAGAUUGCUCCUCAAUCUUAAAACAAAAGCAAUUCCAGUCCCGAUAAUUCCUCAAAGACAGAUGAAUCCACAGAAGUAAGCCAAGGGUUCGAAAAAGUCAUACCAAUCUUUUUUUUUCCCUUCAUUUCAUUGGUUUUUGGAGUGAGGAAUAACCAUUCUUUGUAAGAAAAUUGUAUAUAAAAUACGUAGGAAACAAAUUGACUACCUUUGUAAAAGUAUGCAAAUAAGAUAAUAUUUAUGGGUUGGAAAAAAAAAAGAAGAGUUCUACCACCUAAUUCUUUAUCGAUUUGCUCUCGAACAUCACCUCAAUCACCGCAAGCAUACCAAACAAACAAAAACACUAAAAUUUAAACGAAUGCCCCCAAUGAAUACCAAACAAAAACAAUAAUUAAUAAAUUAUCUGCUUAGGUAUUCUAAUAUCUAUUAGUUGAAUUCAAUACCUAUUAGUUGUCUGACCAUUAUUCUUACCUAACCAUUCGUAUAUUAUAUGGUUCUAAAGUUGUAAGCAACUGUUCAAUCACGAAAUAUUGACACCUUCUACAGAUUAAUUUGGGAGGAUCCCAAUGAAUACAUUUUAGAGUGCAUUAUCAAACCAUUGAUUAAUAACAUUUAAUUUGAUUUACCAAUAAAAGUUUUCAAUUUGUAAAUUUUUUAUAAAUAUUAUAGGUUGCUCAAAUGUCAUUGUAAUUUGCACUUGAACAGUUGAUUCAAUAGAAAUUUUUUUUUUUGAAGAGCUAGUUCAAGUAUUCAUUAAUAUAGAUGCUUAAAAAAAUCUACCCAAGAGGUAGAAAAACAGCACAAUAUCGGCCACAAAAACAUACCAAUAUGACUGUAGGUAAACAGAAAAGCAAAAACAAGUUGCAAACAAGAAUCCCAAGAUAGAGAAAGUCCUAAGCAACAUUCAGACCCACACCUACCAAAUACAAAAAAGCAACAUAAAAACAAAGUAACCUGCGCAAAGAUCUGUACACAAAACUGAACAAAGCAAAUAAAAAAAAGCAGCACAAAGCAGGUCAAAAGAAGUCACCAACAGAAAUAAUAAAACUUUGGAUAAUGGACAUUUGUAUAAGGCAAUAACAAAAAUAAACAUUUAAGUUAGGGAUAAAUAAUUACACAAUAAUUUACUUUAAUGAGAAAUUUGGUAUUAAUAUGAAAAUAGAUAAUCAGUUAGCAACAUUUUAUAAGAAUUCAAUGUUAAUGCGGAAAUAGAUAAAUAUUGGUCAAGAUUUUAAUUGAGUAAAGAAUAAUUAAUAAAGACAAAAUAAUUAAUUUAAUAGAUUGAUAGGAGAUAUAUAUUGUUUAACUAGUAUUCAAGUAUUUGGCUUAUUGGUUAGUGUAUGAUUUCCUUCUCUAAAAAGUCAGAUUCAAAUCCCCUUCCCCAAAUAUAUAAAAAAAAAAUGGUUUAACUACUUUUUUUUUAGACUUGAGGGAAGGGGGAUUCAUCAUUUAACUAUUUUAAUUUUUGAAGUUUGUACUUUCAAUAGAUAGUAAAUAUCUCUAAUAUAUACAAAAAUACCGAUGUUGCAAAAUUUUUUAAUUAACAAAACAUAGUUAUAUUUGUUUAUUAUAUUUAUGAUUUUUUGUUUUAAUUAUUUUUAAAAUUGAUAUUAAUAACAUUGAUCAAUUUUGUAAAUAUAUAAAACUUCUAAUUUUAUAGAAUGAGUUAUGAAAAUAAUUAUAUAGAUUCAUUUUACUUUUAAAUUAUCAUAUUAAAUAUUUUUUAUUAAUAAUAUUUAUAUGAUUUAUCAAAUUUGUAAAUAUAUAAAAAAAUUAAAAUUACAUUGAAUGACUUUAUUAAAAGUUUUUUUUGUUAGUAAUUGACCAUUGAUUUUUCUGUGGGAGUUGUGCACUUUUCCGAAUACAAAUGUAAGGAAACUUGAAAUUUUUGCACAAAAAAAAAAAAAACAAGAACAAGAUUUAUCCCAUUUGUAAAUAAGAAUUUUAAUUACAUUAAAUGAUUUUCAUUAAAAAAAUUUCUUGAUUCUAAUACUAUUGAAUAAUUUAUAGAUUAAUAAUACAAAAUUUCAAUUAUAUAACACUGAAAAAUUAAUUAUUUUUAUAUAUAAUUAUCUUUCAAUUAUAAUUGUUUUUAGUUAUAGAUAAUUAACUUUAUAUUUUAAAAAUAUUUGUGUCGUAUAUAUAGAUAUUUAUUAUUUCAUAAUAAAUAAAAAACAAAAUAUUCAUAUACAAUGCAUAUGAGAAUAACUAUGAAUAAGUAUAAGUAUAUUAUUAUUAUUUUUUUAACUAAAAAUGAUGGAGUAGCUGAGUUGUUUCUCGGUUAUUCAAUUCCUAAUUCUUUGGUGAAUCUAGUAUGACGAUUGAUGAAAGGUUUUUGGUAUAAGGAGAGAGUACCAUAUUCCAAUUCUGGACCUUUACUUGAAGUAUUGGGACUUAAGCCUAAUUAAGUCAUUAAUUGAUGUAUAAUUUCACCAAUAAAAUUUUCUAUGUUGUAAUCAUAUAAUCAUUAAUGAUUCAUUAUUGGUCUAUUUGUCAGUGUUUACUUCAAUUAUUCUGUGCCAAUUUUUAACUAAUCAUUAAUGAUUCAUUAUUGGUCUAUUUGUCUAUUUAAGUUUUAGACUUAUAUAAGAAAGUAAUUUUAUUUCUCCUCUAAUAAACUGCAGUAUUCAAAUUUAAGAUUUGAGGCUUGCAUUUUCCAAUUAUUGUUUUAAAUUCCAACAAUGGGUUGUUCAGCACUGUUUGAUACCAAAAUAUUUUUAUUUUGUGUCAAUUAAUCAGGCAAUAAUAUUAGGCAGCUCGAGAUCUGAUGUAAUUUUUCUUAGAACAAUAUCAUCAUUUUUUAAACAUCUUUCCUUGGGGAAAGAACAAUGAAUCCAAGGUAGCCAUCCCCAUUAAGAAGAUUUUAUAGAUUUCUAUAAAAUUGCUGCAAGCUUUACCAUAUCAACAUUAUCAUCUAUAUUUGAUAAAAUUUAACAAAAUUUUUCUUGAACUUCCCCUGCUUCAAGAUGCAAGUGACAAGUUUCAUCUAAUUUUGUUACUUUAUCUUCAAAAAUCAACAAAUUAAAAAUAUAGUAACAAAAUUCAAUGAAAUUGAACUAUAUUGAUAAAAUUCAACAUUAACUCUUAAUAUUGUUGAAAAAUUGGUUUUAAUCCCCAAGAAAUUUCAUAGCUUAACAGGUUUUUUUUUUUUCCCAAUUCUGACUAUCUGAGUUUUACUUACAAAAUUGAGAGUCAAUUUUGAAUGUUGUUGAAAUCUCAUACCAAUUCAUGACUGAGGUGAAUUUCAUCUAUGGUGAGUUUUACCACAACCAUCCCCAUCACUCUCUCGCCUUUCUCGCCAUUCAAAUAUCAAUAUAUGCAAACCCCAAGGCCAAGGUAUAUAAAUCCAGAAUCCCAGAACAGGUUAAAUAUACUUGAUUAAUAUUUUGUUAAAUAAUAAUAAGAAGUCGUAAGAAUUCAUGUGACUUUUGUUAAAGAAUUCAACACUUAUCAUCUCUUGUCUGCCAUUUUUACCUGCUCUUGUCCUUGGCCGCCUUAUUUUAUUCCUAUCAAAGGAUAACAAAAAUAAACUACAUCUCUCUCUCCCCCUCUUAUUUAGUCCUCCAUUAACCAAAAUUUUAUAUGGAUGUAUGCACAUGUCUCUUCUGCUUAAGCCCAGGGAGUCUCAUUUUUCAAAGUUUUACUUGGUUGUAUGCACAUGUCUCUUGACCACUAAACAUAAAUUCAGAAAUAAAUUUUGAAAUUUUUUUAACUCCCUAUGAUUGCCGAACCCCCAUAACCACAAAAAUUUCUUCUAGUUCAAUAUCCUACUCUUGGAUUUUCUCUCUACUUCAAAUCUCAUAAUUCCUUUCUCAAACAAUUGAUCAUGGCUUUCAUUGCAGACGCUGCUCUCUCUGCUUUCUUUGACUCGUUGUUUUCCAAGUUUUCCUCUUCCGACUUCAACUUUGUCACUGAGAAGCAGGUUCGCAAGGAGAUUAUGACCUGGGAAACGAAAUUGCGGGAUAUCCAUGCCGUUCUUGCUGAUGCAGAGGAGAAGAAAAUGAAGAACCAGACUGUGAAGAAUUGGCUGGCUGACCUCCAAGACUUGGCUUACGACGUGGAUGACAUCUUGGACGAGUUUGCCACUCAAGCUUUGGGGCGUAAGUUGAUGAAAGCACAUCAAGCCAGCACUAGUAAGGCACAAAAAUUUCUUACUAGUUUCCAUCCAAGUUCAAUCUGUUUAACUAUAAGAUGAUGUCCAAGAUUAAAGAGAUUACAGGAAGAUUGGAAGAUUUAGCAACACGAAAGAUUAAAUUGCAACUAGUGAAUGCUGUUGGAAGGCCCAUGACACUACCAAGAAGCAAGCCAAGCACUUCUUUGGUGAAUGAAGCUACUGUACGAGGCAGGGACAAAGAAAAGGAGGCAAUACUUGAUUUGCUUCUGAGGGACAGUGGCAUUGAUGCUGGAGUUUUUGUGAUUCCCAUUGUUGGCAUGGGAGGGAUUGGCAAGACAACCCUUGCUCAGCUUGUCUACAAUGAUAGUAGGAUAACACAUUAUUUUGAUCUUAAAGCAUGGGUAUGUGUUUCUAAUGAAUUUGAUGUUAUUAAGGUAACAAAAAUAAUUCUACAAUCGGUCACUUCCGAAUCUUGUGAUAUAAAUGACUUGAAUUUACUUCAAGUCAAGCUAAAAGAGAAGCUGUCGAGCAAGAAAUUCUUACUUGUUUUGGAUGAUGUUUGGAAUGAGAACUACAAUGAUUGGACGAAGCUUCGAUCUCCUUUUGAUGCAGGGAUUCCAGGAAGCAAAAUAAUCGUAACAACACGUAGUUUUAAUGUUUCAUCAAUUAUGAGAAGUGUUGCAGAUUACUCGUUGCAAAGCUUAUCAAAUGAUGAUUCUCUUUUUAUGCUAGCUCAUCAUGCAUUAGAAAGAGGGGAUUUUACUAAGCAUCCAGACUUGGAAGAGAUCGGCUUGGAGAUUGUGAAAAAGUGUGGUGGCUUGCCUUUGGCAAUUAAAACUAUCGGAGGACUAUUACGCACCAAGGUGAAUCGUGAUGCAUGGAAAGAUAUAUUACAGAGUGAUAUUUGGGGUUUACCUGAAGAGAAAAGUGACAUAACUCCAGCUUUAUGGUUGAGUUACUAUUAUCUUCCUUCGCAAUUAAAGCAAUGUUUUGCUUAUUGCUCUUUAGUCCCUAAAGAUUAUGCAUUUAAAGAGAAGGAAAUAGUCUUAUUACGGAUGGCAGAAGGUUUUCUAAAUGGAGCAAACACUAAAAGCAAAAUUCAAGAUUUGGGUAGCACGUAUUUUGAAGAACUAGUAUCAAGGUCAUUUUUUCAAGCAUCUAACAGGAAUAAAUCCCAAUUUGUAAUGCAUGACCUAAUUAAUGAUCUAGCUCAGUUCGUUGCCGGAGAAAUAUAUUUUAAAAAAGAAAGGCAUGAUGAUAUGAAAGGUCCAAUUAGUCGCACUCGCUACUCCUCUUAUAUCAUUGGUAGCUAUGACGGAAUCAAAAAGUUUGAGACCUUUUUUGAAGCUGUUAGGAUAGUCUUGAAUUGUAGUUUGAUUAGGAUUGUUUAAUUCUAUUUAAACUAGUAUACCUUUUGAGAUUGUCUUUAAAUCUAGUUAGACUACUAUAAUAAUUUCUAAUUAUAUUAAGAUAAGGUUAUUGUAUUUGAUACUAUAAAAGGAUCCUAUGGGUUAAAGAAUAAUUAUCACCUAGAUUUAGAGAGAGUGAUUUAGGUGUACGUUGGAUAAGGGUUAUGAGUUUGAGACUGUUCUUGUAAUCUCCUGAUUUUUCUCUUAGUGAAUUUUUCUCUGUUGUUGUGCCCGUGGACGUAGGUCAUCAAAAGACCGAACCACGUAAAUUUUUGUGUUUUUCUGUUUGCUUGAUUUUUUUGGGUUUUAUCUUUGUUGUUUCCUGGGUAAUUUUUAUAACAAACUGGUAUCAGAGCUUUAAGGUCUUGAGUCAAUUUGAAUUUCACUAUGGCAACUUCGACCAAGUAUGAGAUUGAAAAUUUUAAUGGAAGAAACGAUUUCAGUUUGUGGCGUGUUAAGAUGCGCGCAUUGCUAGUGCAAACAAGGACUGUUGAAGGCACUAAAGGGAAAAGAGCAUCUUCCCUCGAAUUUAUCUGAUGGUGAGAAAGAUGACCUUAUGGAAAAAGCACAUAGUGCUAUUCUCCUUGCUUUGUCUGAUGAGGUGCUAAGAGAAGUCACGGAUGAGGAAUCUGCUGCUGCAGUGUGGUUUAACCUCGAAAGUAUUUAUAUGACCAAAUCCCUAACAAAUCGAUUUUAUAUGAAGCAACGAUUGUAUACUCUUAAGAUGAGUGAAGGUACGUCCGUUAAUACCCACAUUGAUUAAUUUAAUAGAGUUAUUCUUGAUUUAAAAAAUAUCGAUGUUAAAAUUGAGGAUGAAGACUUAGCCUUAAUUCUUUUAUGUUCUUUGCCUCCUUCGUAUGAAAAUUUCGUGGAUACUAUACUAUACGGCCGAGACACUCUCACUCUCGAGGAUGUAAGGGCAUCUUUAAAUUCCAAGGAAUUAAAGAAGAAAGUUGGUGGUAUUCGGAAUGAAAAUCAAGCAGAAGGUUUGGUUGUAAAUAGAGGUAGAGGUAAAGAGAAAGGCUUAGACAGAAAAGGUAAAUCUAGAGCAAAAGGGAAAACUUGCUGGAAUUGUGGUCAGAAAGGGCAUUUUCGUCAAGACUGUAUCAAAUUCAAGGAUGAUGAAAAGUUUAAUAAGUCUGAGAAUACUGCAAACGUGGUUGGAGAUGACUUUGAUACUUUUGAGGAAACUGAUAAUGUUCUUGCAAUUACUAAUUGUAACCUGAUGGAUACAUGGAUCUUGGAUUCGGCUUGUUGCUUUCAUAUAUGUCCUAGGCGUGAUUGGUUUACAACUUAUCAAUCUGUUAAUAUGGGCACUGUACAAUUAGGAGAUGAUUUCUCUCUCUCAGUUGUUGGAAUUGGCACAAUUAGAAUCAAGAUGUUUGAUGGUAUGGUAAGAACACUUGAGGUAAAACAUGUCCCUGACAUGAAAAAGAAUUUAAUAUCCUUGAGUUUGUUAGAUAAGAAGGGCUACAAAUAUAGUGGCCAAGAUGGUGUCUUGAAUGUAUCUAAAGGAGCCUUAACUAUCAUGAAGGGCAAGUUAUCCGGUGACCUUUAUUGUCUAGUGGGAAACACGGUCAUUGAAACUGUUUCUGUGGUCUCAUCUAAUGAUCCUGAAGAUGAUGUAACACGUUUAUGGAAUAUGAGAUUUGGUCAUAUGAGCGAGAGAGGGAUUAGAAAACUAAGUAAGCAUAGUUUGCUGUGUGGUCAAAAGAGUGGAAAGCUAGAUUUCUGUGAGCAACAUAGAGUGAAAUUUAGCACUAAAACUCAUCAAACCAGGGGUACAGUAAACUACAUCUAUUUAGAUUUGUGGGAUCCUUCUCCGGUGGUAUCAAAAGGUGGAUCAUUAUACAUGUGGAUCUUUAUUGAUGAUUUUUCAAGAAAGGUGUGGACGUAUCUUCUAAAGGCUAUGAGUGAAGUGUUAACCACCUUUUUGCAUUGGAAGGUAUUGAUCGAGAAGCAGACUAAGAAAAGGAUCGAGAGCUUUCGAACAAACAAAGGUUUGAAAUUUUGCAAAGGUGAGUUUGGUCUAUUCUACAAGAAUGAGAAAAUCGUUAGACAUCGCACUGUCGACAAAACACCAUAUCAAAACGAUAUUGUAGAAUUGAUGAAGAAAACACUUUUGGAGAGAGCAAAAUACGUGUUCUCAAAUGUUGGCCUAACCAAAGUAUUUUGGACAGAAGCUAUCAACAAGGCUUGUUACUUGGUAAAUCGGUCUCCAUCAACUGCAAUUGAAUUUAAGACUCCCAAGGAAGUUUGGUCUGGUAAGCCUGCUGAUUAUUUUAUAUUGAGAGUAUUUGGUUGUCCUGUUCAUGUUCAUGUGAGUGAUGGUAAACUUGAGUUGAGGGCGACAGAGUGCAUAUUCCUAGGCUAUGCAUAUGGGGUGAAGGGUUAUUGGUUGUGGUGUACUGAUUGUAAGUUCCCCAAGUUUAUGGUGAGUCGGGAUGUUACCUUUGACAAGUCUGCAUUACUUUGUGGGAUAAAGUCUAGAAUUGCAAACACAUCAGACCAAGAAGUUGGCAAGCAGGUGGAGCUUGAAAUCAAUGCUCUUGUGACAGUGCGAGAUGAUAGUGAAAUCCAGAAAGAAUUGCAAGAGGUACAAGAAUUGGUAUCUCAACGAAGCAUUACUUGUAUUGAUGGUGAUUUUGAUUCUUAUGUUUUAUUUGUGGAAGUAGAGAUUGAAGAGCCUUACUUUUAUCAUGAGAAAAUUAUAUAUGUCGAGUCUUCUAAGAAGAUUGAGUCUCUACACUGGGAUCAAACAUGGGAGCUUGUGAAAACACCUAAAGUUACUAUUGAAGUUGGCUUAGUGUGUGAAGGAGGUGCAAACAUUAGUCGUAAUGUGGUUGGCUUCUCCAAAUCAGAUUUUGCUGGUGAUCUAGAUAGUAGAAGAUCUCAAACGGGGUAUGUGUUCACUCUCUCAGGAUCUGCAAUCAGUUGGAAAGCAGUUCUUCAAUCAACCUUUGCUUUGUCUACAACUGAAGCUGAAUAUAUGGCUGUGACCGAGGCAGUGAAGGAGGCUUUGUGGCUUAAAGGCUUGGUUAGUGAUCUUGGUUUUGAACAAACACAAACAGUUGUGUUUUGUGAUAGUCAAAGUGCUAUACAUUUGACUAAAAAUCAGAUGUUUCAUGAGAGAACCAAACACAUCCAAGUCAAGUGUAACUUCGUUCGAGAGAUUAUUUCUAAAGGUGAGAUUGUAGUAAAGAAAAUAGCUACAGAUGAAAAUCCGNNNNNNNNNNNNNNNNNNNNNNNNNNNNNNNNNNNNNNNNNNNNNNNNNNNNNNNNNNNNNNNNNNNNNNNNNNNNNNNNNNNNNNNNNNNNNNNNNNNNNNNNNNNNNNNNNNNNNNNNNNNNNNNNNNNNNNNNNNNUCUUUAGGAUAAGAUUCCUAAUUAAAUUAGGAUAAGGUUAUUGUAUUUGAUACUAUAAAAGGUCCCUAUGGGUUAAAGAAUAAUUAUCACCUAGAUUUAGAGAGAGUGGUUUAGGUGUACGUGGGAUAAGGGUUAUGAGUUUGAGACUGUUCUUAUAAUCUCCUGAUUUUUCUCUUAGUGAAUUUUUCUCUGUUGUUGUGCCCGUAGACGUAGGUCAUCAAAAGACCGAACCACGUAAAUUCUUGUGUUCUUGUGGGAGUGCUUGAUUUCUUUCUUUCUUUAUUCUAUUGAUUGGGUUAGAUCUUGGGCAAUUCUUUAGAGACAAUUCCGCAAUUUCCCAACAGAAGCAAAGUCUCUACGAACCUACUUGCCCUUUGAGAUGAUGCAGCAAUGGAGAUGCUACUUAAGCAUUAACGUUCUCAAUGAUUUAUUGUCGGCAUUGAACUGCUUAAGGGUGCUCUCUUUGAAAAGGUACUACAUCACAGAAAUUCCUUCUUCUAUUGGAAAUUUGAAGCAUUUACGUUAUCUAGAUUUCUCUUAUACCAAAAUAAAAAGUCUCCCUGAUUCGAUAUACACUCUUUAUAAUUUGGAGACUCUUUUAUUAAGGUUUUGUGAGAAUUUUGAAAAAUUACCCUUAAAAAUAGGAAUUUUAGACAACUUAUGUCAUCUUGAUAUGACUAGUGCAAAUUCAAUAAAGGAAAUGCCAAGUGGAAUUGGAAAAUUAACAAAUCUUCAAGUGUUGUCUAAUUUUAUUGUGGGUCAAGGUGAUGGAUUAAAUAUAAAAGAGAUACAGAAUCUUGUAAAUCUCAAAGGCCAGCUUUGUAUUUCUGAAUUGCAUAAUGUGGAUGAAGCUCAAUAUGCAUGUGAAGCUAAGCUAUCUAGUAAGUGUGACCUUGAUAAUUUAGAGUUGAAGUGGAGUGCAGAUUUCAAUGAAAAUCUUAGAAAGAAAGAAGUUGAGAAAGAAGUGUUGAACUCGCUUCAACCUCAUAGAGAUAUUAAAGAGCUUGCCAUCAAGUAUUAUGGUGGAAUAGAAUUUCCGGGUUGGGUGGAAGAUGAUUCAUUCAAAAAUUUGCAAGUUUUAAGCCUUGAAUAUUGUGAAAAUUGCACAUUCUUACCAACAGUUGGAAAAUUACCAGUUUUGAAACAUCUCUAUGUCAAGGGGAUGAAAAGUGUGAUUAGUGUUGGCAAUGAGUUCCAUGGAGUGAAUGGGCCAAAGGUAUUUCCAUCAUUAGAGACCUUGCACUUUAAAGAUAUGCCAGAAUGGAAAGAAUGGAAACUUUAUGAAGUUGACGAACAAGGUAAGAAAUUCUGUUGCCUUCGAAAGCUCUUUAUUGAGAAUUGUCCUAAAUUAGAAAAAACUUUGCCUGAUCAACUUUAUUCUUUGGAGAAACUUGUAAUUCGUAGGUGCCAAGAAUUGGUAGUUUCAGUUUCGAAUCUUCCAAUGCUAUGUGAACUUGAAAUUGAUGGAUGCAAAGAAGUAAUGCUUAGGAGUUAUGAUGAUCUAUGGUUAGUUAAAAAAAUCAGUCUUUCAAACAUUUCAAAGUUUGAAUGUGUAACAAAAGAAAUGAAGAUGGUAGAGUGGAUGAAAGUAGAAGAUCUCCAAAUUAAUAAUUGUAAGGAGCUAACAUCUUUGUGCCAAACAAAGUGGGGGUGGUUGGCGCCUUUGAGAUCUCUUCGUACUAUAAAGUUUGAAAAUUGCCCGCAACUUGUGUGUAUAGGAGGAGGGGUAAAGGAGGAGGAAAAAGAAGAGCUUUUGCAAUUAGAAAUACCGUGCAACAUUGAAUAUGUGAGAUUACAAAAUUGUCAAAGGUUAGAGAGAUUAUCAAAAACCUUUCCCAACCUUACAUGUCUUACAAAGUUAAGGAUUGUAAAGUGCCUGAAAUUGGUUUCACUUUCGACGGACAACUUGCCUCCAACUCUAAGGACUUUGGAGAUUUGGGAUUGUGACAAUUUGCAAUGUUUACUGGACGACAAGGAGGAUAUCAAUUUUAGUAGCACAUCUCUUCUUCAAUCUCUUAAUAUUUCAAACUGUGAAGCUCUUAAAUCAUUAUCAUGGAGUUGUAAGUUACCCGUGGGGCUUAAAAGCUUGCUUAUUUUGAUGUGUCCAGAGAUUGAAUGUUUAGCACAGAAAAUUGGGGAUAAUGCUUGUCUUGAAUCUAUUUCACUCUGGGAUUGUAGAAAUAUUAAAUAUUUACCCCAAGGACUGGACAAGCUCAGCCGUCUUCAAGAGAUUAAUUUAUACUGUCCAAAUCUGGUUCGUCUCCCAGAAGCUCUGCCCAACCUCCACCAUCUUCAACAUUUGAUUAUAGGGGAAUGUCCAAGGGUGCAAAAUUCCAUCGGAGGAGGGGGCUUCCGUACCAACCUAACUUCCCUUUCACUCUUUGAUCCCAAUAUCAGUAAGGCAAUAAUGCAGUGGGGAUUGCAUAGACUCACCUCUCUUACAAAACUCAUCAUUGAUGGUAGUAAUUGUACCGAUGUGGUGUCGUUUCCUCAAGAAGAGAUAGGAAUGAAGCUACCCCUUUCUCUCAUCGAUCUUUCUGUCAGAAAUUUCAAAAACAUAAGAAAGCUAUCCUCCAAUGGCUUUCAAAACCUCACCUCUCUUCAAUAUUUAUGGAUCGGCAAUUGCCCAAAGCUCAAAUCCAUUCCCCGAAAGGAAAUGCUUCCCUCGCUUUUGCAACUACAUAUUUGGGAAUGUCCGGUGCUAAAGAAAAGGUGCAAAAGGGACGAAGGAAAACAAUGGUCCAACAUCGCCCACAUACCUGAAGUAACAAUUGAUGGUAGAUUCAUCUACGAAUGAUCAAGAGGAAGAAUCAGAGCAUGUCAACUUAGGUAUUUUAAUCCUACAACUAAUUACUAUUUUAAUUGAUUUUUUUAUGUACAAAUAUAUCUACACAACCAUGACAUUAGCCAACAUUGAAUUUUUUUGCAUUUAAUUGUGAAAUAUUUUAACUUCUAACAGACUUUAGCUUUUAGAAAACUAGGCCUUUCUAAAUGCUCCUUGCACAAAUGCUUUCUUGUCUAGAAUUUUGGUUUCCAGUAUGAAGCUUUUGGAACUUACAAAGUGUUGCUCCAUGGUUCAUAUGGAUUUCUUAAUCUGAUCUCACAUUUUUGAAGGAAACCCAUCUAUUUUCUUCUUUCAUAAAUGGGGUUGCAACUUUCAAUUCACUUUGCACGUCCAUCAAACUACUACAGGUGAGAAAAACUACUACAAUUUUUCUGAUUUCUAUGUCCUUUGUGCCUUCAUUUCAUAUCACCAAAUUAUGUUAACUGGGUUCGAGCAGAAGCAAUUUAAUGACUGUAGCCACCCCACAAGAUCUUCUACCAAUUAAUGUUAUAUGUUUAUUGUUCUCUGCUUCCUUACGCCAUGUAAGCAUCACAAGUAUUUUAGAAUCACUGUAUUAAGUUUUUUGCUACUCCACACUAACAACAGAAUUCUUUGGCCUUUUAUGGCAGGAUGAACAAAACUCAUGAUUUUGUAUCUAAUUCUAAUGCCUUCAGAAUCAAUGAUGGAAAGGUUUCCAAGCUACAUGUGAGAGUAUCAUACCGUAAGAUAUGAUAUUAAAGAUGGCAAUGAUGUUGAUUCAACAAUGUCCAAUUACAAAGAUUUGAUGGUUAGAGAGAUGCAUAGUGUAAGUAAUUGUUACCGACCGCCAAUAGUGAUUUGAUGGAGGAAUGGGUGGCUAAGGGAAAAAUGGAUUAGAAAGAGAGCAUCUUAGUUUAAAUGGACAGUCAGGCAUAAUUUCCAAAGAUAGUUCACAUUUGGUGUGAGAUUGUUUCUUCUUAACACAUUCAUGAUGAGCUAAUUUGAAUUCAUAAUGAAAUUAUUUAAUUGUUGCCUUCUGUGUUUAGACUUAUACAGCCCUAGGAUGGAUAAAGGAUUAAAUAUAUGAAUGCUAAGAGUUUAAAAUGUCAUAGCGAAAGCAACUCAAGUUUUUUCCAUUUUCUUUUUCAUUGUUGAACUUUUAUAUUUCUUUUUUUCUACUUAAGGUUUCCUCUUACAGUCAAUAAUAUCUGUCUCAGGUUUUAAUUAGUAUGAUUUGGUUUAACUCUCUCGUAGUCUUUCUCCUGCUUGGUGGAAAAGAUGUGAAUUGAAGACUUAUGAUCUGUUGUUGCCAAGAAGAUAGUCAGGUAACUCAAUACUGAUAUGCUGAGCAAAAAAAAAAAAAAAACAUAAUACUGAUAUGUUGACUUAUCAGAAUGGAGUUAUUUCUGCAUUUGAAAUUCAAGUUCCAAAAAGUUAAAAUGUGAUUUCGAAUUAAUUUCAAGAGCAAUCUACAAAGUUCCACCUGAAUUGAUCUUGAGCUAUUCAAGUGUAAAGUUUAACCUCUAAUAGGUUCUAGCUUAUAAAACUAGUUGAAAGUUUACUUAAAAUGUAAGAGCAAUUUGUAAAAUUCUCAUAUAAAGGCUUUCUUGUGGGGAAUUUUGGUUUUUAAUGUGAAGUGUUUGGAACUUACAGAGAGUUGUUUCAUGGUUCAUAUGGAUUUCUUAUUCUGGUCUCACGUUUUUAAAGGAAAUUCAAUGCUUUCACAAGGGAUAGCACUAUAUUACCUUUAACACUUGAACUAAACCUAAACGCAUGUUUCAUGAAUUUCAGUUUUACAAUCACCAAGAUAAAAUUUUGCAUUUGUCCUUGUCCUGCCUUAAAAAUUGAGAAUACUUAAUUGCCUAGUCUUUCAUCUCUUUCCAAAAGGAGUGCUUUGUUCAAUUUGUAGCUAAAUAUUGUAUGACUGUUCCCUACCAAAUCAAUUCUUAAAGAGUCAGAUAGCCUGGCUGCUUUAUGUUGAUAUUGAUGACUGAUGUAUUAAUUAUGUAUAAAAAGAAGCAUGAAAGCUCUUAGGUAAUACUUCCUGUUUCCCUCCUAUUCACUGCACCAUGUCUAUCUAAAAUUCCUCUCUAUCAUUAUUAGUAGAAUUCUUUUUCACUUUCAAACAGUUAAUUAAAGUUUCAUAAUUACAAAGUGAUUCUCAUGUCAAACAUGCAGGAAUUUGAGUGCGAAUUACCUAAGAAAGAAUGAAAUUCAAACCUUUGGACGUAAUUCAUUGACAACAAUUAAUGCCAAUAGUAAGUUUUCAAAGGUCAAUUUUUGAAUGCAUCCUUAAUAGAAUAAAGCCUUCCUCCUAAUUAUCAUGAAUGUUAUUUUCACAAUUCUCUGUUUCUUUUUCUUAAAUUUUAAGCUUAGACACUUUGAUUACCAACUUUCAAAUAAUUUAGUGGAGCAAAGAAGAUGAUCCCAAUGCAUUAUGAAUUUGGAAGCUAGGUAACUAUAUACUAAUUUUCAUGUUUCACAAAAUAUCAAGUACAAUAGAAGCAUCAUAAUAAUGGUUUUGUAUUCAAUAUUCAAAUUCUACAAUUCAACAUUUCAUUGAACUAAACACUAAGGUAGUCAUGCUAUGGUUUUUGAUAAAUCAGGAGGAUUGUGGCAACCUUGGUAUAUAUUAAGGAUAAGAUUUUUAGCAUUAGAGAAUCAUCAAGCUUGAAAUCCACUCUUUUCUUCUUAAUGCAAAGGCUGGUGCUUUGACUUGACUCUACACGUCCUUCCAAGUACUACAGGUGAGAACAACUACUAGAAGUUUUCUGAAUUCUAUCUCCUUUGUGCCUAUUCAUAAUUAGUGCCUUCAUUUCAUAUCACCAAAUUAUGUUAUUUGGCUCUUCAGGAAGUAUUUGUUUCUGUCAUCAUUCAUUGGAUGUGAGCAGAAGCAGUAUGAUGACAGUAGCCACUCCACAAAAUGUUCUACUAAUUAAUGUUAGAUGUUUGUAGUUCCUUGCUUGCUUAUGCCUUGUAAGCAUCACAAGUAUAUGAGAAUUAUUGUAUUAAGUUUUUUGCUACUCAACACUAACAACAGAAUACUUUGGCCUUUGUAUGACAGGGAUGAACAAAACUCAUGAUUUUGUAUCUCAUUCCAUGCCCCCAAAAUCAAUAUCGGAAAGGUUUCCAGGUAGCAUGUGAGUGUAUGUUUGGGCAUUAGUGGAUUUCUUGAUUCUUUUUUCCCAAAAAAAAGUCAUUUUAUAGAGCACCCUUAAACUAUGGGCAGUGAUGUUGAUUCAAGAAUGUCUAUUUCCAAAGACUUGAUGGUUAGAGAGCUGCAUAGUGUAAAGUAAUAACCGACUACCAAAAGUGAUUUGAUGGAGAAUUGUGUGGCUUAGGGAAAAAUGGAUGAGAAAGGGACCACCUUUAUUUAAAUGAACAAUGAGGCAUAGUUAUGGUGUUUUAACGACUUGAUGUGCCUCCAGUCUCCACAGACAGUUCAUACUUGGUGAGAUUGUUUCUUCUUAGAAUCUUUUAUAAGGUGAUUAUUGAUGUUAGAAAUUUAGCUUUUUAUUGAUAACUUGAUGUCAUAUCCUUUACUUGUACUAAAGAAGACUUUUGUAAUCCUAUUAUUUGAGUAGUGGAAGAAUUUGAACGGACUAUAGUCCCGUGGUUUUUACCCUUACCAAGGGGUUUUCCACGUAAAAUUUGGUGUCUUGCUUUUAUGGGCUGUUGAUUAUUUCACUUUUUUACAUUGAUAGCCAAUUAUGAAUUACUACUUUAAUUAUCAUACAGUGUAUUUAACUUUUAUAAAGAGGGAUAAAAAAAUGAAGUUCUGGUUGUCUAGUUGUAAUGGUAGACUGUAAAGACACAAUGCUUAGUGCUACCUUCUUUUCUUGGUUCUACUGAUUAACCUUGAGGAGUGAUGUCAAAGGAAUAUAUUCAAUACGGUGGGUGUGGAGUUCUAUGAAGAGAAUUGAACAAGUGCAUUUCCACCAUUAUAGAUUCUUCAAUUCCAGGAUAUGCAAGAGUUGGAGUGGAAUCCUUACCAAGUUGAUGAGCAAAACAGGAUCUUCACUUGCCUCCAUGAUCUUUCUGUCAAGAAAUGCCCCAAAGUAUUGAGAAGUCUACCAAGUUGUCUUCCUUGCUUGGAAAAACUUGUGAUUCAUGAUAAUUCGUAGCUUUAAUUCUAAACCCUUCAAGGCUGUGUGAAUUAGAAAUUGUUGGGUGCAAAGAAGUGUAACAUGAGAGUUCUCUUGAUCUUUGCUCAUUCAAAAAAAGGUCUGUCUCUCAAACAUCCCAAAGUUUACUUGUGAUGUUAGGCUUAAAAAAAACUAAAUUUCUUGGAAUUGGUGGUUGUCGGAGAGCUUACUUAUUUGAUGCAGAACAUCGGGGGCUGGUUAGCUUCUGCAGGUUUAGUCUGCAACAUGUCAAGAUAUGGAGUUGCUCAAAGUUGGCCUAUCUUUCAUCAAGUAGCCACUUGUGGGCUUUUGCACAAUUAGUUCACAAUAACACUUGUCUUGAAUUCAUUUUCAUCAGUAGGUGUGGAAAGAUUGAAUACCUACCUGAUCAUGACUGGUAUUGCUAUCUGGAAAAUUAAGUUCCAUUGUUUCAUUCCUUUAUUUGGCACAAGCCUUUCCACUGCCAUGCUAACAAAACCUAUGCAUUAUUGCCAAGCGCCAACAGUUUCCAUUGCAAAAUCUUUAAUCAUAUUGAUAUAAGAGGUUGUCUCCAUGUGACAACCAUUAAUCUAGCAAUUUAACCAAUGACAAAAAUAUGAUCACCACAUCAACCAAAUUCAAGGUUCAACAUAGGCCAAAGGAUCUAAAAUAUAAAUAGUAGUUGGAAAAGGUACAUAAAAGUUACUUUAUUAAACAGAAAUUUCUUGACAACUUAGUCUUAAUUCGCAAAUGACCCCUGACAUGGUACAGUCUAAUAAACUAAUCAUCAACCCAAUAUGAGAAAAAAAGAUAUAAAAUGAGAUGACAAAAAGCCCGUGACAUAGACUUAGACUUACCCCAAAUACAAAACUACAAAAAAAAAAAAAUUGGCUUCUAUUUUGAUGUCAUAUAUUCUGUCCCAAUCCCCCACUCUUUCCUAAAAGUUACUAGGAGAAAGCAACCAAAAAGUCUAGGUGCAGAGCUCACGGACCACUCCCAGCCUCGAAUUGGGCACAUCAAAAAGCACCCUAUGGUUCUGUUGUUGCGUAUUGGCUAUCACAUUCAGCACUGAAUUCACAUUCUCUGGUGCGAAUGCCCUGGCCAAGCAUGUGAUGCUGCUUAACAAAGUUUAGUGACUUUUCAAUCACAUAGAAUAUUGGAUGUUGUUUAAGGGCAAAUUUUGAAAUAGAGUUCUUUGAGUAAAAUUCUUGAAAUCUCCAACUUAAAAUAAAUAAAAAUUAAUUAUAGUUUAACCCCAUAUAUAAUUUACACAUAACUAUACUAGUAGUUAGUAGCUGAGCAAAAAAAAAAAAAAAAUACAGUAANNNNNNNNNNNNNNNNNNNNNNNNNNNNNNNNNNNNNNNNNNNNNNNNNNNNNNNNNNNNNNNNNNNNNNNNNNNNNNNNNNNNNNNNNNNNNNNNNNNNNNNNNNNNNNNNNNNNNNNNNNNNNNNNNNNNNNNNNNNNNNNNNNNNNNNNNNNNNNNNNNNNNNNNNNNNNNNNNNNNNNNNNNNNNNNNNNNNNNNNNNNNNNNNNNNNNNNNNNNNNNNNNNNNNNNNNNNNNNNNNNNNNNNNNNNNNNNNNNNNNNNNNNNNNNNNNNNNNNNNNNNNNNNNNNNNNNNNNNNNNNNNNNNNNNNNNNNNNNNNNNNNNNNNNNNNNNNNNNNNNNNNNNNNNNNNNNNNNNNNNNNNNNNNNNNNNNNNNNNNNNNNNNNNNNNNNNNNNNNNNNNNNNNNNNNNNNNNNNNNNNNNNNNNNNNNNNNNNNNNNNNNNNNNNNNNNNNNNNNNNNNNNNNNNNNNNNNNNNNNNNNNNNNNNNNNNNNNNNNNNNNNNNNNNNNNNNNNNNNNNNNNNNNNNNNNNNNNNNNNNNNNNNNNNNNNNNNNNNNNNNNNNNNNNNNNNNNNNNNNNNNNNNNNNNNNNNNNNNNNNNNNNNNNNNNNNNNNNNNNNNNNNNNNNNNNNNNNNNNNNNNNNNNNNNNNNNNNNNNNNNNNNNNNNNNNNNNNNNNNNNNNNNNNNNNNNNNNNNNNNNNNNNNNNNNNNNNNNNNNNNNNNNNNNNNNNNNNNNNNNNNNNNNNNNNNNNNNNNNNNNNNNNNNNNNNNNNNNNNNNNNNNNNNNNNNNNNNNNNNNNNNNNNNNNNNNNNNNNNNNNNNNNNNNNNNNNNNNNNNNNNNNNNNNNNNNNNNNNNNNNNNNNNNNNNNNNNNNNNNNNNNNNNNNNNNNNNNNNNNNNNNNNNNNNNNNNNNNNNNNNNNNNNNNNNNNNNNNNNNNNNNNNNNNNNNNNNNNNNNNNNNNNNNNNNNNNNNNNNNNNNNNNNNNNNNNNNNNNNNNNNNNNNNNNNNNNNNNNNNNNNNNNNNNNNNNNNNNNNNNNNNNNNNNNNNNNNNNNNNNNNNNNNNNNNNNNNNNNNNNNNNNNNNNNNNNNNNNNNNNNNNNNNNNNNNNNNNNNNNNNNNNNNNNNNNNNNNNNNNNNNNNNNNNNNNNNNNNNNNNNNNNNNNNNNNNNNNNNNNNNNNNNNNNNNNNNNNNNNNNNNNNNNNNNNNNNNNNNNNNNNNNNNNNNNNNNNNNNNNNNNNNNNNNNNNNNNNNNNNNNNNNNNNNNNNNNNNNNNNNNNNNNNNNNNNNNNNNNNNNNNNNNNNNNNNNNNNNNNNNNNNNNNNNNNNNNNNNNNNNNNNNNNNNNNNNNNNNNNNNNNNNNNNNNNNNNNNNNNNNNNNNNNNNNNNNNNNNNNNNNNNNNNNNNNNNNNNNNNNNNNNNNNNNNNNNNNNNNNNNNNNNNNNNNNNNNNNNNNNNNNNNNNNNNNNNNNNNNNNNNNNNNNNNNNNNNNNNNNNNNNNNNNNNNNNNNNGGGGGAGAAUCUCUCUGGUGUAGGGCCGUUGAGAUGGUGAGGCAUUCACGAAGAGAGAGGAGGGUCCAUUUAGGGAAGGGGGAGUUGAGGGUGUUUUCCUUCCCUUGUGAUUGUGAUUGUUUCAUUGAUUUGGUGAUUAGGGGAGGGGGAGAGGAGUGUGUGAGCUAAAGAGUUGGAAGAGAGGAGUGUUGUGAGUUUGAGGUGUUAGAAUUGUUUGGUUUCUCUGCUGUAUUGUUGAUUCUUUUUUGCUCAUCCUCUUGGGCAAUACCAUCCUAUGGUUCAUAUGCCUCUCUCAAUUAGGUGGUGCACUGCAAGCUCAUAAGACACUAUUGUCAAAGGAUUUCUGUGUUGGAUCAUGGGAGUUUUCUGGUUGCUUAGUGAUCUAUCUCCUGUAAGUUUAUUUUGAUCUGGCUGGGUUUGUUUUCUUGUGAAUGAGUUGUUCUUCCAUGGCUCUAUUCCGAAUAGGAAGGGGGAUGCUUGGAGACACCUUUUUCGAGAGCUCAAGUUCUCCUUUUCCUAUUGGAUCGAGAUUUGCUUGAUGCGGUCUUGUUCUUGUUUUUCUGGAGCACCGCUCUUUUUGCACCCUCUCUUAAGUUUGGGAUUUUCUCGUUGAUGCUUUAUGGAUCAGUAUCUAAUCACGAAUGGAUUCCAGGGGAGAUGCUUUUUUGAUGUGAUUAUGUGGUAGAUAGCUCUUUGUCUUUUUGGUUUCGGCUCCCUUUCUGAGAAGGGCCUUUAUGAAUUCUUGUGGAUAUGCCUAGCUUCUCUUCGGGCAUUUGAAUUGCUUGUAUUGGUAGAGAGCUACCUAGUUUUGUUUUUUGACUAGUGUGAAAAAGAAUUGCUUUCAACACUAUGAAGUAGUUCUUCUUUUGUAAUUGUAUUUAUUUUUUACACACAAGCUCUGUGCUAGUAAAGGUCUUUAACAAUUUUUGAAGACUUUAGAUGGCAUGGAAGCUUAGUGCUCAAUAAAAUCACCUUUCAAAAAAAAAGAUGGUGACUAAGGCUUGAGUUUUUCUGUUUUAUUUUUUCUGUCGUCUUUUUUCUCUUCUUUUUUAGAAAGUGCAGCACACAUAUAAAAUGUAUUUAGAGUUAAGUUAAAAUGCUAAUACAACUUUUGAUUUAUUGCAUUUUAAUCAUUCCACUUAAUUAAACAAUUUAAUUAAGUCCACAUUGGAAAUUCCUAAUUUUCAAUUAAAUACUAGUCCCAUUUUAAUUUCACAUUGUCAUCUUAUUGUGUGUGAUCCAUUAAGUCCCCAACAUAUUAGUAAUAAAUAUAAAUCAAUUUUGAACUGGGGUCCAAGGCUAUUCCGAUUCCUUGAUUGCUGGCUCUCAGUGCCUGGUUUCAAAGAUAUGGUUGCUCAAAAAUGGUCAUCUACUCCUGUUAAUGGAACUUCUGGUUUUUGUUUGAAGGUCAAGCUGAACAGACUUAAAACCCAUCUUAAGCAUUGGAACAAGGUCUCUUUUGGUAACAUUGAUGACACUAUUAAUGAGCUUGAAAACAAAGUUGAAGAAUUUGAUAUUAUUUGCAAUCUAAAGGACCUCACGGAUAAUGAAUGCUUAGCCAAAAAACAAGUUGUCCAGCAGCUAUGGUCAUCUUCUAGGCAGCGCGAAUCAAUUUGCGCCAAAAAUCGAGAAUUCAGUGGCUAAGGGAAGGUGAUAAAAAUACACGUUUUUUUCAGUGCAAGGCCAAGGCCCGUUCUCGUCGUAACUACAUCGCUGGAAUCACAAUUAAUGGUUUAUGGAUCUCUAAUCCGGCAGAGGUACGACAAGCCACUUUGAACACUUUCGAAACUUAUUUAAUUGCAAUCAAUGGUCUUGUCCGAGUGUUGAUGGCUUUCAAUUCAAAAAGAUCAGCUCUCAUGAUGCUCAAAACUUGGAGGCUCCAAUUUCUAUGGAGGAACUCAAAUUUGCUAUAUGGAGUUGUGAUGGCUCUAAAGCCCCUGGGCUUGACGGAUUCAACCUUAACUUCUUCAAGCACUGCUGGUCCUUUAUCAAAUCUGAAUUGUUUGACUUCAUUUCUGAUUUCAUGACUCGUGGCAAGCUUGACAAGGGUAUUAACUCAUCAUUCAUUGCUUUGAUCCCCAAGACACCUAACCCAACUGCUCUAACAGAGUACUGGCCUAUUAGCCUCAUCAAUUCCCUUUACAAAAUCCUUGCUAAGCUGCUGGCCAAUAGGUUCAAAACUAUAAUGUCCAAAGUCAUCAGUGAUCAUCAAAGCGCAUUCAUAUAGGGCUGCCAAAUUACGGAUGGCAUAAUGUUGGCCAACGAAGUCAUUCAUAGCAUGAAGCAUCAUCUUUACAACAAAUGAGGUAUCAUUAUCAAACUUGAUUUUGAAAAAGCUUUUGACUGUGUUGAUUAGAACUAUUUGCUUCUUGUUAUGCGUGCUAUGGGUUUUGGUCAUAGAUGGUGCAAUUGGAUUUUUAAGUGUAUCUCCACUAUCAGACUCUCUGUGUUAGUCAACGGAUCAGCCACCCCUGAGUUCCCAUGAAGCGAGGACUUCGCAAAGGUGAUCCUCUUUCUCCCUUUCUUUUUGUCAUGGCAAUUGAAACUCUUCACUUAUCUCUUGUGAAGGCAGAAUCUCUUAGGCUUUUUUGAGGCAUUUCAAUCACAUCCUUCGGCCUUUCCCUCUCUCAUCUACAAUUUGUAAACGACACUAUCAUCUUCAUGCAUGCUGAUACCCAAGGAGCUCUUAAUCUAAAACGGAUGUUACACUAUUUCGAGUUAGCUUCGGGCCUUCACAUUAAUUUUCAAAAAUCGUCUGCUUUCCUAAUUGGUAUCUCGGACUCUUUGGGUAACGAACUAUCAGCUCUUUUGCAUUGCAAAGUUGGUUCUCUUCCUUUAUCCUACCUUGGUAUUCCACUUGGCGCCAAUCCUAAAAGAGCUUCUACUUGGGAUCCAAUCAUUAACAGAUUCAAGAAAAAGCUUGCACUUUGGCAGAGAAAGUAUCUAUCUCUUAGAGGUAGGGUCACACUUAUUAACUCUGUUCUUAAUUCACUACCACUUUAUUAUCUUUCAAUCUUCAAAAUGCCCAAAAGUGUUCUUCAAAAAUUGGAACAGUUAAAACGAUCUUUCUUAUGGGGCGGAAUAGCUGACAAACGAAAGGUCUCAAAAGUUAAAUGGGCCACGAUAUGCAAGCCCAAAUGAUUUGGAGGAUUAGGAAUCACCAACCUAUCCUAUAAAAACCUUGCUUUACUUGCAAAAUGGUGGUGACGUUAUGGGACGGACAAAAAUGCAUUAUGGAGAAGACUGAUAAUGGAAAAAUACAGCGUAGGACAGCCUCACUGGACACCCUCAUCAUCCAGCACAACGAGAAUGUCUUCGGUAUGGAGGAGUAUUGUUCAACUUCCUUUUAUUGAAGGGAUGCAAAAUCUGGUUGGUUUUCAUGCCUGUCGUUGGAUUGUAGGUAACGGUGAGACUAUUUUUUUCUGGUUUGACAAAUGGAUUGAUGACAUUCCUCUUGCAUCUAAAUUCCCUAGACUCUUCUCUUUGGCUAUUGACAAAGACAUGAGAGUUCUUGAUGCUUGUCAGAAUGGAUUAUGGUCAAUCAAUUUUAGACUCGAGCUGUAUAGUUGGGAGAAAGAGGACUUGGGCUGGAUUCUAACUCUCUUUCCUUUAUUUCACUUGUGCCAUUGAGAGAUGACAAGCUGGUCUAGACGCAUGAUUCUAAAGGCUCUUUUUCAAUCAAAACUCUUUGCUCACUAUUGGACUCCACAAGUGACUCCAUCAUGGUCUAGUUUCACUCCAUUUGGAAAUUGACUGUUCCCCCAAAGAUCCAAUGCUUCCUAUGGUUGGCGAUCCUCAACUCUAUCCCUACGAAAGUCUUCCUCUCUUCAUGUGGAGUCUGUUUCUCCCCCGACUAGCUUCGUUGUGUGUGGUGUGGCCAAUUUGAGGAAUGCUGUUCGCACAUCCUUCUCACCUGCCCAUUUAGUCGGAGAGUUUGGGGAUAUGUUCUUAAAUGGUGGGGAAGCUCUUGGUGUUCUUCGUGUUCUUUAUCCUCUUUUAUGCAAGUGUGGGAUGGUUGCCCUUUUGGGGGUAUUAUCUAUAAGAGAUGGUUGAUUGUUUGUGCUGCUUCUUUAUGGUCUCUUUGGCUAGCGCGAAAUGAGACAAUCUUUAACUCUAAAGUAUGGGAUGGCCUCCAAAUUUUUUUCCUCAUCAAAUUACACUUAAUGUUCUAGAUACGAGCUUUUAAAGGUGUCGAUGCCAUUGAUGAUAUGGGUUGGUGGAUUGACCCACGUCUAUCUUCGAGGAAGAAAACACCACAUCACCAUCGCGUGGGCACUUCAUGGUCUCCACCCCCCACUGGUGAAUUCAAAUUUAAUGUCGACGGCUAGGCUAAAGGCAAACCAGGACCUGCUGGUUACGGCAACAUCCUUCGAGAUUCUGAUGGACAUGUUGUUGGCCUUUUCUUUUGCCCUAUUGUCUUACAUGACUCCAACUUUGUAGAGCUUAUGGCCAUUCUUAAGGCUCUUAAACUCUUUGCCGCUACUCCUUAUACAUCAUCUCCCUUAAUCAUUGAAUCUGAUUCAUGCGUUGUUCUCUCGUGGGUUUACUUAGUUGAAAAAAGACCGUUGGACAAAUGAAGUAUCUUUAACGAGUUAGACUCUCUUCGCGUUACGAUAGGUACGGUUUCUUUUAAGCAUAUCUUUAGAGAAGGAAAUGGUUUUGUUGAUUCCUUGGCAAAGUAUGGUGUUAAUUAUAACACAUCAUUUUCUGCUUGGUGGUGACCUCAAUGGUCUCUUUGAUUCUGACCUUUUUUGUUGUUCUUACUCUCUGAUAUUUGGAUCACCACAUCCUAUUUUUCUCACCAACUUUUCGCUGCUCUUUACUGUUCUGUUUUUUUAGUUAUUUCAUAGGCAAGGCUCUCCUCAGGUUUUUCUUUUGCCUUUGAUCUUUUGUAACAGUGAGUACCUUUCAUCUGUUACCUGCAGUUGUUGUUCCUAUGGCUGACAUGCCUUCUUUUGUACUUACUAAUUAAUCUUAAUGAAUGGCUUAGCAAAAAAAAAAAAAUCAAUUUAAUUAAGAAUUUAUAUUUAUAUUUAUAAAUCAUGAGUGGUAUCUAGCAAUACAUCAGGACUACCAAAUGUUAGGAAAGUCAAUAUGGUUUGAUUAAAUUUUAAUGUAUAGUAUUUUAGUGUAGUUCGAUCUUUUCAUCAUAUAUCCCCAAUAAAUAAAAAGCUUGACUCGGUGUCUACUUUUUAACUUAUCCAUAUUAGUCAUACAGCUUCCAUACUGACCUAUUAAGAUUGCCUUAACCAAAGAUUUUCAGUCAAUAUAAACUAAGAGCAAAUGAGAUAUAUCUUCUUCUAAUUUAUUUAUGGAUAUAUAAAAGCUUGUCUUUUGUUCCUGCUUCUUUGUGUUGAUCUUUUUGGUUGGAAGGGGUCAAGCUGAGUGCUUUCCUUUUAUCUCUCGACGUUUUGUCUUUAAUUUAGGGGUAGGGUAAUCUCUUUUAGUUUUUCUUUUUUAUUGAUUUCUUGUUAAGCUGCCUUGAUCCUGUUGAGCAGCUAUUAUUUUGCCAAUUGUACAGUUGUUUUGCCCGAGCCGUUCUUGAUAUGCCAUAGGUAGUCUUUGGUAAUUACAGCCUUAGACCAACAAUGGCUAUCAAUGAGAUAAUAUAUGUUGCUUCAAUUCUAUUAAAGAAAAAGAAAACAAAUAAUCAGGACAUGUCAGCCUAUGAAAUUUAGCUACCAAUAAAAUUGAGAAUUGAGAACAAAGAACUAAGGAUGGAUUAACAAAUGAAAAAUUUUUAAAGGAGGGAAUGAAAAGCAUUAGCAUUUAUCCUUCAUAAAAAUCCAACCACAAAUUACCCAAAACAUAAUUCUUCAACUUUAUGCAACAAUCAAGUAGCUAGUAGCUCCAUUCUAUUUUAUUUUACUUGACUAGCCCUCAGAUUAUUUUUUUUGUUGGUACAUAUGACGAAUAGAGCAUGAUUAACAGAAUUGAACCACAGAGUACAUCAUGAACUAUUUGAGUAUUUAGUUCAAUAACAUUUAUAUUUUUUUCAAAUUUGGAUUAUUUUUCCCUCUAAAAAACAAGACUAAAAUGAAAUAAAAAGGUACUCAGUCUUAGUGACGGUGGUAUAUUCCUCGAUUGUCACCUUUCUUGGUACCUUUAUUUCCCCUUGAGAGGCAGGAUUUGUAAGGUAUCCUCCUGCAGAGAGCCGACUUGUUUGGGUUAGAAGUGCCCCUAAUCACAGUGCGACGCCUGCAAAGCAUUCUUCCAAUGUCAAAGUCAAACAAGAACUCCAACUCCAAGUUAUUGUGUGCAAAAGUGGCAGUGUGAUGGAACUCCUUCAUUGAAGUAGCGGUUGCUCCAUGUCACGACCCAUUACUCCCCUCGAGCCCGUGACAACCGUCGCGGUGUCCCGGUAGACACUCAUUACCCAGAAUGUCAACUCGAAACCCCGCAAGGCUUUACUAUCAGUUUUUCAUUUCCCUUGUGAGCAACCAUUGUCAAAUAUCGUGUCAUAAAAGAUUUUUAGCUGUUUCCAACUUAAAACAAAUAAAAUAUUAAUUUUCGUCUCACAGGGGUAUUUUGGUCAUUUUUUCAAAAAUUUUGAAAUCCGCUAAAAAUGUAGUAAGCGAGUACAAAACACAUAUUUCAAAAUCAAAAAUAAAUUUAGAUGUCUAAAACAUUCGUUUAAAACGAAAUUAUGAUUAUUUGGAUAUAAUAAGAAAAUGAAAUAAAUAUUAAGUAAAAUAUUCUAUUUUCUUAUUAAACAAUAUUUUUAGAGUUAUACGUAGAUAAUUUUUGUAGCGUAAAAGCAAAGUAAAUUCAUACAUACUGUAAUACAGUAAAUCAGAGUAUUUAAUUUAAUUUACAAUGACCAGUGAGCCCCCGAAUAACCAAAAGUAAAGAGGACUGUGAACCUACAAUUUGAAGGAAUGCAAAUCCAAGGGUAGUCCUCGAUGAACUCAGCUAUCUACAGCCUAAUCUGAACCUAAAAUGGGUGAAAAGGAGAGUGGUGAGAUUUUAUAAUCCCAGUGAGUAAACAAAUAUCAUCUGAAAUAUCUAAAGUCGAGUAAAAGGAGACAAUUAAAAUACUUCAUCUCAAUAUGUAUUUCAUAACAUAAACAUUCAUUUCAUUUAAAUAUUCAACAUGGCUUAUGAGUAUCUUAAAAGCUUGGCUCCUGCCAAAAUUAUUCUCGGGGAUACCUUGGCCGAGGCAUCUAACCGAGUUCGCUAAGGCUGUUAAAAAGUUCGUAUACACGUAAACAUAUUUUUAGUUUGAAAAACACAGCCAUUCCUUGGCGUUAGCGGAGUUCAUCAUCACGAGGUGGUUCGGCGUGACGUGAACUCUAUCCAUACCUCAAAAGAUACCCUACGCGCCUCUCCAACCGAGGUACAUAUAUAUAUCCAGAUUUCGUACCCCUCUAAUAGGUUGGUCCACAGAACCCGCCCACUGCAACAAGCUAAACCCACCAUACAAUAAAAUUUUGACAGCAUGACAUGACUAAUAUAGUACUACCCAACCUGCAAGUGUAAAAUAGAACAAUUCAUACAGUUCACAAAAAUACAACCCAGCCAGUCAUGCCAACACAUUAACAUAAGCCAUCAAUUCAAAUCAUAAAUUUACAACAUACCGGUGGUCUCUAAUUACUCUAUUUUCAAAAUUGUUAUUCAAUUUCAAGAUAAUUUAUAAAAUCUUUCCAUGUAAACACAUUCUGUUUGUAAAACACAACAAUUUACCAUUUAAACUCAUUUUCAUAAAAUUUCACCAAAACCGAUUAAAAACACACUUUAGAUAAUUAAAAUGAUAGUAAGGUUACUCACUAUUUCGGGAGUCGAAUUUCUAAAGUACUCUGACUACCGAUCCUCGGAUACAAUUUCCUAGCCUUUAUCGGAGGAUUCACCACCUAGACAUAGUACAAAAUCGAAAAACUUACUACAUUGGUACUAAAUUGAAAUUAAACUAAUUUAGACUAUUAAUGGAUGAUAUGGAAUGCAAAAAUGUCCGAAUAGCCGUUUAAAUACGAUAUUCGACCUAAUUCGCACUAUUCUUGGUGUAAUUGGCUAAAACCUCCAAUUUAACUCCAAAUCGAUUUCUUUCACUUUUUACACUCUAAUUAUACUUAAAAUACCUCAAUGAUUGUGAAUAUGAUUUAAUUUAUCAGUUCGAACUAUAAAUCACACAUGUCUAUACAUUAGGUAAAAAUUCAGAUUUUCAUGCCAAAAUUUCCCAUUAAAUUUCUAGCCUCACCAAUCAUUAAAUACCACCAAAAUAUCAUGAAAUAUCAUCAAUUUCNUUUUCAUGCCAAAAUUUUCCAUUAAAUUUCUAGCCUCACCAAUCAUUAAAUGACACCAAAAUAUCAUGAAAUAUCAUCAAUUUCAGCCUCAAUAUCCUCCCUAAAAAAUUCGGCCAAUGAUGGGUAAUGGGAGAAAAAUGAAUUUUUUUCUUGUUGUUUAGUUUCUUAGACAUGAUAAACUAACCAAAAACACUAGCAUAACUUAAAAUCAAAUCAAUCCAACUUCAUUCUCUCCCCAUACCCAUUCCAACCAGCCAUGAAUUCACCAUGAAAACAUUGAAAUCUAACCUUGGAAAAUGAAAAAGAAAGCAUUGGGUAGUGUAAAUCACAAGUCAAAAUCAAGAAAUUUUACCUUUAUUAGCUUAAUCCCUUGAAAUCCCACACUUUUUCUUCAAUUUUCCUGCCUAGGUUUUGUUCUUUUUUCCUUUCCUCCUUUGUUCUUCUUUGGCCAGCCAUAUGAAUGAGAAAUGGGCUGAUUUUUACUGAUUUUAAAGCUAAAAAAAAAUGGAUAUUAACUUGACAUGUGUCACUAUUUCAUUGGCCCAUUUUUUUAUUUCUUAACUAUUAAGCUUUCUCUCUCCACCAUAUAAAUCCCUUCAAUUAUCUAUGAUAAAAUUGAGUAAAAUCCAUAUGCUGGACAAGUGUCGGGUGUGUAACAAUUUUGCCCCUGGAAUGAUAAAAUUACCCUUUUACCCCUAUGCAUAGAAAAAUACCGGAAUUACAAUUUUUUUCACUUCUCAACCUCAAAUCAUACUCCAAUAAGUCAAAUGGAGCCAAAAAAUCUUUCCUAAAAAUUCUCAUUUUGUCCCCAAGUGGCAAAUGACCAUUUUGCCUCUGGAUAGUGAAAAUUUUGGUUUGACUCCAAAUUGAUCUUCAAACUCUGAAUUACCAUUUUGAGUCAUUCCUAGACUGUGAAGCUCUUAAUCUCACCUUAAAAUUCCUAUUUGAUCUAGUUCGAGGCUUAAAUUAACUUUGUUGUACCUCUAGGUACAAUACCUACUUUUGUAAAUUUUUCGGGACUCUCCUAGCAUGCAAUCAUGCUAUCAUCACAUGUAUGUCAUGACAAGCAUUUUAUAAGGUCAGGCUUUACACUCCAUGUUGGGUUGUAUGAAGAAGAAUCAUUAUCAUCAUUAGGAUUCCUAGAGGCAAAUCCUUUCCCACUACUCUAAUAACUUCCAUGUUUCUCUCUUUCUUUCUCCCUUCUCUGCCGACUCUUAUUAAAUAGCUACUACACUUUGUCAAUCCUAGGGAAGUUCCGGUCUUAUUUAUAGAGAAAAAAAAAGUUGAGGUGAGCAUUAAAGGUCCAUAUAUAAUUUGGAUAAUACAUUUGGUAUUUUAUUUUUUUCAAAAAUUAUUAUAAAUUGUAACACUUAUUAAUUCCUAAUCCUUUUUAAAAGCGUUUCUUGAGUACUAAAAAUAAAGUUUGUGAUCCUUUUGUUAAUUUUAUUUUUCCCUUACCAUUGUUGUAACCAACAGGGUCCAUGUAUAUUUGUAUUUCAAUGAGAAUCCCAUGUGAAUGCACAAAAAUUUAAACUGACUUAGACCUAAAGAGAACGACAUUCACAUGGUUGUAUGCACUAGUCUUUUUUGCUAAAGCCUACAAAAUCUCAUUUGUCAAAAUGCCUUUCUUCAGCACUAAAAACAAAAUUUAAGUUUUCACAAAAAGAUUUAUAGACAUUUAAUUUGAGAAGAAAGAACAAUACUAGUGACUAUUAUAAGCAAGGAUGUGUUCUCCGCAUAUAAUGAAUGUAGCAUAAUCACCUUGGGCACCCAUUUUUCCAUUAAAACCAAAUCCUUCCAGGUAAAGAGACUUCAUGGACAGAAAUAAGCCCAAUUGUUUCAGUCAGUUAAUUGUUCUAUCAGGAAAGCAUAAAUGUUAACUAGGCUUUCUUGAUCACGAAAAAUUAAUCUCUUCAGUCACAAGAAUUAGGUAAAUGAAUAUUAAUCUCAAAUAGGGGCAGAUAUUCGUAAUCAUAAGAAUCCAAGUAAAAAGACAAGAUGAAAAUUAAAGCAUGUAGGACCAUUUGAUAGAGUAAAAAGACACGAUGGAUAUGCUAGAGAAUACGAAAGAGGAGGGCGGCUGAUGGACAAUGCCAUGGAUUUCCUAUAGAGCCUGUACCAAUCAAGACCCUCAGCAAGGGAUCAUGCGGUUUCCCUCGAAGAAUAAUGAGAUGAAAUUUAGUGUGAAUGGAUUUGUUAAAGGCAAAUUAGGCCCAGCUAGACGUGGAGUCCUUCAGAACAGGAGUGGAAAUGUCAGGGGCCUAAUUUUCCUCGGUCCCUUUGGUGAUUUAGACUUAAAUAGUGUAGAGACAUUGGCAGUCAAAGAGUCUUACAAUUUUAAGGCUUCCAUUGAAAAAAUCAGCAGUUAAGUACUCAAGGAUCUGUGGUUUGUCCAAGCUUAGCGACAUCCUUUCAGAACCUACGAGAGGAAAAGUUUUUAUAAUUAACAGGAGUUAGUGGCUUUGUGGAAAGGAAAUGAAAGUUUUUAGAGUGAAAGCAAGAUUUUCAGAUAAAAUUUGUCAUUUUAUUAUGAAUUAUUGUUGAAGUUAUCACUUUAUUUUUAUAAUUAUUGUAUUUUCUAUUUUAUUGUUUGACAAAUAAUGCAAAAAAUUAACAACAUUUAUUAUUUGUAUAAAUAGAAUAUUUAAUUAAAUAUUUCAAUUUUGUUGAUUUUUGGAAAUUUUAUUAAUUUUUGUUCAAAUAUCAAUGUAAUUGAAAAUAUAGUAACAAAAGUCAAAAUUUAAAUAAAAUAAUAAAAUUGUAAUAUAUCCACUUAUAAUGCGAUUUGAACUUGAGAUAUCAACAUUCUAAGGUCUCGUAGUUGUCAUUAAAAUAACAUCUCGUUAUUUCAACUAAACUUAUUUACAAAGUAAUUUCUCUACUGCUAAGUUUAUUAUAGAAUCCUAAAUUAGGAUUUAGUUUAAGUAGAAAUCCUCUUCUCAAUAGUGAAUAGAAAUGUGUGGAAAUGUUGUAUUACGUAUAAUUAGAAUAAAGGGAUAAACCAGUUUAUAAGCUUGCAUUAUUUGACCAUUUAAUUAUGAUUAAGUAGUUGGGCGUGAUAAAUAUUUAAGUUGUCAAUUUGAAUAUAUAUAUAUAUAUAAUUCUUAUAUGUAUUUUUAAAAGAAAUUAAAUUUAAAAUAAAAUAGGUAUAUAUUAAUUGAGAACAACUUUAGUUGACGCCAUCUUGCUAUCAAACCAAAUGCAUGCAUUUUCCACAAUGGAAAUUGUUAUGGAGUUUCUCCUGUUGGAGACCUUGACUUGGUGUCAAUUUCAAAAUAAUAAAAUCACCAAAUGUGUUGGAAUCUCUAAUUUUUCCAAAUAAUUGGAAAGAAAUUUAAUUCAACAAAAAGACAUUAAUUUGGCGUCAACCCUUAAAACACUCUAUUAUUCAAAAAAAAUUAAAUACUCAAAUAAGCUUCUAAAUUGUACCAGAAAAUUAAAUAAGUUUUUAUAUUUUAUUACGUAUAAUUGAAUUCUGAAUUUUUAUUUUGAAUCAAAUAAAUUAUCUCACUAAUUUUUAACUAAUUUUCCGUUCGUCAAAGGCACAGUUAGCACUUUUAUAAUAAGGAAUUUUUAUUUUCAAAUUCCUUACCCAAUUAUUUUUGGACACGUGCCAAGUAAGAAAGGUAAACAAUAUUUCCUAAGUGGUAACUAUUAUUGCCGCAUGUCAUUGACAUCAACAUAGUGACACAUCAACAUACUAAGUGGCAUUAAAGUGCCAACUAUGUUGUUGACUAAUAAAAGUUAGUCAACAAUUAGUGAGGAGGCUUAUUUGACUCAAAAUAAAAGUUUAGGAAUUUAAUUGAACGCAAUCAAAUUAUAGCAACUUAAUUGGCUUUUUUAGUAUAGUUCAAGGACUUAUUUGAGUAUUUAGCAAAAAAAAUUUGAAUUUUUGCUUCAUUAUCUUAUCUCAAUAAAAAAAUCUGAAAAACCCCUAAAAACACUUCAAAAUGACACUUUGGUCCCUCUUGUUUUAAAAUGAUGUUUUGGACCUCUUAAUUGUUAACAAGAUUAGUCAACAAUUAAAAAAAAAUUGAAACUAAUAUUACAUAAAUAUUUUAAGACAUAAAUACUCUUAUAUUAUUUUUUAAAAUUUAAACAUAUUCUUUUUUUAAAAAAAUCUGCUUAUCAUUCCCUUAAAAACCUUCAUAAAAAAACCUACAAAUUUUGAUUUAAAGACCUAGAAAUUUGAAGAUGUAUCUACCUUGAAAACCAUAAACUCCUGUUUUGAGGUAAAAUCUAUUGUCAUCAAACUUUUUUUUCUCCAAUAUUUUGAGAUUGUUUUGUUUCAUUGGAAAGAAUGUAUUAAAAGUAGAUUUUUUGUUUAAUGAUGGAUAUUUCAAAUUUGGUAGUACCAAGUCAAGAGAUUAAUUCUUACUCGUGAUUACUAGUUUUGUUGAAAAAUUUUUGUCCAAAACUUUUUCUUAAUUUGAGACUAAGGUUUAGGAUGAUGUAAAAAGAUUUUGACUUGAUUACUAUACAUCAAAAGUUUAAGGUUUAUGUUCGAAAUUGCGCUACUUGUUGCUUGAUUAGUUGCCAACGGUCUUGUGCUAAGUUUCCUAUUGAUAUUUUGCACUUUUGCUAUUGUUUGCUGAUUCAAUGCUAAUGUUUUCUACAAGACAAGCUACUACAUUCACAAAUCUCAUUUUAGAACCUUUUAAGUUUUAAGUUUUUUUUUCUUCGUCAAAUAUUGAAGUUUAUUAAAUAUUAAAGUGAAUUUUAUUAAGUUUUAGAGGAGAAUGUGAACAGUUUUUUUAAGAAGGUAUUUGUGUCCUAAAAUAUUUAUGUAGUAUUGGGUAUAAUUUUUUUUAACUGUUGAUUAACGAUGUUACCAAUUAAUAGACAAAAAACACCAUUUUGAAACAAGAAGUACCAAUCUGUCCUUUUGAAGUGUUCUGAAAGGACUUUUUGAAUUUUACAAAAAGAGAACGAAUGGAUAUUUAUAAUUGAAGGUAAUAAUGACCAGAAUAACUUAUUUUUGAUUAUUUUUAAUUUUAUUAAAUAAAAUUAAUUAUUAGCUUUUAUUUAAAUAAUUAAGUUUACACUUUAAAUAUUUUUAUUUUAUAUGUAAUUAUUAUUUCAAAAUAAAUAAAAAAUUAACAUUCAAAUGAAUGAAAAGACCAGAUGGGUAAUAAAGCAUUUAUAGGACCAUUCAAUAAACAUUUAGUUGUGAAUUUGAAAAUAUAAAAUUCUUAUCUAUAUUUUUAAAAGAAAUUAAUUUUAAAAUGAAAUAGGUAUAUAUUAAUUGAGAACAACUUUACUUGAUACCAGCUUGACCCUUUCCCAUUGACAGCAAUGGGAAAGUACACUGUUUUCCCUCCACCGGCCAGUUGUCUCCAUCCGCCACCUGCUUCUCUGUUCAACCGUUGAAGCGUAGGGACCUUACACUGGAUUCGGUCUGCCUUACAUUAUUCAAGAUGGCUCUCACUUGGCCAUUGACUUCUAUAGUGCUUGCCGAUCCGGUUCUGUGUGAUAGGUGUAAAAAUUUUUGUUACAUCAAUCUCUACUCUUUUACAUAAUUUAUACUCCUUCACUUUUAAAAAUUAAAUGUAAAAUUAAUUCUCAUUAAAAAAUCCGAGCACCACUGUACAUGAUAUCACUAAUUUUACGCAAUCACUUAUUUACUCAAAUUCUUAUCCAUAAAUUACGUUUAUUUAUCAUAUAUGAAUUUUUUUCAAAAAUUUAAUGUAAAAUUAAAAUUAUAAUCACAAUCACAUAUUACAUCUUAUUGUAUUCGUCACAAGCAUUCACAUGUUCAAUAAAUAUUAAUGAAUAUCAAUACAUAAGUGUUAUAUAUAUUUUAUUAAAAAAGAUGGAGUAAUUGAAUCGUAUUCUCUAGAUUUAAUAUAAUUUUAAAAUGUAGGACAAUAAAUAAUCAAUUCAUGACAUAAUCAAUUCCUAAUGCGCUUCUAAAAGUAAAAUUUGUGAUCCUUUGGUUUAUAUUUAAUUUUCCUUAGCGUUGUUGAAUCCAACAACCACAUAUGUGAACGCACAAAAAACCUUCCAACCAAAUUAGGAAAAAACAACACUUGACUUGACUUGCUCAGCUUGUCUAUAAACUGGUAACUCUUCACAACCACAUUAAUUCCCUAAGAUUUUGGUUUUUUUUUUUUUUCAUUUCCUAUGAUCACCAAACCCCGAAACCCAAAAAACUCUAGCAACCGAAUUAGACCCAGAAAAAGUUUUCACAGACCAAACUUCAUCCGUUUUAUUCUAAUCCAAUAGCCUACUCUUGGAUUUUCUUUCUACUUCAAACCUCAUCAUUCCUUUGUCCAGGAUAUCGAUCAUGGCUUUCAUUGCAGAGGCUGCUCUCUCUGCUUUCUUUGACUCGUUAUUUGGCAAGUUUUCCUCUUCCUGCUUCAACUUUGUCACUGAGAAACGGGUUCGUAAGGAGAAGGGGCGGAGCCUCCUUAUGUGAUGGGGGGAGGCCAAACUUUUAAAAUUUUUUCCAUAACAUAUAAAAUUUUUUAAAUUUUUUAUAUAUUCUAUUACUAGCUCCCUCAAAACAAUAUUUUAUUUAAUAAUUAAUAUAAAUAAAAAUAAUAAAAUGAUUUCACUUAUCUUACACAACUUUAAAUUUUUUUAAUUUAUAUUAUUAUUUAUAUUUAUAUUUAUAUUUAUUUAUUUUUGUUUUAUUUGUUCAUGUAUUAUAAGUUUCUAUAAAUAUUCUUUCUCAAAUUUUUACAAACCAUUAACCAUAUUCUUUUUCUUUCUUUUUCGUUAUGUAAUAUAUGAUAUCUACCUUCUACUUGCCAUGUUCUUAUUUUUAUAUUAUAUAAAUUUUAUUUUCUAUGAUUUUAAUGUUUAAAAAUUUAUAAAUUAUUAUAUAGUUUUCAAAUAUAAGUUGUAAUAUUACAUUGUUACUUAAAAUUUCAUCAACGUAUUAUUUUUUUUAUUAAUCCUGAUUAUGUAAGAAAAAAUUAACUUGAGUAUAUUUUUUUAUAUGCUUUACAUUUUAUAUUUAGUUAAAAUGAAAUUCUCUUGAAUAUAUAAUAUUUAAAUAAUUCUGAUUAUAUAAAACAAAUUAUUAAUCUUAUCUAUCGUUUUUAACAAUUUAUAUUUUACAAAUUAUAGUUUUAUAUUUAGUUUCAUAUUUCUAUUAUCAAUAUUUUUAUUGUUGAUUGAAUUUAACAUAUUAGGGUUUUAAAAUUUUUAACUCUUAUUUAACUGUGUUUGGCCUUCCUAAUAAAAUUUGGUUAGCUUCGCCCUGAUAAGGAGAUUAUGAAGUGGGAAAUGAUAUUGAGGACCAUCCACACAGUGCUUGGUGAUGCAGAGGAGAAGAAAAUGAAGAACCAGGCUGUGAAGGUUUGGCUGGCUGACCUCCAAGACUUGGCUUAUGACGUGGAUGACAUCUUGGACGAGUUUGCCACUGAAGCUUUGGGGCGUAAGUUGAUGAAAGAACAUCAGGCCAGCACAAGUAAGGCAGAAAAGUUUCUUACUAGUUUACAUCCAAGUUCAAUCAUGUUUAACAAUAAGAUGAUGUACAAGAUCAAAGAGAUUACCGGAAGAUUGCAAGAUUUAGCAACACCAAAGAGUAACUUGCAACUAAGCGAGAUUGACGUUGGAAGGCCCAAGCCAGCUGAAAGGUUGCCAAGCACUUCUCUAGUGAAUGAAGCUACUGUACGAGGCAGAGACAACGACAAGGAGGCAAUACUUGAUUUGCUUUUGAGGGACGGUGGCAUUCAUGCUGGAGUUUCUGUGAUUCGCAUCGUUGGCAUGGGAGGGAUUGGCAAGACAACCCUUGCUCAGCUUGUCUACAAUGAGAGUAGCAUAAGAGAUCAUUUUGAUUUCAAGGCAUGGGUAUGUGUUUCUGACGAAUUUGAUGUUAUUAAAAUAACGAAAACAAUUCUAGAAUCGAUCACUUCCCAGUCUUCUAAUACGAACGAUUUGAAUUUGCUUCAAGUUAGACUAAAGGAGCAGCUAUCAAGCAAGAAAUUCUUGCUUGUUUUAGAUGAUGUUUGGAAUGAGAACUAUGAUGAUUGGACAAAGCUCCGAUCUCCUUUUGAUGCAGGGAUUCCAGGAAGCAAAAUAAUCAUAACAACAUGCAGUUUUAAUGUUUCCUUUAUUAUGGGAACUGUUACAGAUUACUCGUUGCAGAUCGUAUCAAAUGAUGAUUCUCUUUAUACCCUUGCUCAUCAUGCACUAGAAAGAGGGGAUUUUACUGGGCAUCCGGACUAGAAAGGGAUUGGCUUGGAGAUUGUGAAAAAGUGUGGUGGCUUGCCUUUGGCCAUUAAAACGAUUGGAGGAUUAUUGCGUACCAGGGUGAAUCGUGGUGCAUGGAAAGAAAUAUUAGAGAGUGAUAGUUGGAAUCUAAAAGGUAACAUAAUUCCAGCUUUAUAGUUGAGUUACUAUUAUCUUCCUUCACAAUUAAAGCAGUGGUUUGCUUAUUGCUCUUUAAUCCCUAAAGAUUAUGAAUUUAAGGAGGAGGAAAUAGUCUUAUUGUGGAUGGUAGAAGGUUUUUUAAAUGGAGUAGACACUAAAAGGAAAAUGGGAGAUUUGGGGAGCAAGUAUUUUGAAGAACAAGUAUCAAGGUCAUUUUUUCAAGCAUCUAGUGAGAAUGAAUCUCGAUUUGUAAUGCAUGAUCUAAUUUUUUUUUUUUGAAAAGUGGAGUUUAUUAGCCAUUAACCGGUAUACCAUUGAUAGUCUCGAACUGCUGCAGAGACUCUCAUUGGUAUGAAAGGAAACCUGGCUUGGCCAGAAAAGUCUGAACAAAAAGGUUCACCACUACUUACAUAAACUAGCAGCAUACCCUCAUCAAUCAGUAACUUCACAAAAAUAGACUGAAUCUUGCUUGAGAUCAAAAAACAAGCAGCAUAAACAAAGUGGCUAUACGGCCAAGACAUAAUUUCUAAAAUCAACCUCAGACAUGUUGGGUGAGGACUGAUCAUGCAUCAAAUGCAAAUAAAAUGCAACGAAAAUAAAUUUUAAAAUUAAAUUUGCGCCUCACCCUCGUAGGAUCUCUUUCAUGCUAAAUUGAGUACAGAAUUAAAUUAAAAAUAAAAGUAUAUGAUCAGAUCACUUUACCUAAAUAACAAAGGUUGAUGAAUCCUUUGUUAAACCACCAAAUCAGCCUUCGAAAAGCUCAACCACCUCAGUCUGAUUGUUGCAAACCAAAGCUGUCCAAGGAAUCCUUGUGCAGCCUCUAAUGGUGAUCCACACCAAUGAAUGAGAAAAUCCUUCUGUAAGGAUUGAGAGUGCUAAGCUUUGACAAUGUGCUAGCAAAGAUGAGUUUCAUAAACUCAUAAUCCACACAAAAUUGUGGGGCUGAACACACAAAAACGAAGUGAAUGAAAAACUAUUUUUCUUCACCCAAGGAACGAUAAGACAAAAGAAUUUUUAAUGUGCCGUUCACUCCUCUUUUUUUUCCAGCCGUUCUCCACUCUCAUAUUUGGAGGCUAUAGCAAGGUAUUUAUACCUUGGAUUAAUUUUAAACCCUAAUUACAAAACUAUUUUGUAAUUGUCAAUUAAUCCAAUAAUUUGAUUAAAAAAUUUAAUUAAGUCCUUAAGAAGCCCAAUUAACUUAAUUGUUUAAUUUAAUCAAUUAGGCCCAAUAACUUAAUUAAACAAUUUAAUUAAUUAAGCCCAACAAUUUAAUUAAACAAUUUUAAUCAACUAGGCCUAAUGACUUAAUUAAACAAAUUUAAUCAAUUAGGCCCAAUAACUUAAUUGUUUAAUUUAAUUAAUUAGGCCCAAUGACUUAAUUAAACAAUUUAAUUAAUUAGGCCCAAUGAUUCAAUUAAACAAUUUAGUUAAUUAGGCACAACUUAAUUAAACAAUUUUAAUCAAGUGCUUGAGAAACUCAUAACUUCUAAUUUAUUUAAGUCUAACUUAAUCACCUCUCUCAUUUUAUUUUCAACAUUCAUUUUAGGUGUGUGACCCAUUAGGCUUCUAACAUGUUGGCAAUGAACUCAACAUAUAAUUCUUAAGUUAAACUUAGAAUUAGAUAAAUUUAAACAAUUUUAAAUUUAUCAUUAAUCAAGUUAACUACCUAGAGUUCAUAGACCAAGAUUGGGAUCUAGCAAUCCAUCAUGGCCACCCAAAUGUUAGAAGAGUCAAGAUGAUUUGACUCAACCUUUCAAUGAUCAGUCUUUCAGUAUAAUUCAUUCCCUCAUCAUAUAUCCCGGAGAUGAUAAGAGCAUGGUGCAGUGUCUACUCUUAUUGAUCUUCAUAUUUGUUCCUAAAGUUUGAUCAUCAGCUUUAUAAAGACUUAUGAAACUCCUUUCAUAAUCUUCAAUUCGCCUUAGCCAAGGACUUCAAUAAGCUAAUAUCAACCAAGAACAACUAGGAUAUGUCUCCUGCAUCACUUGGGGUGAUGAUUCCUAUCUUGACCACUCAUUUGCCUUCACAUGCUUCAUGCUAUACCCAAAAGCAUUCUGUUUUGGCAUCCUUGGUUAGGCACCCGUAGGGAUGAAAACAAAGCAUAGCACUCUGCACAUAAGACAACCUGGUGUCUCAAGUCUAGGGAGUAUUUACACAAUUGACAUAUGAGAAGUAUUGCAUAGACACUUAGUGAAAUACCAAAUGCACUUCUCAUGGCGGGUCAUGUUCAGUGAACUUGCUUUCCUAGGCAAACACUUACAUUCUAGUUCUAAAUAUCUCUAUACUUCAACCUAUGAGAUCGGUUGCUUACUUUCCAAUUAAGAAUCAUAGAAUGUACCAAUCUCUAGGUAUCAUUGAUGUCUAGUCUUAGUGAUACAUUGACCAGGAAUAUUUUGAUAUUAUGUUUUGAUGCAUAAGGAUCUCAUAGCUGCAACCCAUUAUAGUUUCCUUGCCAGGCAUAUUAAUCUCAUAGACUUCAUCCAAUUAGACUUAUAACUGGUUAUAAUUGAUGUCUUAUUGAUUAAAGAAAACCUUUAAUCAUUCAAUGAAUGAUUUUGUUGCAUGAUUGGAAUCAAACCUUAACCAAUCCCAAUUGGCUGCAGGGCUCAUCCCAACAAGACAGUGACAGCAAUACCCUAGGACCACAAAACAAAAAUGAUCCAAAAUAGAGUAGAGCCUUCAACGUCCCUUGAAGCACUUGAUCAUCAAAGCCAAGAUCCAGUCAUAGUCGAAAAAGUUGACAGCACAUUAACAAAUCCAAGCGAGGGAGGAUCAGCAAAAUCAAAUCGAAACACACCACAGGCAAAGGACCGAGACACAGCUGUAUCGACCUGAAGUUCAUGACCUUGGAGAAGAAACAGCAUCAAGCACACAACUCAAGCAAGAUAGUCCUCGAAAAAGCUGAAGCAAGGGAUAAGCAAAACCCCAUCCAAAAAGGGAACACAAGAGCACGUCAACUCCCAGCGAAAAAGUGAAAAACCAGGCUGCAGGAAAGAAACUAGCGGAAUGGAAAGUGAAACUCCCUUAGAGCCUAUUCCCGUUAAGAAAACACGAAACCUGGACCAAACAUCGAUAGAGAACACGUCCAACACAAGGAGUAGCACCAUCACUUUCACGAAUCGACAAAAAAAGAACCUAAACCCUCCAUGAACGAACUCAAACCAGCCACCAAUGGAGAGACAAAACGAAACACAAAGACACAAGACACACCUGAAGUAAAAAGCCAUUCCCUCACAAACUCGAUCACUCAAACUUGUAGCACUCUCUCCCUCUUUUCAUGCAAAGCAAAAACUCACAGCCUCACCCCUCCAAUCCCCCAUUCUCCCCUCAUCUCUGCCCUUUUCAUUCAGGUAAACACGCUCUUCUUACUAAAUAGCUCCCCACCCCUUAGCUAGAACGUUGGAACAACAAUCAAGAUACUCUCACCCUGCCCCUAAUGUCAAAAAACAAGAAAAGCUCAGAACAGGACGCCAAGCAUUGAAGCCUUAGCCAAGGUAAUGCAUGAUCUAAUUAAUGAUCUAGAUCAGUUCGUUGCAGGAGAAAUAUAUUUUAAAAGGGAGAGACAUGAGGACAUGAAACGUCCAUUUAGUCGCACUCGCCAUUCUUCUUAUAUCAUUGCUGAAUAUGAUGGAAUCCAAAAGUUUGAGCCCUUUUUUGAUGCAAAGUCUUUACAGACCUACCUACCUUAUAUCAAUGUGUACUCUUGAUAAUUUGGAGACUCUUUUAUUAAGGUCUUGUCGGAGAAUUGAGAAGUUAUCCUUAAAAAUAGGAAAUUUAGACAACUUAUAUCAUCUAGGUAUUACUGAUGCAACUUCAAUAAAGAAAAUGCAAAGUGGAAUUGGUAAAUUAACAAAUCUUCGAGUGUUGUCAAAUUUUAUUAUGGGGUAAGGCGACGGAUUGAAUAUAAAAGAGAUGCAAAACUUGUCAAAUCUCAAAGGUCAGCUUUAUAUUUCUGAGUUGCAUGAUGUGGAUGAAGCUCAAUAUGCAUGGGAAGCUAAGCUAUCUAGUAAGCUUGACCUAGAGAACUUAGAAUUAAAGUGGAGUAAAGAUUUCAAUAUAAAUUUAAGAAGGAAAGAAGUUGAGAAAGAAGUGUUGAAUUUAGAUCAACCUCAUAAAGAUAUUAAAGAACUUGCCAUCAAUUAUUAUGCUAGAAUAGAAUUCCCAGAUUGGGUGGAAGAUGAUUCAUUCAAAAAUCUACAAGUUUUAAGACAUGAAGAUAGUCACAAUUGCACAUUGUUACCAGCAGUUGGAAAAUUACCACUUUUAAAACAUCUCUAUGCCAAGGGGAUGAGAAGUGUGAUUAGUGUUGGUAAUGAGUUUCAUGGAGUGAAUGGGCCAAAUGUAUUUCCAUCUUUAGAGACCUUGCAUUUUGAAAAUAUGUUUGAAUGGAAAGAGUGGAAACUUUGUGAAGUUGAUGAACAAGGUAAGAAAUUUUAUUACCUUCGAGAACUCUUUGUUAGGAAUUGUCCGAAAUUAGUCAAAACUUUACCUGAUAACCUUCAUUUUUUAGAGAAACUUGUAAUUCAUAGGUGCCAAGAAUUGGUAGUUUCAAUUUCAAAUCUUCCAAUGCUAUGCGAACUUGAAAUUGAUGGAUGCAAAGAAGUAGUAUUUGAGAGUUAUGAUGAUAUUUGGUCUGUUAAAAAUGUCUUUCUUUCAAACGUUUCAAAGUUUUCAUGUGAAAGAAAAGAAAUGAUGAUGUUAGAGUCAAUCAAAGUAGAAAAUCUCCAAAUUGAUGGUUGUGAGGAGUUGGCUUCUUUGUGGCAAACAAAAUUGGGGUGGUUGGUGCCUUUGAGAUGUCUUCGUACUUUAGAGUUUAAAAAUUGUACACAAGUUGUGCGUAUAGGGGCGGCAAAAAAGGGGAAAAAGAAGAGCUUUCGCAAUUAGAAAUACCAUGCAACAUUGAGCAUUUGAGAUUAGGAUAUUGUCAAGGGUUAGAGAGAUUAUCAAAAACCUUAAACAACCUUACAUGUCUUACAGAGUUAAGGAUUGUAAAGUGCCCCUAAUUGGUUUCACUUUCAACGGACAACUUGCCUCCAACUCUUAGGACUUUGUACAUUGGCAAUUGUGAGAAUUUGCGAUGUUUACUGGAUAACAAAGAGAAUAUCAAUUUCAGAAGCACAUCUAUUCUUCAAUCUCUUGACAUUGGAUAUUGUGAAGCUCUAAAAUCAUUAUCAUCGAGUGGUAAGUUACCCGUUGGGCUUAAAAGGUUGCAUAUUUGUUGGUGUCCAGAGCUUGAAUUUUUACUGCAGAAAAUUGGAAAUAAUACUUGUCUUGAAUGUAUUUCAAUCUGGGAUUGUAGAAAUAUUAAAUAUUUACCCUAAGAAUUGGACAAGCUCAGCCAUCUUCAAGAGAUUUAUUUUAUAAAUUGUCCAAAUCUUGUUCGAUUCCCAGAAGCUCUGCCCAACCUCCACCAUCUUCAAUGUUUGACCAUAAGGAAUUGUCAAAGGGUGCAAUAUUCCUUCGGAGAAAGGGGUUUCCCUACCAACCUAACUUCCCCUUCAGUCGAUGAUCCCAAUAUUAGUAAGGCAGUAAUGGAGUGGGGAUCGCAUAGACCUAAAUCACUUACAAAACUCAAUAUUAGUGGUAGUAAUUGUACAGAUGUAGUGUCGUUUCCUCAAGAGGAGAUAGGAAUGAAGUUGCCCCCUUCUCUCACCAAUCUUAUUAUAAGAGAUUUCAAAAAUCUAAGAAAGCUAUCCUCCAAUGGCUUUCAAAACCUCACCUCUCUUCAAUCUUUGUGGAUCGACAAUUGCCCAAAGCUCAGAUCCAUUCCCAGAAAGGAAAUGCUUCCUUCGCUUUUGCAACUAAGUAUUACGGUUUGUCCGAUGCUAAAGAAAAGGUGCAAAAGGGAUAAAGGAAAACAAUGGUCCAACAUCACCCACAUACCUUGCUUAUAUAUGGAUGAUGAAUUCAUCUACGAAUGACCAAGAGGAACAAUCAGCAUGUCAACACACGUAUUUUAAUCCUGAAAAUAAUUACUAUAUAUGUUAACUAACUUCUUUCAAUCUUUUAUGUACAAAUACUAUCUACACAAAUAUUACUUUGGUUUCAGCAUUAAGUUUUCUUGCAUUUUAUUGUGAUAUAUUUAAUUGUACAAAUAUGUACAAAAGGGAUAAGCCCCAUUUUGUGGUUCGUUGUUUAGUUCUUUUAGCAUGAAAAACAAUACUGCUAGUAAAUUAAUUUCCCCAUUUCCAUAUUAUACUUUGUAAAUAAUUUUUUAUUAGCUAGAUAUCUUUUUGCAAUGAUAUCUACUCAUCUUUGAAUCAUCAUUGAAUAUUGGACUAAAAUGGGAAUUCUGCAGCUCCAGUAAUCGAACAAGAUGUUGUACCCAUGUUUUAUCUCUAUUUUUUCAUUCUGCCUUCGAGGCCAUAAGCAUCCACAUUUUCGAAUCACCAUUAAUUUUUUUGUUUCUCUCCAGUAUUUAAAGAAUCUUUUUUCUGACUAAUUUCUAUCCUAAGUAAUCAAUAAAACCUCAGACCCCCAUUAGAAGGUGUAAAGAUCUAAACAAUAUCAUCCCGGUACCCAAUUAAUCUCCUUAUUACAACUUCCCUUGUCUUCUCUAAAUAGGUUCGAAGACCAACUUUGGUACUUAAAGCAGAUUGAACCAAAAUGGAAUUACAUCUAGCAGGUACGUGUUUUGGCUACCGAGAAGAUAUUGAUAUCUGAAUCACCAGUACUUGGACUAAUGGGAGUUCUUAAUGGACAGAAAUCAAGCAAAUCAAGUUAGUUGUAGUCAACCGUUAAUUAGUCUUCCUUGAUUUUUUUCUAUCAAGAAAAUCACGUUAGCUGUAGUCAACCAUCAAUUAGUCUUCCUUGAUUCUCUUAUCACCAUUCAUUGUGUACAUUGACCUUUCCUUUUCUUGAUAAUAUCACUCUAUAUAUAUAUAUAUGUGUGUGUGUGUGUAAUCAUUCCUUUAAAAAGCACAAUCAAUUCAACAAUUCUUUACUCAAACUUUAUAUGGUAUCAGAGUGUCUCUAGCUCCAAUGAGUCUUGCUCGAUCCUAUCCCUUGACUUUUUUUUUUAAAAAAAAAAGAAAAACCAUGUCAGAAGCCAGCUCCAACCUCACAAACCAUGUCCUAGCACCAAACUCUAUACUUUUAGAAGGCUUGAUAACUAUCAAUGCCUCAUUACUACUAGUAAAACCUUCACAUACCAACUAUCCCUCUUGAAAAUCCCAAUUCGAUGCCUUGCUUCUCGAUAUAAUCUUCUCAGUUUUGUAAAUGGGACAAAUCUAUGUCCUCCCAAGGAAAAGACUAUUGACGGUAAAACAGUCCCAAAUCCUAACAACCUUUUUUGGCACCGUCAAGAUCAACUCCUAAAAAUAGGAAUCAUGACCUCUGAGCACAUCAUUCCAAUGAUAAGCUCUGCUAAAACAUUCAAAGACGUUUGGGAUCAUCUCUCUACUGCACUAGCAAGUGCCUCAACCUCUCGCACCAUGGGCCUCACGGAUCAAUUAGCCAACAUCACCAAAGGAACCAUGACGGUCUCAGAAUAUAUUGGAAAAAUUCGCUCAAUAGUUGAUGAACUCGCCCUUGCUAGAUCCGUUGUUCCUAACACUAACUUGAUCCUCCAUGUUUUAAAUGGAGUGGGAUCUGAAUACAAAGAAAUAGCUGCUACUGUUCAAGCUCGUAACACACCAAUCAGUCUUAAAGAACUUCAUGAUAAACUUAUUGAAUAUGAGUUCUUUCUUGCAUGAGAAGUGGCUAAACAUACAAGUGGUUUCAUUGCAAAUGUUGUCAGUAUAAUUGCAACAAGUCCUCUCAUUCUCAAUACAGCAACUGGCCUAAUGAUCAACACUCACAAUUGGAUUCAACCAAUAUACAGACCAGCACUCAAAUGGAAAUCCUAAGCAAAGCAGUGGCUACACAAGUAACAACAACAGUUCCAAAAGAAACAUCUUUUGCCAAUAUUGUAACAAAAAAGGUCAUGUUGCCAAAGAUUACCAUACCCUUAAGCGCUUGCUGGGUAUUCCUGUUCCUCUUAAGGUCAAUUCGACUACCAUCAACCAUAACACUAACAAAUCCUUAAAUGGCUUCUUGAUAUUGGGGCCUCUCAUCAUGUUACUUCCAACAUGAACAAUCUCUCUAAUCAUCAACCCUAUGAGGGUCCUGAUGACAUCAUCAUUGGUGACGGUUCAAGUUUGCAUAUCACACAUACUGGGCAUACCACACUUCCAUCUACAUCUCACUCUUUCAAUUUGUCAAAUGUUUUAUGUGUGCUUACUAUGAAACAAAACCUUAUUUCUGUUUGUCAAUUUUAUAACACCAAUAAUGCCUCUAUUGAAUUUGACCCCACCUCUUUUUGUGUGAAGGAUUUAGUCACGAAGGCACCUCUCGCUAGAGGAGUGAGCAGGAAUAAUGUCCAUGAGUGGACUACUAUCAAAGACUAUCAGCCUCAAAUAAAGCAAGCAUGCUAUGGUGUUGUUACCACGGUUAGUUAGUGGCAUGAUCGAUUGGGGCAUCCAUCUCUCAAAGUCCUCAAUCGCAUUAUAUCAACUCAAAAAUUACCUAUUCAAUCUAGGUCUUCCUUUUUUUCCUUUUGUGACUCUUGUCAAGGCAAUAAAAGUCACAAGCUCCUGUUUGGCACUUAUAGUUUGCAAAGUCGAAACCUUUUAGAUUUGCUCUACACCGAUGUUUGGGGACCAUCUCCAAUCCAAUCUAUUGAUGGUUUCUUUUAUUAUAUACUUCUUGUAGAUCACUUCACCAAAUACUCUUGGUUGUUCACCAUGUCUCACAAAUCUGAUGUGCAAAUUAUCUUUCCUAAAUUUAAAGUCAUGGUUGAAAAGUUUUUUAAUACCUCUAUCAAUACCAUCUACACUGAUGGAGGUACCGAGUAUCAAGGGCUAUGCACUAUCUUUGCCAACCAUGGUAUCCAACAUCUUGUCUCCCCUCCACACACUACCCAACAUAUUGCGUCUGCUGAAUGUCAUCAUCGUCACAUUGUUGAAACUGGGCUCACUCUUAUGCAUCGUGCAUCUUUGCCUCUUUCCCUUUGGACCUACGCCUUUCAUACAGCUGUCUACCUCAUUAAUCGAAUGCCAACGCCUAUUCUUGACAACAAAUCACCUUUUAAAUGCUUAUUCCAUAAAGUGCCAAAUUAUUCCAAACUUCGCACCUUUAGGUGCUUGUGCUAUCCCUGGCUUCGCCCAUAUAACAAACAAAAAUUGGAACCUCGGUCUCAACCAUGUUUAUUUCUUGGUUAUUCUAAUAUUCACAAUGCCUGUACAUGUUAUGAACCUACAUCUUACAAAUUCUUUUAUUCUCGUCAUGUUCAGUUUGUUGAACAUCAAUUUCCAUCAUUGCCCUCCCAAACCAAGGAUACGUUUGUCAUUUCCCACACUCAACCUAUUUAGUCUAUUCUUUCUCCAUCUCUUCACUCAUUUGCCAACUCCAAUGCUCUUAUCACAAAUAUGUCCAGUUCCUUGUCAUCGUCGGCUGCCACAAGCUCUCCAGCCACUAAUCAGUCAGAUUCUAACUCACCACAAAAUCUUAGGACCAUAAGCAGUGCACAUUUUCCACAAACUUCACCUCCACCAUCGUCUUUUAGGACAACUUCUCACUCUUCCCCAAAUUGCUCUUUGGUUUCCCCUAACCCAACACCCACUGACUGCAUUUUUGAGGCUAAUCAAACCUUGACAGUAUCCAAUCAUUCAUUUUCUCAUCACCAUUCAUUGCUGUACAUUGACCUUUCCUUUUCUUGAAAAUAUCACCCUAUAUAUAUAUAUAUAUAUGUGGGUAAUCAUUCCUUUGAAAAGCACAAUCGAUUCAACAAUUCUUUACUCAAACUUUAUAGUUCUGCAGCUCCAGUAAUCAAACAAGAUGUUGUACAAAUGUUUUAUUUCUAUUUUUACAUUCUGCCUUUAGGGUCAUAAGCAUUAACAAUUUCGAAUCACCAUUAAUGUUUUUGUUUUCCUACUGAAACUUCAAGCUGAUACUUUUGCCUUGCCUGACAAGAUAAUCAAACUCAAGUUUUGAGCCCCCUUUCAAACGAACGAACUAGGUAGGAAGUUCUCCAGACAGCACCUUCUUUCUUGCAAGGGGACCUUCAUGAUUCCAAAUCACCAAACGUAUCAUUGUUGCAUUAAGGACAUUAUUUUGAAGGCUACCAAGGAUUUCCCAAAUCUGUUGUAUUUGGUUGAUGCAAGUAUACCAAUCAAAGAUAUGGAACUGCUAUGCUCAAAAGGAAGUGCUCAUUUUUGUAAAGCUCAUUUUCCGUUGAUCGUCAAGUGGUUUUUUCUCAAUUAAAUGUCAGAAAAUGUAGAAACCAAUUUCUCCAAAACAAACGGAGUCUUAGUUGAAGCUCAAUUAGAAUUAAACCCAAUAUUUUUAUGGCAACCCUGGUAGAUGUUAAGAAUAAGCUUUUUAGCAUUAGAGCAUGAUUAAGCUUGAAAUCCAUCUUUUUUCUUCUUAAUACAAAGGCUAAUGCUUUGACUUGACUCUACACAUCUUUUAAACUACUACAGAUGAGAACUACUAGAAGUUUUCUGGUUUCUAUUUCCUUUGUGUGUAUGCGUAAUUAGUGCCUUCAUUUCAUAUCAGUAAAUCAUGUUAUUUGGCUCUUCAGGAAGUUUUUGUUUCUAUCAUCUACCAAUUAAUGCUAGAUGUUGUAAUUCCCUGCUUCCUUAUACCAUGUAAGCAUCACAAGUAUAUGAGAACCACUCUAUUAACUUCUUUGCUACUCAACACUAAUAACAGAAUGCUUUGGCCUUGUAUAUCAGUAUAAACAAAACUUAUAAUUUUGUAUCUCAUUCCAAUGUCCUCAGAAUCAAUGAUGGAAAGGUUUCCAGGCAACAUUUGAGUGUAUGUUUGAGUACUAGUGGAUAUUAUAAAAAUUCAAUAAUAUCUACAGUAAAUCAUAUUAUAGAGCACCCUUAAACCAUGGGCAGUGAUGUUGACUCAAGAAUGUCAGAUUCCAAUUCCAAAAGCUUGAUGGUUAAGGAGCUAUAACCGACCAUCAAAAGUGAUUUGAUAGAGAAUUGGGUGGGUAAGGGAAAAAUGGAUGAGAAAGUGACCUUCUUAAUUUAAAUAGCCAUUUUAAAAGCAUAUGGUCUUCAUAUUAGGUAAGAUUAUUUCUUCUUAGCACCUAUUAUAAAGUGAUGAUUUUAUGUUAAAAAUUUAGCUUUCUGUUGAUAAGUUGUUGUAAUUUCCUCUAAAGAAGAAGACUUUUGUAAUCCUAUUAUUUUGAGUAAUAGAAAAUCGAAUAGAUUAUGGUCUUGUGGUUUUUGUCCUUAUUAAGGGGUUUUUCACGUAAAAUCUAGUGUCUUGCUUCUUUGACUCAAUGAUUUUUUUUUCUUAUUUUGUUUUUACAUGAAAAUUGGGGUUUAUUUGGUCAUCGCUUGGUAUCACUAUCUAUACAUGAAAGAGUAAUGGCUAAAUUUAAAUAGGAAAUGACACUAAAGCAUCCUUUGAUCAAAUGAAUCCAGACUUACCUUCAUUUAACCAGUAGGGUCUACUUUUGAAAUAUUUUCAAAACCAAUGGAAGGUAGAGAAAUCUCAAAGAAAAUGAUAGAUUCCUAACCUUCUCACACUUCUAAUUCAAUAGAUUUCAUUAAUUAAUAGAUUUAAACAGCUUCCACAUCUCAAUCUCUGAGAUGGACAAUACAGAUAUGAAAAAUAGAACAUCUAGACUAACAAGCUGACAAACUAUGCUUACCCACACAUAAACCCAAAAAAUCAGAACUUACAUGAAUGUCCACCCACAGAAAACAACCUGUAUUUAUUACCUGAAUGUCUACAAUACAACUGCUAAAUAAAUAACCAAACAAAUAGUUAAUCAUAGUUGCUAACCGAGCUACGUAUUGUAUAUCAAAAUUUUAUUUUUUAAGUAUUGAUUAGCAAUAUUGUAAGAUAAGAUAAUUUUUAAAAAUUAAUUAUAAAUUAUAUAACAUUUACAAUAAAAUUUUUUAAAAAAUUAUAUUUAUUAAUGGGAUUGAGAAAUAUAUAGUAUAAGUUAAAAAGAUAUUGUUUUUUAAUUUGAAUUCUCAACAUGCUCCUUAAUAAUAUAAAUUUUUUAAUAACCCAUCUAUUUUCCAUAAUAAUAUACUAAUUAAAACCAAAAAAGUAUUUAAUACUUUUUAUAUAUAUUAUUUUUAGAAUAAAAAAUUAAAAUACUCAUUUACAAAUAGCUUUGGAAAGUGCAGAGUUGAUAAUGGCUUUGGAUUUUGGUUAGCAAAGACAUUGAGUGAAAAAAAAAGUCUCAAGUUCUAAAAAGAUUUCAAGAAAAAGCUUAAGAAAGUAGUGUUUGACUUUUUGUAAUUUGAAGUCCGAAGAUUCAAUUCCAAACAAUGUCGCUAACCACCACAAUUUAUAACAAAAUGUGAAUAGCUCAGAAUCAUAGAGACAUAGGUUACAACCAUCUGUCGAUCAAUCCCAACUUUCUCCAAUGAGUUCCCAUAACAAGAGAGAAUCACCAAUAGGCACGAAUAUGGCACUUAAUGGCCUGACUCUUUAGGACCACUAGAUCUUGAUGUACCAUCGUGUAGGUAUCAUAGUGAAGAUUAGAGUUUAGGCGAUAACCUUGGAGGUUUCAAUCUUCUAAAUAGCCAGCAGUCUGGAUGCAAUUCAAAAUUGCUGAAUUACCCAUCUUUAUUUCAUUUUUCAUAACUACUUGAUCGUUGAGCUUAAGCCAUGUCUUUUGUUGGAGAGGCUUGCUUAUCUACUUUCUUUGAGGCCUUGUUUGCCAAAUUGGGCUCUUCCGAAUCCCUCCACUUUGCUACUGAAAGCAAGUCCAUGAGGAGCUUAGGAAGUGGGAAAAGAUAUUGAAGAAUAUCCAAGCAGUGCUUGAUGAUGCAGAGGAAAAGCAAAUGAAGGAUCGGCAUGUGAAGAUAUGGCUAGCGGAGCUCCAAGACUUGGCUUACGAUAUGGAUGACAUCUUGGAUGAGUUCGGGACUGAAGCCUUGGGAAGCAAGUUAGUGCAAGAAUGUCGAGCAAACAGAAGUAAGGUAUGGAAGAUCAUUCAUACUUUCAUUUACUUUCAUUACUAUUUUCAAUCCAUAUGCUUUCCUAUUUAAUUAUAAGAUGAUGUCAAAGAUAAAAGCGAUUACUGUUAGAUUGUAAGAUUUAGUCACCCAAAAAAAUGACUUGCACUUAAGAGAAAAUGAUGUUGGUAGGCCUAAGAGAAAGAUAGAAAGGCCACCAACUACUUCAUUGGUGAAUGAAGCUCCUGUCUAUGGUAGGGAAGAAGACAAAAAGGCAAUAAUUGAUUUGCUUUUAAUGAAUGACUAUAGUGAUGAUAAAGUCAUUGUGAUUCCUAUUGUUGGCAUUGGAGGGAUUGGUAAGACUACCCUUGCUCAACUAGUUUACAAUGAUGAUAGUAUAAAAGAUCAUUUCGACAUCAAAGUAUGGGUGUGUGUUUCUGAAGAUUUUGAUGUGAUCAGAAUAACGAAAACAAUUUUGUAGUCAAUAACUUUUAAGUAGUGCAACGAAGUAAAUGAUCUAAAUUUACUGCAGGUCGAAUUGAAGGAGAAGCUAUAUGAAAAUAAUUUUCUGCUUGUUUUGGAUGAUAUUUGGAAUGGACGCUACCAUGAUUGGAACAUUCUACAGUUUCCUCUUGAAGUAGGGGGUCUAAGAAGCAAAAUUAUCAUGACAACACGCGAUCAAAAUGUUUCAUCAAUAAUGAGAACUGUUCCAAAUCACUCUUUAAAAGAAUUGCCAAAUGAUGAUUGUCUCUUCAUUUUAACUCAACAUUCCUUAGGAGAAAAAGGUUUCAAUUGUCAUUUGGAUUUAAAAGAAAUUGGAGAAUAGAUUGUGAAGAAGUGUAAUGGCUUGCCCUUAGUAGCUAAAACCAUUGGUGGCUUACUAAGCACUAGAGUGGAUACUGAUGCAUGGCAAGAUGUAUUGGAGAAUGAGAUAUGGAACUCAUCAUAAGAGAAAUGUGGUGUAAUUCCAGCUCUAUGGUUGAGCUACUAUAAUCUUCCAACACAUCUCAAGCAAUGUUUUUCAUAUUGCUCCAUACUCCCUAAAGCCUAUGAAUUUGAGGAGGAAGAAAUAGUGUUGUUAUGGAUGGCAGAAGGCUUGUUAUGACAAACAAACACUAAAAGGCAAAUGGAAAAAUUAGGUAGCCUGCACUUUCAAGAUCUCGUGUCAAGACAUUCUUUCAAAUAUCUAGCAGAAAUAAAUCUCAAUUUGUAAUGCAUGACCUCAUCAAUGAUCUAGCUCAAUCAGUUGUAGGGGAAAUAUGCUUUAGAGUAAAAGGUGAUAAGCAAAUUUCAAGGUGUUGUCUUUAUUCAUCCUACAUUGGCAAUAGGUAUAAUGGACACAAAAUGUUUGAAACCUUGUAUGAAGCAGAGCAAUUACGAACAUUUUUAGUAUUUAUGUUACCAAUUCUGACUAACAAUGUUCUUCUUGAUUUGUUGCCGAAACUGAGACACUUAAAAGUGCUUUCUUUGGAAAGGUACUACAUUGUUGAGAUACCAAAUUCAGUUGGAGAUUUGAGACAUAUAUGUUACCUUAAUUUUUCCUAUACUAAAAUCAAAAGCUUGCCAGAGUCCAUAUGUACUCUCUUCAAGUUACAGACUUUGUUAUUGAGAGGUUGUGAUCACCUCAAACAGCUACCUUCAAAUUUGAGGUUUUUAAGUAACCUACAGGGUGUUGACAUUAUUGAUACAAAUUCAAUCAAAGGGAUGCCAUUCGGAAUUGGUGAAUUAAUUGAUCUCCAAGCACUAACCAAUUUUGUUGUAGGCCAAGGUGUUGGAUAUCAAAUAAGAGAGUUGAAUAAUUUAUCUAAUCUUAAAGGUCAACUUUCUCUUUCAAGAUUGGAAAAUCUUGUCAAUGCUCAAGAUGCCUUGGAGGCUAGGUUGUUUGAUAAGUCUAACCUUGAUGAUUUAGAAAUGAAGUGGAGUGCAGACUUGAAAGAUGAUUUAAGGAAAGAAGGAGUAGAGAAAGAGGUGUUGAGCUUACUUCAACCUCAUAAGAAACUUAAGAAACUCAUCAUCAAGUAUUAUGGUGGUUUAGCAUUCCCAACUUGGGUGGGAGAUCCUUCAUUCAAAAAUUUAAUCUUCUUAAAUUUUGAAGGUUGCCAAAAGUGUACCUCAUUGCCAUCAAUUGGGAAGCUACCAUUUUUAAAGGUCGUUUGUAUCAAAGGAAUGAGUUUUAUCAAUAGGGUGGAUGCUGAGUUCUAUGGAGAGAAAUGCUCAAAUGCAUUUCCAUCAUUGGAGAUUCUUCAUUUCGAAGAUAUGCCAGAAUUGAAGGAGUGGAAUUUUUACCAAGUUGAUGGGCAAACAAGAUUCUUCAAAUGCCUUCGUGAUCUCUCUGUCAAGAAAUGCCCCAAGCUGUUGAGAAGUCAACCAAGUUGCCUUCCUUGCCUAUAAAAACUUGUGAUUCAUGAGUGUCAACUGUAAUACCCCUCACAAAAUAUUUUUUACAAAAACAUUUAGAUUUAUUAAGCUAUAGUUUUAUAAAGAUAAUAAGUAGAUAUUAUUUUAGUAUUUUAUUUAUUUACAAUUAUAACCUUUGGUGCCUUAGUAAUUAGAAAAUAAAAGAAAGGUUUUUAAGUAAAUGAAGAAGUUUUAUUAAAGUCAGUUUACUUAUCAUGUUUAAGUUAGUGGAGUUAAGGUCAGUUUAUUAUUAUGUUUAAAUUAAUGGGGUUAGGUAGUUUAUAAGUUUUAAAAGAACAGACAACAACUUACGUUAGUUUAUUCAUCACAUUCAAACAACAGACAGUCAGAAAAGUUUAAUAUCAGGAAAGAAGAAAGACAAAGAAAAGGGAAAGAAAUUGCUGAUUAAGGUAUGUUUGGGAUUAUAUUUUCAUAGUUUGGGUACAAAAACCCUAAAUUAGUUAUAUUUUUUACUUUUUAUUUAAAUCCGACACUUUUUCAAUCACUUUCUGGCAGCAUGAUGGGUACCAAUGGAAAGAACUUGAAAAGAUCUUUCCAAUGGUUUUUGUAGCAUCUCAUUUGGCCUUGUGGUUAGGAAGUUAUGAAUUUUUUAAGUUAAUUAGAAACUUGGUUUUCAACAGUUUUGACAGCCCGACUUUGGGUUACCGGAACUCCAUAUUCCGGUGACGUUUUUCGUCGUUUCUUUGAGGGCAUUUGUAGUACGAAAUUAGGUGUUUAAUUUGGCGUCAAUGUCUUGGUUAGAGGCUUUCUGUGUUAAGAGAAUUAAAGCCUCAAAUUAGGCUUGUUGAUACUGGAAACCCAGAAAUCUGGGUAUUUCUGUGAUGAUUUCUUGAAUUUUGGCUUUCGAAACUUAGGCAUCUUGUGGUCUUUUUAAUCGAAACAAAUUUUGGUCUUGUAGUAUGAUAUGAAUACUUCAAAUUGGUGUUGAUUUCAUCACUGUAAAUAAUUCAGGUUAAAAGUUAUGAGAGCUUGAAGUAAGCUAAAUGGCCAUCCAGAUUCUGAAAAUUUCAGAAAACAUAAAUUUUUUUUUAAAAUUUGUUUUAAAAUUUGAUUUUAAUUAAUAUGUGAUAAAUUCUAUUGUANUUGAUUUUAAUUAUUAUGUGAUAAAUUCUAUUGUAAAUUUCAUAAAUAUUGGAUAUGUGAUUUCUACUGUAUUUUUAUGUCAAGAAGUAUGUAUCUUUAUAUUUUAUAAAUUUAUUUCUUCAAUUAGUAGAUUUUAUUAAAAUAUCAAAAUUUAUGAAAUUAAUUACAAAUAUGAUUUUUACAAGUGAAAUUAGUAUUAUUUCUCUAUCUGAAAUUAAAAUCCUUACUGAUUUUAUGAUUUAAGUUAAUUCUCAACCUCAUUGGAAAUUUUGUUUAAUUAAAAAUAUAAAUAAUAAUAAUAUAUUACCUUAUUAAUAAAAAAUAUUCAUAAAUUGUAAUAUGAGUCGCAACACACCCUAAGUGCUUAGGAUGGUCAACGAAAAGUCACCUUGUAGGAUCUGUUUGUAAAUUUAGUUCUGGUUUUUGUGUUUAUCGAAAUAUUAGGCUACUAAAAGGAUUUUCGGAUUUGCUACUUGAAAGUGAAAUUAACGAGAUCAAGUAAGUGACUGAUAUCCUUUCGGUGUUCUUACACCUUAAAAAUUAGCCUCAAUCUGAAUUUGUACAUGAGAUAUAAUAUUUUAUCCUAUGACUUAUUAAAAUUGGGUUGAGCAUGCAAAAUGUAUAUGUAUAUGAGUUUGUAUGUUGGAUUUAGAAUGUCACUUAUGCAAAGCAUGAUAUUUGAUUUCGAAAUUUAUAUAUGACUUUGUAUAAUGUAUGCAUAUAUGUUUUCGCUAAUAUAAAUAUAAAUAUAAAUAUUUAGUCUGAAAUAUGCCUUUAAGGUGUAUGAGAUAUAUUUGAGAAAUUUGAUAUAUUAUUUUAUGAACUUUGGGUAAUCUAAAAAUAUAUAUAUUUCUGUUUUGUCUCCUAGUAUGGCUAUGCUCUGACCUUGCCAAUGGGGGUUAAAUGUUAGCCAUGUCGACAUGUAUUCUGUGAUUAGAGAUCGAUCUUUUAACCGCACCACCGGUUACAAAAUAGUGGUAUCUGUGAUAUCUGUUCAGUGCAGCCAAUGGUUGCUUCUUCUGACCCAUGCCACUGAGGUUAAUUGUGGUUCUAUUUCUGACCUAUGCCACAAGGGUUAAGUGUGGUCGUAGCAUGAUAUGGGAGACCAUUAAAAGUUAAAUAUUGUGAUUAUAAUUGUUCUGUUAUUUGAAUGUGCAAAAUUUUGAAGUUUAUGAUUCUGAAUAAGAUUACCCAAUAUUUUGUCUCAACAUUUGUAAAUGAUAUUUUGCCCUAAAUGUUUUAAGCAUGCUUAAUCCGGCUGAAGGGAUGUUAGUUACUUGCUGAGUAGUUGGACUCACCCCUUCCUUCAAAUUUUUUUCAGGUUAUGAUUUGGUCAACUACGCAGGAAUUUCGGAGAGUGAUGUUUAAUUUAGUAGCACUUAAAUUGUCUAGGAUUUAUUUAAAUAUUAUGAACAUCGAACUAUCUUAAUUAGUAUUCAGACUUUUAUCUUGACUUAGUAGCUUUAUGGUUUUUGAGAUUUAAUUUUGAAUAUUGUCGAAUUAUGAUCUUUGGAAAUUCUAUCGACAGAUAUAGUUUAUAAAUCACUAAAUUCUUCAGGUAUAUCAGUCUCUUUUAGUAAUAGUUUAAGAUAUAUAUUUUAGAGCCUUGCAUGUCUGUAGGAUUAUACCUUACAGGUAUGCGACGUUUGUCAUUUCUCGGGUCUGGGGCGUGACAACAAUUGGUAGUUUUAAUUCCAAACACUUUGAAGCUGUGUGAAUUAGAGAUUGUUGGGUGCAAAGAAGUGCUACAUGAGAGUUCUUUUGAUCUUUGCUCAUUAAAAAAAGUCUUUCUAUUAAAUCUCACAAAGUUUACUUGUUUAACAAAGGGGUUGAUGUUAGACUUCACAAAAGCUGAGUUUUUUUUGAAUUGGUGGUUGUAGGGAGCUUACUUCUUUGUGGCAUAACAGAGGAGGGGGAUGGUUAGCUCAGUGGAGGUGCUUUUGUAACAUGGAAAUUUUGAGCUAUCGUCAACUUGUUUCAUUAGAGAUAGGAGAGGCAAGCAAAGAGUUGGUACAAACAAAAACCCUUGCAAUCUUGAAUGUCUAAGAAUAAAGUAUCGUGAAAGACUAGAGAAGCUAUCGACAACUUUGUACAGUCUUAGAUCCCUUAGGGAGCUAGAGAUUGUAAAAUGUCCAAAAUUGGUGUCUAUUUCACAUAACAACUUUCCUCUGACUCUAAAAGGGGUGGUGAUAAAAAAUUGUGAGAAUUUAUAAUGUUUAUUGGAGGAAGACAGUAUCAAGAUUAGCAGCACAUCUCUACUUAGCCACCUGACAAUUAGAAAAUGUCCAUCCUUAAUAUCAUUGUCAUCAAGAGGUGAGUUACCUGUUAGGCUUCAACGUCUCAAGAUAUGGAGUUGCCCAAAGUUGACCUAUUUAUCAUCAAGUGGCACUUUACCUGUGGGGCUUACAUACCUUCAAGUUGACCUUUGCCAAAUGUUGGAGUAUGUUGCAUAUUCUGUUCACAAUAACACUUGUCUAAAAUUCAUUUUCGUUGGUAGGUGUGAAAAGAUUCAGUAUUUACCUAAUGGAUUGGACAAGCUCAGCCAUCUUCAGCAGAUUCAAAUAGAAUGUUCGCAGAAUUUGGUUUCCAUUUCCAAGUUGCCUUUCACCAGCCUACAUGUGUUAUGCCUAAGUUGGUGUAGGAAACUCCAAGCUCUACCAAAUGGCAUGCACAUCCUUACAUCUCUUCGGGAAUUGGAGAUAUCAAAUUGUAGAUGUUUAUUAUCUUUUCCAGAAGAAGGUUUCCCCACCAACCUAACUUCACUUACAAUCUUGAAACCUUAACUUGAAAUGCUUGAAGGACUAAUUAAUUGGGGAUUGCAUAAACUCACUUCUCUUAAAAGAUUCACCAUUAAAGGAGGAUACAAUGGGAUGUCGUUUCUACAUGAAGAGAAAGGGAUGAUGUUGCCUUCUUCUUUUUGUAAACUUGCCAUUAGUGAUUUCCCAAAUGUUGAAAUCCUAAUUUCAAAGGGCUUUCAAAACCUCCCCUCUCUUGAAUGUUUGUGCAUUGUUAACUUUUCAAAGCUCAAAUCUUUGCCCAGAAAGGGCAUGCUUCCCUCAUUUCCGGAGUUAUAUAUUCAUGAUUGCCCUUUGCUAAAAGAAAGGUGCAAAAAGGAUGAAGAGCAAGACUGGUCCAACAUUGCUCAUAUACCUUCUGUUCAGAUUGAUAAUAGAUUCAUCUAUGAUUAGAGGAAAAGAAAGAUGAAUGUAAUUCAGAGGAGUAAAACUGGAAGGAGAAAAUCAGAGAAUGCAACAAAUUUGUAUUAUGUCAAUUUUACAAAGUCAUUGUAAUAACUCAUUUCUAAUUUCUUUUAUAGUUUUCCUUACAUUUGUAUUAUAGAAUACAAUUUUGGUUUUUCCAAAUGUUGAUAAUGAUAUUGUUGUGGGCUCUGUUUUUUGUUUUUGGCAUUUCUAGAAGUUAGAGUUGUAGUUUGGAUUUGUUUCUCUUGCCUUUAAUGACACAGCAUCUAUUUUCCUGUGUCCAUAUUUAUUUUCAAUUCUUUCUACAUGCAGUUUGGGAAGUUGUAUGACCCCAUUUUCUGCAUGCACCAAUUCAAUGAAUGUCACCAUCAGCAGCAGUGAUACAAAAAUAAAUGAGAACCCUGUUGUCGCCUAAAGAAUCACCGUUAUUUGCAGUCCUACAGAAUGGAAGGAUUCUUCCCUUAAUGUAUUUUAUCUCUCUUUUUUCUUGUUCUUGUACCGCAGAUGAUUUUGAAUAUUGCAUUUAAAAUGAAAUUUUGGCGAUAUCUUGUUUUUCAGGUAGAAGAUAUUAGCAAAGCCAAGGAUACUCUGCUAGAACACUAGUGUGAAGGUGAUAAAGAAUGACAACGUUCAACAUAGCCUACAUAUCUUUUGUUAAGGUUGCUCACAAAUUUGCUAUGAUCCAGAAGAGGAAAGCUGAAAUUGAUUGAUUUAUCGGUAAAUCUGGUAGGUCAAUUUGAAAUUAUAGCAACAUUGUCCCAUUGUAUAGUUUUUAUAAUUGGAUAAGUACUUUUUAAAGAAAUCAACAGAAAGUUUAACUAUUAACUCUUUCUUGGUCAAAGUUCAUCUCACAGAAAAUGCUUGGAAAUAGAUUCAUCUUCGUGGCCUCCAGACACAUGAAAGGGCUAAAAGAAAAUUAAGGAAUGAAGAGUUUGGUUAAUUGUCCAAAAGUUUUGUUGUCAUCUAUUGGAACUUGCGGAUUGUUUGUUUCAUGAUUUGAUUGGUUUCCUACCUCACUUUUUGUCAACCUGUUGGAGAGAUUAGUUGUCCUCACAAGAAGAGACAAUAACUAUGGUACUAUAUACUAGUUAUGAAGGUAUAAAAUUCUACCCUCAUAGUGUUGUAGUAUCUACAAAUUAUAUUUCUCUCUGUGACUUCAGGUAAAAAAAAUUUUACAAAUUAUAGUGUCUACAAAUCCUAGCCCCUGCUAAUUUUUGUUAGAUGAUGUUGCAGUACUACAAUGAACGCCUUGAAUCAACUUUCAGCAUUUGAAAACGAUUAUGGUGUAAUGAAAAUCUUCCUCCUAUGUUUCUUGGUUAUGGUGUACACAAUUAGGAUAUGCUUGGAAAUGUUCCUUAUAGAGUCAUAAUUAUAACAAACUAAAUGUACAAUGCUAAGAAUUAUUUUCCACUGUCAUCUACCUAUUUUUUUAUUCUGUUUUCUGUAACAAAGAAUCUGAUUUCUUCAAUCGGAUAUUUCAGUUUAGCGGAGGUCAAAGACACAGCCUGUGGGUAACUGGGCAUUGCAUCAUGAACAGGCUUUAAAUGUGAUUGAAGACACCAUGUAAUUGCUGCUUCAGUUGGUUCUUGUUCAAUAUCCCUCAAACUUUUGCAGGUGAAAAUGACCACUAUAUAUUUCAUAACUUCAUAAGUUUUUAGUCUUUUCUAGUUAUUAUUUGUAUCUCAUCCUUGCUCAUACUGAAUGCAUUCAUUACGGUAUGUUUUUCUACUGAAACUUCAAACUGAUAAUUUGGCCUCGCCCUUCAGGACAAUCAAACUCAAGUUCUGAGCCCCCCUUCAAACAAACAACUUGGAAGUUCUCCGAACAGGACCUCCUUUCUUCAAAUGGGACUCUUAUAAUUGGAAAGCGCCAAAUAUAUCACUGGUGCAUAAGGACAUGAUAUUGAAAGGCUAACAAGGUUUCCCAAAUCUGUUCUAAUUGGUCGAUGCAAGUAUGCCAAUCAAAGAUAUGGAAGUGCUAUGCUCAAAAAGAGAGUGCUGAGAACUUUAUGAUAUUGGGAGUUAUUUGGUCACCCAUUGGUACAUGCAAUACAUUCAUGAUAGGUCAAAUUCACAUUUCCUGCCUCUGGCAUUUUCUCCAUACAAAAGUUUGAAGAUGAAGAAGGCUUUGUGUCUAGAAAAAUAGGUACCAUUGUUUCAUUGCCUUUAUUUGGCACAAGACUUUCCACUGCCAUGCCAACAAAACUUCAGGGAAAUGCAUUAUUGCCGAGUGCCAAUCGUUUCUGUUGAAUUUAAGGCUCCAGUGAUGAACUCUCUUGGCGUCAAGGUGAUUUUUAUGAAGAUGUCAAAGUACUGAAGACAGCAUGCGAUACUAUCUGCAUAGCCAUAUCUCAUGCCGGACAUACUGAUAUGGCCUUCUAAUGCCUUUUUGCUACUUUAGCUUAACUUGUUCCUGGUUUUAUGUCAAGUAUGUUAUCUAAACUAAUGACAAAUUUUGUCAUUCUCUUUGUAUAAAGAACUUUUAUUCAAUGACAAUCUAUAAGCCUUCGGUCAAUUCACAUUUUCUACUACAAGUGUCAUGGGAUCAAACAGGAGAUUGCAUAUGGUUUUGGUUAUUAUAUUUUUUAAGUUUCAUUUAAAAUUUAUCUAAUCAAUAUUAAUAAGAUUUAUAUAAUUUAUAAAUUUAUAAGAAUUCCAAUGCAUCGGAUGCUUAUAAAAAUACUCAUUUAUUCAGUACAUUUCAAAAAUUUGUAAUAUUUAAAUUUUUUAUUAUUAAUAUUAAUGAGAUUUAUCACAUUAGAAAAUAUAUACGAAUACUAAUUUGUACCAAUUUACUUUAUUAGAAUUUUUUUUAUCAUAGAUAUCGACAAGAUUUGUCCAAUUUGUAAACAAAAAUUUUAAUUACACUGAAUGGCAUUCAGUAAAAUUAUUUUUCUUAAUGCUAAUAAUAUUGAAUCAUUUAUAGAUUAAUAUUUUAAAAUUUCAAUUAUAUAUGAUCGAAAAAUUAAUUGUCUUCUGUAUAUAAAUGUUAUUUUAGUUUAAUUGUCUUGAUUUAUAUACAAUUAACUUUAAAUUUUAGAAAUAUUUUUAUCUUAUAUAUAAUCCUUAUUAAUAAAUAAAUAAAACAUAAGUAUCCAAGUACAAUGCACGUGAUAAUAAAUAUUAGUGAGUAUAAGUUGCUCUCAGCUCAUCUAAUUGGGUGCCAUGCUCGGCUGGUGUGGAGGUUUUUUGGUGAGUCUGCUUUUCUGUGGCUUCAAGUUGCUGUUUCCUUGUGAUAGAUGUUUCAGUGGCAAGCCCUGUUUUGGCCUAAAGGGCGCUGCAUUUCUGGUGUGUAGGUGAUUGUCGAAUUGAGAUGCUUUUAUUUUUUGUGGCAGUUAAUCCUUUGUGUAAUUAUACAGAUUCUCAAAGCCCUUAUCAUUCUUUUAUGUCAUGAAAAGUCUUUUGUAGAUCAGGCAAGAGACUUGAUGAUGACAUAAUGGUAAUGAUGAUUAAUAAAAACAACGUUUAAAAAAGGUUAGUAUAAGCAUACAAAGAAGGGUUAUAUUAUUAUUAUUAUUAUUAUUAUUAUUAUUAUUAUUAUUAAAAAGAGUUAAGUAGUUGGAUUGCAUCUCCAUUCUUUAGAUUUAGAAUGAAUUAAGAAUCUAAAAUAAUAUAUAACGAUACAAUAUAAUUAAUUUAUUAAUCAUAACGAUUUUUAAUUCCUAAUGCUUUUUUUAAUUCCUAAUUCUUGUUUAUAUUUCACAAAAUUGUUGCACAUCCAGCUUUUAACGAGAAUCCGAUUUUAUUGCAAAAGAACAAGGAGACAAUACAAAAAAUACAUCCGGCUCUGAGGAAUGAUGACAUUGAUGUCAUUAACAUUGUUGUAUGAUAAGUUUGAGAUUAAUAUUGAUACGAUCAUUGCAUUAACAAAAUCACAAGGAAACAAAACUUAACCAGCAUUGAUGGAGUUUAUGUGAUUCCCAUUUUUGGUAUUAGAGGAUUUGGCAAGAUAACCCUUACUAAGCUUGUCUGUGAUGAUAACAAUGUAAAGAUAAUUUUGAUCUAAUUUAUUACGUGCAUUUGAUUAUUAAAUCGCAUGUAUGUCAAAAUUAUUUUUUAUAUAUUUAUUUAUUUAUAAAAACACUUAAAGUUAUAUAAUAAAAAAUAAUUAUUUCUUAUUUUACAAGUGAUGUUGUAUAUCUAACUAAUAAAUUAACUAAUAUAUAUAUAUAUAUACACACUAAUAAAUUAACUAAUAAAGAUUUGAUGGUUAGGGAGCUGCAUAGUGUUGAUGGAAAAUAGGUGGCUGAAGGGAAAAUGGAUGACAAGGAGACCAUCUUAAUUUAAAUGAACAAUCAGUCAUAGCCUCCACAGACAGUUCUUAUUUGGUGAGAUCGGUUCCUCUUUCAACGUUUUAUAAGGUGAUGGUUGAAUGUUAGAAAUUUAGCUUUCUAGUGAUGACUUCUUGUAAUAUCCUCUAAGUUUACAAGAAAAAGCUUUUGUAAUCUUAUUAUUUUAAGUAGGGGAGUACUUGAAGAGACUAUAGUCCCAUGGUUUUUCCCUUUACCAAGUGGUAAAGGAUUUUUUGACGUAAAAUCUGAUGUCUUACUCUCAUGGAUUGUUGAUUAUUUCAUUUUUUUACAUGGAUAAAUAAUAAUGAAUUACUAUUUUAAUAUAUUCAAUAGGGUAUUCAACUUUUACAAAGAGAAACAAGAAAUCAGAGUUUUAAUUAUCUGGUUGUAAUGGUUGACUGUAAAGACAUGAUGUGCUUUCUUCAUUUUUCGGUUUUACUAUUUAACAUAGACACCAUAAUAUAACAGCUUAACAACUAAUCGCAACAAACAAACUCCUGUCAAUUGUACUAAACAAAACCAUUAAUUUCUUACAACAGAGUCGAUUUACUCUUUGUCAUAAUAUUGACACCUUCUACAGAUUUAUUUGGGAGGAUCCCAAUGAAUAUAUUUUAGAGUGCAUUAUCAAACCAUUGAUUAAUAACAUUGAAUUUGAUUUACCAAUAAAAGUUUUCAAUUUGUAAAUUUUUUGUAAAUAUUAUAGGUUGCUCAAAUUUCAUUGUAAUUUGCACUUGAACAUUUGAUUCAAUAGAUAUAAUAGAACUUUGAAUAAUGGACUUUUAUAUAAGGUAAUAAUAAAAAAAUAAGCAUUUAUAUUAGGGAUAAAUAAUUACUCAAUAAUUUACUUUAACUAGAAAUGUGGUAUUAAUACGAAAAUUUCUUAAUUCUAAUACUAUGGAAUAAUUUAUAGAUUAAUAAUACAAAUUUUCAGUUAUAUAACACUGAAAAAUUAAUUAUUUUUUAUAUAUAAUGAUCUUUCAAUUAUAAUUGUUUUUAGUUAUAGACAAUUAACUUUAUAUUUUAAAAAUAUUUGUAUCUUAUAUAGAGAUAGUUAUUAUUUCAAAAUAAAUAAAAAACAAAUAUUCAUAUACAAUGAAUAUGAGAAUAACUAUCAAUAAGUAUAAGUAUAUUAUUAUUAUUAUUAUUAUUAUUACUACUAAAAAUGAUGGAGUUGUUGGGUUGUUUAUCAGUUUUUCAAUUCUUAAUUCUUUGGGGAAUCUUCCUGGACGGUUGAUGAAAGGUUAUUGUUAUGAAAGAGAGCACCAUGAUUUGGUAAUAAUAUUAGGUAGCUUGAGAUCUGAUGUAAUUUUUCUUAGAACAAUAUCAUCAUUUUUUAAACAUCUUUCCUUGGGGAAAGAACAAUGAAUCCAAGGUAGCCAUCCCCAUUAACAAGAUUUUAUAGAUUUCUAUAAAAUUGCUGCAAGCUUUAGCUUUACCAUAUCAACAUUAUCAUCUAUAUUGAUAAAAUUUAACGAAAGUUUUCUCGAACUUCCCCUGGUUCAAGAUGCAAGUGAGAAGUUUCAUCUAAUUCUGUUACUUUAUCUUCAAAAAUCAACAAAUAAAAAGUAUAGUAACAAAAUUCAAUGAAAUUGAACUAUAUUGAUAAAAUUCAACAUUAAGUCUUUAACAUUGUUGAAAAAUUGGUUUUAAUCCCCUAGACAUUUCAUAGCUUAACAGUUUUUUUUCCCAAUUCUGACUAUCUGAGUUUUACUUAACAAAAUUGAGAGUCAAUUUUGAAUGUUGCUGAAAUCUCAUACAAAUUCAUGGCUAAAGUGAAUUUCAUCUAUGGUGAUUCAUAUCUCCUAUCAAUUUUCAUUUGGAGUUUUGAGAAUUUGGAAUGUUUACUGGAUGACAAGGAGAAUAUCAAUUUCAGUAGCACAUCUCUUCUUCAAUCUCUUUAUAUUGUAGAUUGUGAAGCUCUAAAAUCAUUAUCAUGGAGUGGUAAGUUACCCGUGCAGCUUAAGACGUUGGAUAUUGAUAAGUGUCCAGAGCUUGAAUGUUUAGCACGGGAAAUUGGGGAUAAUACUUGUCUUGAAACUAUUAUACUCCGGAAAUGUAGAAAUAUUAAAUAUUUACCCCAAAGACUGGACAAGCUCAGCCGUCUUCAAAAGAUUUCUUUAGAGUGUCCAAAUCUGGUUCGUCUUCCAGAAGCACUGCCCAACCUCCACCAUCUUCAAUAUUUGCUUAUAAGGGUGCAAAAUUCCAUCGGAGAAAGGGGUUUCCCUACCAACUUAACUUCCCUUCAAAUCGGUGAUCCCGAUAUUAGUAAGGCAGUAAUGGAAUGGGGAUUGCACUGACUCACCUCUCUUACAUAUCUUUUCAUUGAUGGUAGUAAUUGCACAGAUGCGACGUCGUUUCCUCAGCAGGAGAUAGGAAUGAAGCUGCCCCCCUUCUCUCGCCGAUCUUUCUAUCAAAAAUUUCAAAAACGUAAGAAAGCUAUCCUCCAACGGCUUUCAAAACCUCACCUCUCUUCAAUAUUUGUCGAUCUCCCAUUGCCCAAAGCUCAAAUCCAUUCCCCGAAAGGAAAUGCUUCCCUCGCUUUCGCUACUAUGGAUUAGGGAUUGUCCGGUGCUAAAGAAAAGGUGCAAAAGGGACGAAGGAAAACAAUGGUCCAACAUCGCCCACAUACCUGAUGUAACAAUUGAUGGUAGAUUCAUCUACGAAUGAUCAAGAGGAAGAAUCAGAGCAUGUCAACUUAGGUAUUUAAAGCCUACAACUAAUUACUAUUUUAACUGAUUUUUUUUAUGUACAAAUAUAUCUACACAAACCAUGACAUGGGCGAACAUUGAAUUUUUUUGCAUUUAAUUCUGAAAUAUUUUAGCAUGAAAUCUUGUGGUUCCUUGUUUAUUUGUUUUAGCAUGAAAAAUAGUAUUGAUAUGUUGCAAAGGAGAUAGUAAGGUAACUAAAUGCUAAUAUGUUCACUUGUUAAAAUGGAGAUGGCAGGAUUUAUAUUCUGCAUCUGAAAUUUGAGUUCCAAAAAUAUUAAAAUGUGAUUUCAAAUUCAUUUCAAGAGCAAUGGACAAGGUUGUGCAAUCCAUGGCAGAUUACUUCUAGUAUGCUAACUCAUGAUUAGUGUAGAGAUCAGAUAGUUGAAAGCUUCUCAUGUAAUUAGUUCCACCUGAAUUGAUUUUGAGCAAUUCAAGUUUAAAGUUUAACCUUUAAUAGACUCUAGCUUAGAAAACUAGCUAUGCUUUUCUUAAUGCUCCUUAUACAAAUGCUUUCUUGUGGAGAAUUCUGGUUGUUAAUGUGAGGGUUUUGGAACUUACAGAGUAUGGUUCCAUGGUUCAUAUGGAUUUCUUAAUCUGAUCUCAGUGUUUUUAAUGAAAUUCAUUGCUUUUUUCCUUGUGCUUAAUUUGAUGCAGCUUACCUACAACUUAUAUCUUGUUUCUUCAGUUUCAUAUAAUUUGGUUUGUUUUUGCAAUGAUCGUUUAUUUGAUUUUCUUUCUCACCUUCUCUGUAAUAUGAAAUCAGUUAUAAAAUUUCAACAUCCUGGAGAGCGUUUAUUUUGUGCACAAUUCAGUCUUUAAAUUAUCUUCCUCUUUUAUAAAGAGAAACAAUUUCAAAUUUUUGAAACUCAUUUUCUGUUGACCAUCAAAUGAUGUUUUGUUGACCAUCCUAUUUUCUACCAACAAAAUGUCACAAAAAUGUAGAAGUCAAUUUCUGGAAACAUAAAAUCUUAGUUGAAGCUGAAUUCAGAAUUAAAACCAAUACUUUUAUGGCAGGUUUGGUAGACAUUAAGAAUAAGCUUCGUAGCAUUAGAUUAUGAGCAGACUUGAAAUCCAUCUCUUUUCCUCUUAAUAAAUGAGGUUGCAGCUUUCACUUCUCUCUGCACGUCCUUCAAGCUACUACAAGUGAGAACAACUAUUAGAAUUUUUCUGAUUUCUGUCUCCUUUGUGCAAAUGCAUAAUUAGUGCCUUCAUUUCAUAUCACCAAAUUAUGUUCAUUGGAUUUGAGCAAAAGCAGUACAAUGACUAUAGCCAACUCACAAGAUGUUCUACCAAUUAAUGUUAUAUGUUUUUUGUUCUCUACUUCCUUAUGCCAUGUAAGCAUCACAAGUGUUUGAGAAUCAAUGUAUUAAGUUUUUUGCUACUCAACACUAACAACAGAAUGCUUUGGCCUCGUAUGACAGGAUGAACAAAACUCAUGAUUUUGUAUCUCAUUCCAAUGCCCUUAGAAUCAAUGAUAGAAAGUUUCCUAGGCAGCAUGUGAGUGUAUCAUGUUGAAAGAAAAUUAAGAUUUUGGGUUCAACUAUGAGUCUAAGUUGGAUGUGUGUGCACUAGUGGAUUUCUUGAUCCUUUCUUCCCCAAAAUAUGAGAUUAUAGAUGGGCAGUGAUGUUGAUUCAAGAAUGUCCAAUUCCAAAGAGUUGAUGGUUAGAGAGCUGUAUAGUGUAAGAAACUGUUGCUGACCGCCAAAAGUGAUUUGAUGGAGGAAUGGGUGGCUAUGGGAAAAAUGGAUUAGAAAGAGAGCAUCUUAGUUUAAAUGAACAAUUAGGCAUAGUUUCUAUGGAUAGUUCACAUUUGCUGUGAGAUUGUUUCUUCUUAGCACAUUCAUGAUGAGCUAAUUUGAAUUGACAAUGAAUGUUUAGCACGGGAAAUUGGGGAUAAUACUUGUCUUGAAACUAUUAUACUCCGGAAAUGUAGAAAUAUUAAAUAUUUACCCCAAUGACUGGACAAGCUCAGCCGUCUUCAAAAGAUUUCUUUAUGGGGUUGUCCAAAUCUUGUCCGUCUCCCAGAAGCUCUGCCCAACCUCCACCAUCUUCAAGAAUUGAUUAUAGAUGAAUGUCCAAGGGUGCAACAUUCCAUCGGAGAAAGGGGUUUCCCUACCAACCUAACUUCCCUUGAUAUCUCUGACCCCAAUAUUAGUAAGGCAGUAAUGGAGUGGGGAUUGCAUAGACUCACCUCUCUUACAGAUCUCAAUAUUGAUGGUAGUAAUUGUACCGAUGCGGUGUCGUUUCCUCAGAUGGAGACAGGAAUGAAGCUGCCCCCUUCUCUCACUUAUCUUUCUAUCGAAAAUUUCAAAAAUGUAAGAAAGCUAUCCUCCAACGGCUUUCAAAACCUCACCUGUCUUCAAUCUUUGGUGAUCUACCAUUGCCCAAAGCUCAAAUCCAUUCCCCGAAAGGAAAUGCUUCCCUCGCUUUCGCAACUAGAAAUUUGGUACUGUCCAGUGCUAAAGAAAAGGUGCAAAAGGGAUAAAGGAAAACAAUGGUCCAACAUCGCCCACAUACCUAAAGUAAGAAUUGAUGGCAGAUUCAUCUACGAAUGAUGAAGAGGAAGAAUCAGAGCAUGUCAACUUAGGUAUUUUAAUCCUACAACUAAUUACUGUUUUAACUGAUUUUUUUUAUGUACAAAUAUAUCUACACAAACAUUGAAUUUUUUAGCAUUUAAUUGUGAAAAAUUUUAGCUUUUCUUUCCCCCAUAAAUAAAUCGAACAUGUAAUCUUGUGUUUCCUUGUUUAUUUGUUUUAGCAUAAAAAAUAGCAUUGAUAUGUUGCAAAGGAGAUAGUAAGGUAACUAAAUACUAAUCUGUUAACUUAUCCGAAUGGAGAUGGCAAGAAUUAUAUUCUGCAUCUAAAAUUUGAGUUCCAAAAAUAUUAAAAUGUGAUUCAAAUUCAUUUCAAGAGAAAUCGACAAGGUUGUGCAAUCCAUGGGAGAUUACUUCAAGUAAUAUGCUAACUCAUGAUCAGUGUAGGGAUCAGAUAGUUGAAACCUUCUCAUGUAAUUAGUUCCUCCUGAAUUGAUUUUGAGCAAUUCAAGUUUCAAGUUUAACCUCUAAUGGACUCUAACUUAGAAAACUAGCUAGGUCUUUCUUAAUGCUCCUUAUACAAAUGCUUUCUUGUGGAGAAUUCUGGUUUUUAAUGUGAAGGUUUUGGAACUUACAGAGUAUUGUUCCAUGGUUCAUAUGGAUUUCUUAAUCUGAUCUCACUUUCUUUAAGGAAAUUCAUUGCUUUCUUCAUUGUGAUUAAUUUGAUGCAGCUUGCCUACAACUUAUAUCUUGUUUCUUCAGUUUCAUAUUAUUUGGUUUGUUCUUGCAAUGAUCGUUUAUUUGAUUUUCUUUCUCACCUUCUCUGUAAUAUUAAAUUAGUUAUAAAAUUUCAACAUCCUGGAGAACAUUUAUUUUGUGCACGGUUGAGUCUGGAAAUUAUCUUCCUCUUUUGUAAAAGGGAAACAAUUUCCAACUUUUAAGACUCAUUUUCCAUUGACAAUCAAAUGACCAUCCUAAUUUCUACCAACCAAAUGUCCGAAGAAUGUAGAAGUCAAUUUCUGGAAACUAAUUUUUGUAAAACAAAUAGAAUCUUAGCUCAAUUCUGAAUUAAACCCACUAUUUUUAUGGCAGGUCCAGUAGACAUUAAGAAUAAGCUUCGUAGCUUUAGAGUAUGAGAAGGCUUGAAAUCCAUCUCUUUUCUUCUUAGUAAAGAGGAUUGCACCUUUCACUUCACUCUGCGCUUCCUUGGAACUACUACAGGUGAGAACAACUGCUAGAAUUUUUCUAAUUUCUAUCUCCUUUGUGCAUAUGCAUGAUAAGUGAAUUCAUUUCAUAUCAUCAAAUUAUGUUCAUUGGAUUUGAGCAGAAGCAAUAUAAUGACUGUAACCACUUCACAAGAUGUUCUACCAUUUUUUUUUUUUAUUAGUAAUGUUCUACCAAUUAAUGUUAUAUGUUUAUUGUUCUCUGCUUCCUUAUGCCAUGUAAGCAUCACAAGUAUUUCUAAAUCACGGUAUUAAGUUUUUUGCUACUCCACACUAACAACAUAAUGCUUUGGCCUUGUAUGGCAGGAUGAACAAAACUAAUGAUUUUGCAUCUAAUUGCAAUGCCCUCAGAAUCAAUGAUGGAAAGGUUUCCAAGCAGCAUGUGAGUGUAUCAUGUAGAAAGAAAACUAAGAUUUUGGGUUCAACUAUGAUUCUCAGUUGUAUGUGUGGGCACUAGUGGAUUUCUUGAUCCUUACUUCCCAAAAAUAUGAUAUCAUAGAUGGCAGUGAUGUUGAUUCAAGAACGUCCAAUUCCAAAGACUUGAUGGCUAGAGAGCUGCAUAAUGUAAGUAAUUGUUACUGAUUGCCAAAAGUGAUUUGAUGGAGGAAUGGGUGGCUAAGGGAAAAAUGGAUUAAAGAGAGAGCAUCUUAGUUUAAAUGAGCAACCAAGCAUAGUUUCCACAGACAGUUCACGUAUUGUUUCUUCUUAGCACAUUCAUGAUGAGCUAAUUUGAAUUCAUAAUGAAAUUAUUUAAUUGUUGCCUUCUAUGCUUAGACCUAUACAACCUUGGGAUGGAUAAAGGAUUAAAUAUAUGAAUGUCAAGAGUUUAAAAUGUCAUAGAGAAAGCAGCUCAACUUUCUUCCAUUUUCUUUUUCAUUGUUGAACUUUUAUGUUUCUGUUUUUCUACUUAAGGUUUUCUUUUACUGUCAAUAUCUGUCUCAGGUUUUAAUUAGUAUGCUUUGGUUUUACUUUCACAGUCAUUCUCCUUCUUGGUGGAAAAGAUGUGAAUUGAAGACUUAUGAUCCAAUGUUGCCAAGAAGAUAGUCAGGUAACUUAAUACUGAUAUGUUGACUUAUUAGAAUGGAUAUAGUAGGAGUUAUACUCUGCAUUUGAAAUUCAAGUUCCAAAAAGUUAAAUGUGAUUUCGAAUUCAUUUCAAGAGCAAUCUGUAAAGUUCCACCAGAAUUGAUCUUGACCUAUUCGAGUGUAAAGUUUAUCCUCUAACAGUUUCUAGCUUAUAAAACUAGUUGAAAGUUUAACUUAAAUUUUAAGAGCAAUUUGUAAAAUUCUCAUAUAAAGGCUUUCUUGUUGGAAAUUUUGGUUUUUAAUGUGAAUUUUUUGGAACUCACGGAGAGUUGUUCCAUGUGUCAUAUGGAUUACUUAUUCUGAUCUCACUCUUUUAAAGAAAAUUCAACGCUUUCUUUGUUGUGAUUAAUACAAUACAGCUUCCAUAUAACCUAUAGCUUGUUCCUUUGGUUUUAUAUUGUUUGUUUUGUUCUUGAAAUUAUCUUUCUCUGAUUUUCUAUCUCACCUUUCUACAAUAUGAAAAUCAGUUAUAAAAUUCCAAUUUUCUUCCCAGAGUGGAUUUCUGCACCGUGCAUGAGCCAUGCACUCUUUUUUAGCUACUAUUCAUAGAUGACGUUCCAUGGGUGGCGAUGAUUGUUUGGAUGCUAUCUUUUCUACAAGGGAGAAAUGAUGCUUCCCACCUUCUUUCACCUUACGAUGAGAGAAAUAAUGUUUGGAGUAGUUCUUACAAAAGGGCUUUCAAAAGAUCUGCAUACAGAGGUAUGGUGGCAGUUUUUACUUUUGAAGUAUAUUUAAAAAAAAAUAAUCUUUUUGCCCCGAAAAAAUUGAAAAUAACUUUUAGUGAAAACAAUGCUUCUGUCCCCAUUGAAAUUUAUCAAAAUUUGGAAUUUAGACCAUAUGAAUAAAAAUCUCUUAAUAGUAAUAAUGCAUAGUUAAGUGAACUUUUUCUUCACAAUGGAAAGCACUAUAUAUAUCACUGCUUCAUAUCACCUUUAACACUUGAAAUAAACCUAAACGAAUGUUUCAUAAAUUUAAAUUUUACAAUUAGCUAGAUAACUUUGCCCUCAUCAAGAUAAAAUUCUGCAUUUAUCCCUGUCCUGCCUUAAAAAUGGAGAAUACUUAAUUGCCAGUCAUUCAUCUCUUUUCAAAAGGAGUGCUUUAUGUUGAUAUUAAUGAUUCAUUUAUUAAUUAUGAAUAAAAAGAAGCAUGAAAGAUCUUAGAUAAUACUUCCUAUUUUCCUCCUAUUUACUGCACCAUGUCUAUUUAAAAUUCCUCUCAAUCAUUAUUAGCAGAAUUCUUUUUUACUUUCAAACAGUUAAUUAAAGUUUUAUAAUUACAAAGUGCUUCUCAUGUCAAACGUGCAGGAAUUUGAGUGCGAGUUACGUAAGAAAGAAUGAAAUUCAAACCUUUGGACGUAAUUCAUUGACAACAAUUAAUACUAAUGGUAAGUUUUCAAAAGUCAAUUUUUGAAUGCAUGCUUGAUAGAAUAAAGCCUUCCUCCUAAUUAUCAUGAAUGUAAUUUUCACAAUUCUCUGUUUCUUUAUCUUUAAUUCUAAGCUUAGAUACUUUGAUUACCAAUUUUCAAAUAAUUUGGUGGAGCGAUGAAGAUGAUCCCAAUGCAUUAUGAAUUUGGAAGCCAGGUAACUAUAUACUAAUUUUCAUGUUUCACAAAAUAUCAAGUAAAAUAGAAGCAUCAUAAUAAUGGUCUUGUAUUCAAUAUUCAAAUUCUAAAAUUCAACAUUUCAUUGAACUAAACACUAAGGUAGUCAUGCCAUGGAUUUUGAUAAAUCUGGAGUAUUGUGGCAACCUUGGUAUAUAUUAAGAAUAAGAUUUUGAGCAUUAGAGAAUCAGCAAGCCUGAAAUCCGUCUCUUUUCUUCUUAAUGCAAAGGCUGGUGCUUUGACUUGACUCUACACUUCCUUCCAAGUAAUACAGGUGAGAACAACUACUAAAAGUUUUAUGAAUUCUAUCUCCUUUGUGCCUAUUCAUAAUUAGUGCCUUCAUUUCAUAUCACCAAAUUAUGUUAUUUGGCUCUUCAGGAAGUCUUUGUUUCUGUCAUCAUUCAUUGGAUGUGAGCAGAAGCAGCAUAAUGACUGUAGCCACUCUACAAGAUGUUCUACCAAUUAAUGUUAGAUGUUUGUAGUUCCUUGCUUGCUUAUGCCAUGUAAGCAUCACAAGUAUAUGAGAAUUACUAUAUUAAGUUUUUUGCUACUCAACACUAACAACAGAAUACUUUGGCCUUUGUAUGACAGGGAUGAACAAAACUUAUGAUUUUGUAUCUCAUUCCAAUGCCCUCAAAAUCAACGUUGGAAAGGUAGAGUAAAGUAAUAACUGACUGCCAAAAGUGAUUUGAUGGAGAAUUGUGUGGCUAAGGGAAAAAUGGAUGAGAAAGUGACCACCUUAAUUUAAAUGAACAAUGAGGCAUAGUUAUGGUGUUUUAACGACUUGAUGUGCCUCCAGUCUCCACAGACAGUUCAUACUUGGUGAGAUUGUUUCUUCUUAGCAUGUUUUAUAAGGUGAUUAUUGAUGUUAGAAAUUUAGCUUUUUAUUGAUAACUUCACGUCAUAUCGUUUACUUGUACUAGAGAAGACUUUUGUAAUCCUAUUAUUUUGAGUAGUGGAAGAAUUUGAACGGACUAUGGUCCCAUGGUUUUUCCCCUUACCAUGGGGUUUUCCACGUAAAAUCUGGUGUCUCGCUCUUGUGGGCUGUUGAUUAUUUCAUUUUUUUACAUUAAUAACCAAUUAUGAAUUACUACUUCAAUUAUCAUACAAUGUAUUUAACUUUUAUAAAGAGGGAUAAAAAUUUGGAGUUCUGGUUGUCCGGUUGUAAUGGUAGACUGUAAGGACAAUGCUUAGUGCUACCUUUUUAUCUUGGUUCUACUGAUUAACCUUGAGGAGUGAUGUCAAAGGAAUAUAUUCAAUAUGGUGGGCGUGAAGUUCUAUGAAGAGAAUUGAACAAAUGCAUUUCCACCAUUAUAGAUUCUUCAAUGCCAAGAUAUGCCAGAGUUGGAGUGGAAUUCUUACCAAGUUGAUGAGCAAAACGGGAUCUUCACUUGCCUCCAUGAUCUUUCUGUCAAGAAAUGCCCCAAAGUAUUGAGAAGUCUACCAAGUUGUCUUCCUUGCUUGGAAAAACUUGUGAUUUAUGAUAAUUGGUAAUUUUAAUUCCAAACCCUUCAAGGCUAUGUGAAUUAGAAAUUGUUGGGUGCAAAGAAGUGUGACAUGAGAGUUCUCUUUAUCUUUGCUCAUUCAAAAAAAAAGUCUCUCGAACACCCCAAAGUUUACUUAUGAUGUUAGGCUUAAUAAAAAUUAAAUUUCUUCGAAUUGGUGGUUGUCGGAGAGCUUACUUAUUUGAUGCAGAACAUCGGGGGCUGGUUAGCUUCUGCAGGUUUAGGCUUCAGCAUGUCAAGAUAUGGAGUUGCUCCAAGUUGGCCUAUCUUUAAUCAAGUGGCCGCUUACUCGUGGGGCUUACACACCUGCGGAUUGACCUUUGCCAAAUGCUGGAAUCUUUUGCACAAUUAGUUCACAGUAACACUUCUUUUGAAUUCAUUUUCAUCGGUAGGUGUGGAAAGAUCGACUACCUACCUGAUCAUGACUGCUAUUGCUAUCUGGAAGAAUAGGUACCAUUGUUUCAUUUCCUUUAUUUGGCACAAGACUUUCCACUGCCAUUCCAACAAAACCUAUGCAUUAUUGCCUACUGCCAACAGUUUCCAUUGCAAAAUCUGUAAUCGUAUUGAUACAAGGGGUUGCCUCCAUGUGACAAUCAUUAAUUUAACAAUUUCACUGAAUGACAAAAUUAUGAUCACCACAUCAACUAAAUUCAAGGUUCAACAUAAGUCAAAAGAUGUAAAAUAUAAAUAGUAGUAAGAAAUGGUAUAUAAAAGUUACUUUAGUAAACAGAAAUUUCUUGACAACUUAAUCUUAAUUUGUAAAUAACCCGUGACAUGAUACAGCCUAGGUGCAUAUAAAUAACUCGUGACAUGGUACAAAAAUUUUUUGUUUUUUUAUUUCUGUUUGUCGAUCGAAAAUCAACCCAAUAUGAAAAUAAAAGACAAUAAGAUAAAAUAACUGAAAGCCCGUGACAAAAACUUGGACUUAUCCCAAAUACAAAGCUACAAAAAAAUUUGACUUAGAGUUGGAUGUCAUCUAUUGUGUCCCCCAUGUCCCAAUUCCCCACUCUUUCCCAAAAGUUACUAAGCCAACGCAACCAAAAAGCCUAGGUGCAGAGCUCAUGGGCCACUCCCAGCCUUGAAUUGGGCACAUCGAAAAGUACUCUAUGGUUCUGUUGCUGCGUAUUAACUAUCACAUUCAACACUGAAUUCACAUUCUUUGGUGCGGAUGCCAUGGCCAAGCACGUGAUGCUGCUUGCUGUGCUAUGGAUUAGUAGGUUAUCGCGUGGCAGUGUCAUGUUCAUGCCUGCAAGCAUGAACGUUAUCGUCGGUGCCACAAUAGGGACGGUGUAACAUGUGUUGAACUCACAGAGCAGCCGAGGGAUGUCCCGUUGGCCACCUUGACUCGCCUCUGGAACUUGUCUCGGAUGGCUCUAUAGGCCGGUGCUACUAUCCGUGUAAAGAUGGCACCUAAUGUUGAAUAGCAAAGUUUAGUGACUUUUCAAUGACAAGAUAAAAUACAUUAAGGGCAGAUUUUGAAAUGAAGCUCUUUGAGUUAACAUAAACUUUAACAUAUUAUCAAACUUUUUACAAAAAAAUGAAAUUUUUUAUUUUCAUUUAUUUAGAGAUAUUAAUAUAUAUUUGCUUUUGUAUAAUAUUUUGUAAAACAAUAUUAUUAAUACUAGACCACUAUGGUUAUUUUGAAAAUAUCCAACAUAGAAUUGCCUCAAUGUAGUCGUGACUAUCUCUAAAAAGUUGUCUUUAAAUUAUUUUAUUUAUUUACAAUUUUUAUUUUGAAAAGCAAGAUGUAUAGAUUUCUUCCAUAAAAGGAAAUGAAGGAGCAGAGGUAAACAAAAAAUACCACUUGGCUCCACUGGCGAAGGGUAGUUAAGUCCGUCCCCCAAGUUUUUUAAAAUAUUUUAUCCAUUAUAUAUAUUAUUUAAUCAAAGAUGGAAGAUGGUAUAUUUAUCGAGAUCGUGGUCCUCUAAAAAUUUUAAUAUUUUAAUUCCCUUUAAAAUAAUUUUUUAUUCAAUAAUUAAUAUAAAUAAAAAAUAAUAAAAUGACGUUAUAAAUCUUACUCAAUUUUAUUUCUCUACAUAUCUUUCUCUCUCCUCUUUCUCCCUCUUUCUUUUUAUUUUUUUUCUCUUUUGUUUUUUUAUUUAUAUAUUUUUAAAAAGCAAUCAAUGAAAUUUCAUUCUUUAAUGUAUGUAUACAAAAGCUACCUCAUUUUGGUAGUAUUACAACAAAAACAUAUAGGACAUGUCCCUAAUACGAGAUAAGUUACGUAUAAUGAAACAUAACACACUUAAAACCUAGCAGUCUACUACCAUGAACAACCAAAGUUCGGAGGCAUUUCCUUUAGAAACACAUGGCUCCUGCAUAAUCUCCAUAUAGAGCUUUCUGGUUUACAAAAAAUCUCAACAAGCAUUGGGUGUUGUCCUUACUAGGCAAACUUCACUUUAACUAUACAUCAAUAUUAAAAGGAAAAUUAGUUCAAAUCAGCAACAAAAUGCAUAAAUACGAGUCUUAGUGGGUUGCACAUGUUAUGAAGUUGGAGCCAACAAACAAUAUCUUUUUAUUUUUACUUUACUCUCUUUUUUGUAAUUUACCACUAAAAUAUACUUCAUUUUUUAAACGUUGGGCACAAUUUUUUUAAAAGACUAUUAUAAAUUUUUUUUUUAUUUACAUGUUAUAGAAAAUUAUUAUCUAUUAUGAAUAUUUUGAUUGUUGGUUGACUUUUUUUUUCUUUUAAUUGAGGGAGGAGGGAUUUAAACUCUGCUCUUUAGACAAGGGGAUCAUACACCAACCAAUGAGCCAAAUGUUCGAACGAGUGCUGAUUAUUGAUUAAAUGUAAUAUAUUAAUUUUAAAAAUUUUUAACCCUUAAUCCUCUUCAUCUUUGAUCUUCCACAAAAGUUGAAUAGCGUUGUCCUGCUUGGCUCUACUGUAUACACAACCAACCCUACUAUUGUUGCGAGCAGGUAAAAAAUAUACAAAAGUUUUUGUACAAAAAUAUUGCCUGCAUUACAGUCGGCACUACCCAAAAGAAAAAGAAAAAGCUCACAACCAACUUACAGACAGCUACAAGAAGAAAGAAGAAGCAGCAUAAAUGUUACUUACAGUUUAUUUUUUAACCAUGCUAUAUUUUAUUAAAAUAACCAUGAAAUCAAUUUAUUCAGUAAAUAGAUAAAUACAUAAAUAACUAAAUAAGUAAAUAAAACAUUACUUUAUCAGUUUUAAAUAUGUGAAUAUAUUGUUAUAUUAAUUUCAAUAAAAUAUUAUAAUGAUUUUUACUAAUUUUCAUUAAUUUUAUUAAUUUUGUAAAUAUAAAAUAUUAUUAUAAAAUUAUAUUAUAUACCAAUUUAUAUCUAAUUAUCUUAAUGAUCAUUUUCCAUCUCAUGACACCCAUUAUGCACCAUUGCUUGUUGUCAAAGACAAGUCACAUCGUCGGUUUUAAUCUUAUUGGUGCAACUCCCAAUCUCAUCGUAAUGCUAUCAACCUAACCAUAUCUGUUUCUAUUUUCAUUACUAUCAAUGUUAUUCCUAUCGAUGAAAUUUUUGUUAAGUUUACAAUUUUAGUAAAAAAAUCUUAUUUUCCUUCGCUAAAUAUCAGUAGGAUAUCUAUAUUAGUAAUUUUAUGAAAUCACUACCUUGCCAACAAAAGAUCCUUAUUUACUCAAUUCUUAUCCACCAAUAACGUUUAUUUAUCAUAUAAACUUUUUUUUUGUACAAAAUUACAUGUAAAAGUAAAAUAUUUUUAAUCACAAUCAAGUUCUUAAAUUAUAAUCACAACCAGCCUAAUGAAAUUUAGCUUGCAACAAAUUGAGAAUUAAGAAGAAAGAAGUAAGGAUGGAUAAAUGAAAAAUCUUCAAUGGAGAGAAUCAAAUACAUUAGCAUUUACCCUUUAUACAAUCCAGUAGCUAGAAGCCCCCAUUUUCUUUUAUUUUAAUUUGUUAUCUCUUAAACAAUUCUUUUUAUCAGCACACAACGAGCGAAACACGAUUAAUAGAGUUGAAUCAUAAAAUUCACAGCAAAACAUUUAAAUAUUUGAUUCAAUAAUAUUUAUAUUUUUUCCCGAAUUCAGAUUGCAUUCUCCAAUUAAAAGUAUAGACUUCACAUAGAAGACUAAAAUCAAAUGCAAAAGUACUCAGUGCCCACGGUUGUACAGUCCAGGAUUUUCACCUUUCUUGGGAGGUUUAUUUUGGUUCGGGAGACAGUCAGUGUAACGUAGCCUGUCGCAAAUAACCGGGUUGUUAGGGGCAGAAGUGCCUCCAGUCCCAGUGCCAGAGCUACCAAGCACGCUACCAAUGUGGGAGUCGAACAAGAACUCCAACUCCAAGUUAUUGUGAGCAACAGGGGGGAAGAUGGAACUCCUCCAUUGAAGUAGCGGUUGCUCCAUGUUGGGUUGCAUGAAGAAGAACCAUUAGAGUGAUUAGGAUUCCUAGAGACAAAUCCUUUCCCACUACUCUAAUAACUUCCAUUUUUCUCUCUUUCUUUUUUCCUGCUCAGCCGACUCUUAGUAAAUAGCUACUACUCUCCAUCAAUCCAAGGGAAUUUCCUGUCUUAUUUAUAGAGAAAAAAGAAAAAGUUGAGGUGAACAUUAGAUGUCCAUAUACAAUUUGGAUAACACAUUUGCUGUUUUUUUUUUAAAAACAAUUAUUAUGAAUAGUAACACUUAUUAAUUUCUAAUGCUUUUUAAAAGCAUUUCUUGAGUACUAAAAAUAAAGUUAGUGAUCCCUUUGUUAAUAUUUUUUUUAACUUACCAUUGUUGUAUUCAACAGGGUCCAUAUAUAUUUGGAUUUGAAUGAGAAUCCCAUGUGAAUACACAAAAAUUCAAACCGAAUUAGACCCUGAAAGAACGACUUUCACAUGGUUGCAUGCACAAGUGUCUUUUGCUAAAGCUGACAAAAUCUCAUUCGUAAAUCUGCCUUUCUUCAGCACUGAAAACAAAAUUUAAGUUUUCACAAAAAUGAUGUAUAGACAUUUAAUUUGAGAUGAAAGAAUAUUAAUAGUGACUAUUAGGAGCAAGGAUAUGUUUUCCGCAUAUAAUGAACAUAGCAUAAUCACCUUGGGCACCCAUUUUUCCAUUAGAACCAACUCCUUACAGGUAAAGAGACUUCAUCCACAGGAAUAAGCCCAAUUGCAGUAGAAUGCAUAAUAUGUACUCCCAAAAUCUGUAUAUCAAACAAUAGAAACGAUAGCUGUUUGUUUCAGUCAAUUGAUUGUUCUAUAAAUUAAUCUCUUCAGUCAAAAGAAUUAGAUAAAUGAAUAACUUGUUCUCAAAUGAAUUAGGUAAAGAAUUACGUAAAGAAAGUGAUAGAGGAGGUUGGCUGAUGGACAGUACCAUGGAUUUCCUAUAGACCCUUUGCCAUUCAAGACUCUCGGUAAGGGAUUAUGUGGCUUCCCUUGAAGAAUAAUGAGCCGAAAUUUAACGUGGAUGGAUUUGUUAAAGGUAAAUCAGGCCCAGCUAGAUGGGGAGGAGUCCUCGGACAGCAGUAGAAAUGUCAUUGGCCUUUUAUUUUGGCCCCCUGGGUGAUAUAGACUCGAAUAGUGUGGAGACACUGGCAAUCAAAGACGCCUUACAGUUUUAAGGCUUUCAUUGAAAAAAAUUAGCAGUUAAGUACUCAAGGAUCUGUCGUUUGUCCAAGCUUAGUGACAGCCUUACAAAACCUACAAGAGGAAAAAUUUUUAAUUUCAUUGAACUUGAUAUUGUGUUUUCAAUUCUAUUAUUUUUUGACAAACAAUACAAAAAAUUAACAACAUUAUUUAUUAUUUGUAUUUAUGAAAUAUUUUAUUGAAUAUUUCAAUUUUGUUGAUUUUUAUAAAUUUUAUCAAUUUUUGUUAAAAAAUCAACAAAAUUAAACAUAUAGUAACAAAAUUCAACAUAACCUAAUAUAAUAACAAAUUUGAUCAUACUCCCACAGAAGCACAAGUAAUGAAAUGAAAUUUAUCAUAUAAAUUUUGUUUACCAACAUACAUGUAAAGAUAAAAAUUAUAUUCACAAUCAUGUAUUACAUUUCAUAUAAUUACAAAUUAAUAAAAUAAAUCAAAUAGACAAAUCAACCAACAAACUAGUAUAAAUCAGAUAUAUUCAAUAUAAAAUUGUAUUAUACCUGCUAAUGAUGAGAUUUGAACUUGAAAUAUCAACAGUCUAAUUAAGGUCUCGUAGUUGUCAUUAAGUUAAUGUCUCAUUAUUUCAGCUAAGCAAAGCAAUGAAUAUUUAGUUCUCUAUCAUUCUCCAGUCACAACUUCACCAAUGCGAUAGCCUGUAUAAGCACCAUUUCCAUCCUCAAGUAUUCUAUGAGAUGUGUCCCUGACUCAUAACGAGAACCAUGCCAAUGCCCAUGUUAAAACUCCAUCUCAUCUUAGUAUCUUCAAUUUUUCCAGCCUGUUGGUAUCCAUUAGAACACAGCUGGCAGUUCCCAAGAAUCCUUAUAGAGAGAAGCACCAUGGUCUUUUGGAAACACUCGAGGUAUAUUGUCUGUGAAAGCCACCACCUGUUCUAUGAUAUAUGCUAUUCUCUUUUCCCCUCCUUUGCUAAUUAAAUCUAGCAUCAGCUUAACAUCAGUAAUAAAAAAUUUCAAGACUUCUGAUUACCUUCAGUUUAGGUGUGUGGAUCAUAUUGAUAGGGGUUGCCUCCAUGUGACAAAUCAUUAAUCUAACAAUUUAAACAAUUACAAAAUUAUGAUCGCCACAUCAACCAAAUUCAAAGUUCAACAUAGAUCGAAGGAUGUAAAAUAUAUAAAUAGUAGUAGGAAAACGUACAUAAAAAUUUCUUGACAACUUAGUCUUAAUUUGCAAAUGAUGCGUAACAUGGUACAACCUAAUAAACUAAUCAUCAAUCCAAUAUGAGAAAAGAAGACAUAAGACCAGAUAAUAGAAAACCCGUGACAUAGACUUAGAUUUACCCCAAAUACAAAACUACAAAAAUGAAAAAUUGACUUAGAUUUGGAAGUCAUGUAUUCUGUCCCUCAUGUCCCAAUUCCCCACUCUUUCCCAAAAGUUACUAGGAGAAUGCAACCAAAAAGUGAAGUUGCAAAGCUCAGGGACCACUCCCAGCCUCGAAUUAGGGACAUCGAAAAGUACCCUAUGGUUCUGCUGCUGCAUAUUGGUUAUCAUAUUCAAUACUGAAUUCACAUUAUCUGGCACAGAUGCCAUGGCCAAGCAUGUGAUGCUGCCUACCGUGCUGUGGCAGUGUCACGUUCAUGCCCGCAAAACAUGAAUGUUAUCGUCGGUGCCACGAUAAGGAGGUUGUACUUGAAUUCUUAUCUUUUGGCUUUACUUUCUAAAAAAGCAGCAUUCUCUUUAUCAUAUUCUUUGAAGACUUUUGACUAAGGAUAGCAAAAAGACAAUACAUCUCUCUUUCUUACUAUAGUAAGUUGAUAAUAAGUUUGUACGAUUUCGUUGAAUUUUCUACAUAUUUUAUCAUGACUCUAUGCUUUGCAAAGAGAGUAUUAAUUAAGCCUUAAAAGCAAAGAAAUGAAUAUUUAUUUUCAUUUUCAAAUGCUGGAUUCCAUUGCAUAUUCAGUUCACAAUAACAAUUGCCUUGAAUUCAUUUUCAUUGGCAGGAGUGGGAAGAUUAUGUUCCUGAUCAUGACUGGUAUUGCUAUCUAGAAAAAUAGGUACCAUUGUUUCAUUUCCUUAAUUAGGCACAAGACUCUUUCCACUGCCACAAAACCUAUGAUUAUUACCAGGCGCCAACCGUUUCCAUUGCAAAAUCUUUAAUUAUAUUGAUAGGGGUUGCCUCCAUGCAACAAACAUUAAUCUAACAAUUUAACCAAUAAUAAAAUUAUGAUCACCAGUACAUCAACCAAAUUCAAGGUUCAAUGCCAACCUCGAAUUGUGACGUAGAUUAUGUUAGCAGAUGACAAGUAAAUUUAGUGCUUUUCUUAUGUAGUUAGGAGUCCUAUCAGAAAUUAUAGGUAUAAUAAAAUUUACUUUUUAUUUUAAUUUACUUGGACGAUAAGUAAGCAUAGGUUUAGGAAUUAAGUUUUCUUGCACUUUAAGGAAGUCUAGGGUAUAAUAUUAUUUUAUUUAAAUUUGUUUAUUUGCAUUCCAAGUUUAGGUCAAGUAGGAUUAGGUUAUUAUAAAUAGCACCUUUAGACUUAGUUAUUAGAUAAUUUUUUUUGAAUUAUUAAAUAACAUUAUAUUUUUUCUCAAAUUUUGAGUGUAAGUUUCUAUGUUUGAAACUUGGUUAUCAACUAUAAAGACUCUAUCCAGUGUUAGUCUUUGUUUUCACGUUAACUUACUAUAGCAAAUUGUGCACAUCAAAAAGUACCUUAUGGUUUUAUUGCUAUAUAUUGGCUAUCACAUUUAGCACUGAAUUCACAUUCUCUGUUGCGGAUGCCAUGGCCAAGCAUGGGACGCAGCUUAACAAAGUUUAGUGACUUUUCAAUCACAUAGUAUAUUGGAUGUUGUUUAAGGGAAAAUUUUGAAAUGGAGUUCUUUAAGUAAAGUUCUUUGAAUCUCCAACUUAAAAUAAUUAAAAAUUAAUUAUAGUUUAACCCCAAACUCCCUAACCUCCAACCGACGACAUUUUUUUUUGUUGUUUGUUUUUUUUCUUUUUCUUUGUGGUUGUUCUCGGUUGCUAGAGGAUCUAGGGUAUUUUCUUUGGUUUUUGUUGUGGCUAGGUAUUUUUUGGUUGCUGGUUCUUGCUAGGGAUUUUAGGGUUUUCGAUUGCUUCGUCCCUUUCCUUGUAGCUACAGUGUUCCUUUAUAUAUCGGCUCUCAAUCGGGUGUAUCGUCUCCACUACCUUGCCAGAUGCGAGUUUUUGACGUUUGGCACUGAUGGUGGUGCCUAACAAGGUGCGUCCGCACCCUGCCAGACGUACGUCUUUCUCUUUUUUUUUUCUUUUUUCAUUUUAUUUCAUCAUUUUUUGUUUCAUUUUCAUUUUUCAUUUUUUCAUUCAUUUUUUUAUUUUGUUUUUUUUGUAUCUUAUUUGUUGUUUUUUUUUCUUAUUAUUUAUUUUUUUGUCUGUCUAAGUAAUUACCUAUAAAAUUAAAGUGUCUACAGAAGGGAGCAGGAAAUCUCUUUGUGAGAGAACACAAGCCAUAGAACAAAGAACUCAAAAGACAGAGGAUAUUGGCCAUAUAUGCCUCCCUUAUGAACUGGGCAUAUUUUAGCAAUAACCCCUGAAAUGAAGCCAAUAUCGGGCAUUCAAAAGGAGCUUCCCUGCCUCAAAAGAACAAAAGCAUCACCAAGAAUAGUCCACCCAGUCCUAGUACACUACUAGUUAGUAGCUGAGCAAAAAAAAAAAAAAAAAAAAAAGUACUAGUAGUUAGUAGUAAAACUACUAGUAACGAGUAAUGUCCUCAUUAUUUAAUAUGGUUUAUCAAUUCUUCAACAAUUCAGUUUUAUCGAUUUUUUUAUUUUCUAUUUUUUAUCUUCUAAUAUCAACUUAAAUGUAAAAUUGUGAUGCAUCUUUUGAUGAUUGAGUUAGUGGAUUGUUGAAGACUAUACUUGGAUCAUAUUGAUAGAAAAAAAAAAGUAAAUUUGACUUAAAAUUAAUAUGAAAUAUAGAAAAAAUAAUAAGACUGGUAUAAAUAUUCAAAAAAGAAAAGUUGACAUAAUUUUGUAAUGAUUUUAAAAAAGUGGAUAUUCAAUUUGAAAUAGAAAAAGUAUAUAUUAUUACAUCAAUUAUUAGUUUAAUAAUUUAUUUUCACUCAAUAAGUAGAUAAAAUUUGAAGUCAAGAUGAUAUUUAUAUUGCAUCGAUCAAGAACACUUAUUGUUUGUUACAUAUAUACAUAUGUUUAAUUGAAAUUCUUUUCUACACAUCAUUGAAACAAUAUUUGGCCACUUGCAAUUAAUUUAAAAUUUAGAAAUGUUAUUUAUUUAUUUCUCAGUAUCAUGUCUACCUUAAAUAUGUUAACUCAUCACAAUACUUUUUACAAUCAUACCAAUCAUUUUAAAUUACAUUUCUACACAUUAAUUACAUUUUAAAUUCAACAAUAUGAUGUUAGUCACGUUUCUUGGUUCUUUCCUACUAUCGAUUAUUUGUUGAAUAGUCCAUCCGGAUAUCUUGAAUCUCAUUAUUUUUUUUCGAAAUAAUAAUUAUAAGUAAAAGAAUUUCAAUUACAAUCAACAUGUAUCACAUUCCAUCUGUGAAAAGAAUUAAUAAAUGCACCAACAUAUUAACUUAAAAGUUUUAAUUUUUUUUUUNNNNNNNNNNNNNNNNNNNNNNNNNNNNNNNNNNNNNNNNNNNNNNNNNNNNNNNNNNNNNNNNNNNNNNNNNNNNNNNNNNNNNNNNNNNNNNNNNNNNNNNNNNNNNNNNNNNNNNNNNNNNNNNNNNNNNNNNNNNNNNNNNNNNNNNNNNNNNNNNNNNNNNNNNNNNNNNNNNNNNNNNNNNNNNNNNNNNNNNNNNNNNNNNNNNNNNNNNNNNNNNNNNNNNNNNNNNNNNNNNNNNNNNNNNNNNNNNNNNNNNNNNNNNNNNNNNNNNNNNNNNNNNNNNNNNNNNNNNNNNNNNNNNNNNNNNNNNNNNNNNNNNNNNNNNNNNNNNNNNNNNNNNNNNNNNNNNNNNNNNNNNNNNNNNNNNNNNNNNNNNNNNNNNNNNNNNNNNNNNNNNNNNNNNNNNNNNNNNNNNNNNNNNNNNNNNNNNNNNNNNNNNNNNNNNNNNNNNNNNNNNNNNNNNNNNNNNNNNNNNNNNNNNNNNNNNNNNNNNNNNNNNNNNNNNNNNNNNNNNNNNNNNNNNNNNNNNNNNNNNNNNNNNNNNNNNNNNNNNNNNNNNNNNNNNNNNNNNNNNNNNNNNNNNNNNNNNNNNNNNNNNNNNNNNNNNNNNNNNNNNNNNNNNNNNNNNNNNNNNNNNNNNNNNAAAUAUAAUUAAAAUUAUAAAGACUUAAUUGAUAUUUUUUAUACAUACAAGUAAUAAUGAUAAAUAAAAAUAAUUUUUUUGGAUUUUUUUAUUGUUAUGUAAAUAAAAUUAAUUAUGAUCUUCUAUUUAUGAAUAAUUAAUUUUACACUUUUAAAUAUCUUUAUUUUAUAUGUAAUUAAUAUUUAAAAAUAGAUAAAAAAUAUUCAAAUAAAUAAAAAAGACGAGAUGGGUAAAAAAGCAUGUAGGACCAUUCAAUAAAUUUGGAGAGCAACGUACAGCUACUGCCCUUUACCAACCCCACUUCAACAGUAUGUUGGUCUGAGUUUCUUGGUUGUUUCCUGCGAUCCACACAUCUUGACUUGACGUCAACUCCAAAACAAUAUUCUUUUCUAAUUAAAUUCCAAGUAAAAUUUUAAUUAUAGUCAAAUAAUUUUCACAUAUCACAUAUUACAUCCAUAAAAAUAUUAAUAAGCAAGCCAAUUAAUAAGUAUAAAAUUUUUAGUUUAAUACAUUAUGCAUCUAAAUGUUUAAUUUAAUAGUAAUGCAUGUCUCUGUUAUGAAAGAGCAGAGUUUAAUUUUUUUUUUGGUAUUAUUGAUAUGAAACAAGAUUUAUCUAAUUUGUAAAUAAAAAUUUUAAUUAUGUUGAAUGAUUUUCAUUAAUUUUUUAAUAAAUUUAUAUUAUAAAAUCAGUUAUAUAGAAUUGAAAAGUUAAUUUUCUUCUUAUAUGUAAUUAUUAUUUGAAAAUAAAUAUUCACACGCGAGAAUAAAUAACAACAAGUGUAAAUAUUAUAUUAUUGGAAAGGGUUGAUGGGAAUGCACAAAAAACUUUCCAACCAAAUUAGGCCCAAAGAAAAGCACAACGCUUGACAUGACUUGACUUGCUCAGCUUGUCUAGAAACUGGUAACUCUUCACAACCACAUUAAUUCCCUAUGAUUUUUUCUGUAAUUCGUAUCAUCACCCAACCUCAAAAAUCUAGCAACCGAAUUAGAUCCAGAAACAGUUUCCACAAUCCAUUUUUCUUCUAGUCCAAUAUCCUUCUCUUGGAUUUUCUCUCUACUUCAAGUCUCUUGAUUCCUUUCUCAAACAUAUUGACCAUGGCUUUCGUUGCAGAGGCUGCUCUCUCUGCUUCCUUUGACUUGUUGUUGGCCAAGAUUUCCUCUUCCGACUUCAACUUUGUCACUGAGAAGCGGGUUCGCGAGGAGAUUGAGAACUGGAAAAAGACAUUGGAGAUCAUCCACGCAGUCCUUGCUGAUGCAGAGGAGAAGAAAAUGAAGAACAAGGCUGUGAAGAUUUGGCUGGCUGACCUCCAAGACUUGGCUUAUGACGUCGAUGACAUCUUGGACGAGUUUGCCACUGAAGCUUUGGGGCGUAAGUUGAUGAAAGCACAUCGGGCCAGCACUAGUAAGGCACAAAAAUAUCUUACUAGUUUAAAUCCACGUUCCAUCAUGUUUAACUCUAAGAUGAUGUCCAAGAUCAAAGAGAUUACAGGAAGGUUGGAAGAUUUAGCAACAAGAAAGAUUAACCUGCAACUAGAGAAAUAUGUUGGAAGGCCCAUGACAAUACCAAAAAGCAAGCCAAGCACUUCUCUGGUGAAUGAAGCUAC